AAGACAAUCCUUCAUUCCUCUUUUCCUACAAAAACAAACUAAAAAGGAUUGCAUCUCUUAUAAACUCACCUCGCCCUAGGGACUAUCGACCUCUGAUGUGACAGUUUGAACUGCAGCAAUAGCUUUUCCAAUCUCUCCCACACUUUCCCUCGCUUGCUCCAUCUCGUUCUCUUUCCUUUGCUUGCUCGAGAUUAUGUUCCAGCGCUACUGUUGGCUUUUACAGUUUCUCAUCUGAGCGCACUUUGACGGUGGAAGAACACCGGCUGGCCUUCAAAUCAGCAAAAAAGGAUUGAAAAGUUAGUCAUUAUACUGAAAAGGAAUUUGUAUUGCCAUGAGAAACUGUGGAGAUGAUGCUCUAGCGAUGAUUACUUACCUUUUUAUAAGUGGAAUCGACCGCCUCGAAGAGAGAGAUAAGAACUACUUAAUGAGCAAUCGUGGUUGUAGUGAGUCGAAAUAUUUAAGAACUCGUAAAUGUCGUUAAAUCAGUGCUGCUUGUAACGUCCCUGAGGGGAAGAAUCUAAAGGAAACUACAGCAAUAGAGAUCGACGCAAUGAUUCCUUAGAAAUAUUCGUCUCAAACAACUUCUUAUUGUUGGUGGACCUAAAGAGAGCUUCGAGGAGAUGAUGAACCCUAGAGAAGAGCAGCAGUACUCAUGAGGAAGAUAAAGGUAACUAAUUGGCCAAGCUUUAAAGGGUCCACGUUUUGUUGUUUUGCCAGCCCAAUUCAUGUCAUCCAGAUUAAUAAAACGCAGAGUUUAAAGCAAAGGGACACGUGUUAAGCUCACAAACCUCGACUUUCUGACCUGUCCGCCUACGUGGCACGUCUAUGAAAGAGUAAACAGUAUUUUAAAUAUAAAGAUUCAUAUUUAAACAUAAAGCCAAACAUAUAAUAAAAACAUAAAAGAUGUUAUCCAAUCAUUUUCUAUUAUUAUUAUCUUGAAACUUAAUAUAAAUAUGACAAGUAGUUUUUUCUGUUUUGAAGACGAAAUCUUAUUCUUUUAUUUUAUUGUUAAUGGUGCUUCUUAUAUUUAUUUAAAAGUAAAAUAUAUAAAAACCAUGUUUAGUUGUUUAGGUUAGAUAGUUAAAUAUCUUAAAUUUUAAUAGUAUCACUAUUAUUUAGUUAGUCUAAUUAUAUAAACACUUUGGUUUUCAGUUUGAUUCGGUUUAGAGCCAAACCAAACUGAACCAUUUGGAUAUAUUUUGGUUUGGUUUGAGUUGGUUUAGGUUCAGUUGGAUGUUCAGGUUCUUUGCCCAUCCUUUUGAGUAUUUCGUAAAUUAACUUGUUUAGGCCUAUGGGCCUUUUGCCACAGCCCAUAAAGACAAGGGCCUGAAACGAAAGCACUAACGCAUAUUUCUGUGGAUGUUCGUUCUUCUUCUGAUUUAGGAUUUUUUUAAAUUUUUCCGCUCUCCAGAUUUUGAAAUCGAUUGUGUGUUUCUGAGUAAGUAAUGAUUUCGAUUUUACAAUUCCAGGUGGCUGAUGCUUUCGCGUUUCGUACAGUCAGAUCAUCGUUGGGCUGUAAAAGAUGGAUCCGGACGCAGUCAAGUCGACCCUCUCGAAUCUGGCGUUCGGGAAUGUAUUGGCAGUAGCUGCUAGAGAUUAUAAGAAGGUAUAUCAAUUUAAUAUCGGCUUUAAUCCAAUGCUAUUGAGUAGGCUUUUUUUAUCACACAUAUAGUUAUGAGUAAAUCAUGAAGAAAUGAUUUAUCACUUUCUGAUUGUUUUUUUUUUUGAGGUGUUUGGCUACACACAUUGAGUAUUUUGUAUGUUGCAGGAAGUGCUUGCAAAUGAGAAGGCCCAAUCAUCAAAUCAUGUCAACGAGGAGGUUGAUCUUGAUGAACUUAUGGAUGUAAGUGCAAAUGUUUCUUUGAGAGAUUUAUGCUACAGUCUCUAACGGUAAGACUUUCUCAUUGUUCUGUAGGAUCCGGAGCUAGAAAAAUUGCACGCUGAUAGGAUUGCUGCACUCAAGGUAAACAACUCUGGCAACACCCUUCUCUCUUUAGUUAUGAAGCUGUUCAAUAUUUCUUGUUUACUCUUGUGUCUAUGAACUUAACCUCCUAGUUUUGAUCUGGACAGAGAGAAGUUGAGAAGAGAGAAGCAUUCAAAAGACAAGGGCAUGGUGAGUAUCGAGAGGUGAGCGAGGGAGAUUUCUUGGGGGAAGUCACCAGGAGUGAGAAAGUGGUUUCUCAUUUCUACCACAAGGAGUUUUACCGCUGCAAGUAAGAUCUACCCCCAUCAACUCUCUCAUCUGUAACCUAUAUCCACUCUGCAUCGUUAUGUAGGAUUAUGGACAAGCAUCUCAAGACUCUUGCGCCUAGACAUGUGGCCACUAAGUUCAUCAAAGUGGACGCAGAGGUCACUCCAACCACUUGAUUCAAAGAUAGAAAAAUUGGGUUUCAAGAAUCCUAACAUAAAUGCAGAAUGCUCCUUUCUUUGUCACGAAGCUAGCAAUAAAGACAAUUGCCUUGCGUUCUGCUUUUCAGGUUUCAUCUCUUUCGAUUCAUUCUUACGUUACAUGGUUUGUUUCUAGGUUUUUUUACUCUGAUAGAAUAUGACUUAUCUUUUUUUAUCAUUCUCAGCAAGGGAAUCGCUAUAGAUAGGCUAGUUGGGUUCCAGGAUUUGGGCACAAAGGACGAUUUCAGCACUACCAAACUGGAAAACGUUCUGAUUAAAAAAGGUAAGGAGGACCUCGCAUCCACCUUUUUCAGUUCAGUUAGAGUAUUGUUGCUUAAAAUCUGCAAACCAUUAAACAGGAAUGCUCAGCAAGAAGAAGAAAGAGGAAGAUGAUGAAGAUGCUGAGUACCAAGAGAGCAUAAGGCGGUCGGUUAGGUCUUCAGAGAAUCUGGACUCUGACUCUGAAUGAUCAAACCACCUUACAUCACAGAGUUGUCUCUGUUUUGCCUUUGUUAUGUGUUUAUUAGGUAAUGAAUCUUCAUAGUUACAUCUUAACCAUCAAAUGCUUGCAUGACAUUGUAUGUUGCUAUGUGUAAUACCACCAUUUUCUUAUUGCUGUUACAUAAAUAUUGACUUGUUUUUGAGAUAAAAGAUCAUGCAGAGGUUUAGUUAACAUACUUUUUUCUUAAACAAGUUAUGGUAGAAAAUAUCUUGUUCAAUAAUAAUAAAAUAAUUACUAGACAGAACAAACAUGUGAAAAGAUCAUUCCUCACAAAUAAUAAUUUCUUCGUCAAUCUUAUCUAUUUUUUCUUGACCUUUGAAUCUUUCCCCUUAGUGGUCUUUUUCUUGUUCUCCAAAUCAGCCUCUUCAGUUUUGGCCUUGUCUUGUUCGUUCUUGAUCUUCUUGGCUUCCAAGAACUCAACCAACCCCUCAAGAAUACUAUCAACAGACUCAUUCCUCAUAAGUUGUUCAGCUACAUCUGCUGGAGUAACCUCUGUCGAUUCGAUACCUUCCACGAUCUUGCUGAAAAGAGGGUGCUCUUUUAUCUCUAGAUAGUUCCAAGCAAGAGCCUUGAAAGUACUGGGAGUGCAGUAUGACAUGUGGAUGUGCACAUCCAUACGUCCUGGCCUCAACAACGCAGGGUCUAGUUUGUCUUUGUAAUUGGUUGUGAAUAUUAUGAUCCGUUGGUCGCCGCAGCUUUACCAUAAACCAUCAGUGAAGUUUAGUAGUCCAGAGAGCGUCACUUUCUUGUUUCUUGAUUCCUUAGGUUCAUCAGUUGUCCUGUUAUUCAACGUGAUGGAGCAGUCGAUAUCUUCCAGCACAAGAAUUGAACGAUUACCAGUGUCAAUCAGCAACCUUCUGAGCUCGGAAUUGUCUACAACAGCAGUCAACUCUAAGUCAUAAAUAUCGAAGUUGAGAUGGUUAGCCAUGGCUGCAAUCAAGCUUGACUUCCCUGUCCCUGGUGGACCGUAUAACAAGUAGCCUCUCUUCCAAGCCUUACCAACUCUCUUAUAGUACUCACUCCGUUUCACAAACUUGUCAAGAUCUUCCAUCACACUUUUCUUGACAUCUGAAUCCAUUGCUAGUGUCUUGAACGUAGAAGGAUGGGCAAGAGUAACAGAGGUCCAUGAGUCCCCCCAGUACCUUGCGUCGAGAGUAAAGAGCUUGAGUUUCUUCUUCUCGUGCUUCAUUGACCUGCAUCUUUUCACCAUGAAUGGCAAGUAAGAUUCAAGAGCUAUGUCCUUGAAUCUUUUGUCGAAGAUGAGCUCGAAUGAUUUGACAUCAAAACUGGAUUUGGAGUAUUGAUUCUUUGUCUCAACAUGGUGGCUACGUAGGACCCAUUGGAAUUGGACGCCAUUGAAAACGUCCACAACUUGCUCGUCACGUCCUACGGAGACGUUGUAAUUGGAAUCUUUCUCGUGUUUACUCACUUUGAUUCUGUUGUUAGAUUGAGAGAUCUUGGUGGCUACGUAGGCCUUUGCAGCAUCAAAGACUUCAUUGUGAUUGUACCCUUCAAACUCUUCGAUGGUUAUUGUCAUUUGAGAGGAAUUAAAGUAAUGAGCCAUGGAGCGUUUAACGAAGCUGCGGACUUCAUAGGAGAUGUAUUGUCGCACUUCGAGAGGCAAGUAGCUUUGGGCUAACGAUCGAGCCAGCAUUGCAGUUUCAGCCACCGAAGCUGCAGUGGUUACAACCGCUGGAACUCCCAUGGACUCGGUUUUUUCUAGGAUUUUUGCAAAUAUACUUGGAUAUAUUGCAGCACGACGAACUGAAACAAUCCUAGGUUGUUUUGGUCCUCCAAGUGUCGUGUAUCUACCGGUAUCCAUAGGUAAACAAACUGGGUAAGAACGGGAUGUUAGUGCCAUUGAGAUCGGAUCUGAAAAACAAUAUGAUGAACGAGGUUGGUUUCUCUAGGGUUCUAUAGUAACUUGGGCGAGGAGAAAAGUUUCUUUAUAAGCAAAGCGCUCUCUGUCUAUCAUUAACAUGACUCUAAAAACAUCUACUUGUGGACAAAAAAAAAGUAAAGAAUGACAAAAAAGGAAAUAACACACAAAAGCGGUAAGAAACUGACGUAAAAUAGAAAUUAAAGAAAAGGAAGAAGUUUCGUUAACAAAUUUUUAUUUUCUAAAUUAUUUUUCUGAUUUAUAUAAAUUCAGUAGUGGCAUAUAUGUAAUAGUUACAAAAAAAUGUUCUUUAUAUCCUUUGUUUUGUGAGGAGGUUCCAAACUCCAAAGCGUGCAUCACCAAAACUGAUAAUUUCUGAAGGGAUAUAUGGAAAUUUCAUUAUAAAAUUUGUAAUAUAUAUCUUAUAUAUUAAAACAUAACUCACAACUUUGAUGUAUUUGUAAUAGACCUAUUCCUAGAAAGUCAUAUUACAUUUAAUCUUUAAUCUUAUCAUUUAAAUUUUGAGCCUCCCAUAAAUUUUUAUUAGGCUAUCAAUAAUUGAAUUUAAACAAUAUAUGAUCCAUUAGAUUUAUACAUAGUAUAAAUUAAAUAGAUAUAAUUUAAUGUUACAUCCAUAUGUUAAUUAUUUAAAUAUUUAUCGAUGUUAACUUUUAAAAUUAUAAAUAUUUUUUAAAUAAAAAAAUCAUAUUAUCUAACAAUGAUUAAUCUUUACUACCUUAAACCAAUGAAAACAAAUGAACUAUAUAGUUUAUUUUAAAAAUUAAAUAAAAACUAAAUGUUUAAUUAUUUACUCGAUAAUAUAAAUCUAUGAAGCGAAAAGUUAAUUUUUUAAAAACUUUCUAAAUUUGUGAAAUGUUACAAUAUUUUUGAAUAUGGCAAUAAAACAAUAUUUUACUAAUAUAUAUAUAUAUAUAUAGUUACGAAAUAAUGAAAUAAUAAUCCGAAAAUAUAUAUAUCGAAGAAAAUACAAAUAUAUGUGAAAGUUUAAAACAAUCUUAUUCAAUGAAAAAAUAUAUUGUAUACUUAUUAUGCUUAAAAAAUUGAUAGACACAUAUAUAUUAUAAUAUAUACCAAUUUAGAAUUAAAAACAAAAUAUUUAUAUAAAAAUAAAUGAAAACAAAAAUCUGCGCGGUUGCGCGGAUCGAGAUCUAAUGUUAUAUUUAAGAUACAAUAUCGCUAUUUAGAUUUUACCAAUAACAGCGACUUGUGUAAAGCAAUACUAACAAGUAUUAAUUCAGUUUUAAAGAUGAAAAAAUCAAAUUAAGGAAGAAAAACAAUUCAAUGAUAUUACAAUUUAGUUCGUUAAUAAUACUUGCUUACAUUGUUCAAAAAAUUGAUUACAUUCAUACAUUGCAUUCUGGAUUUUAGUUCAAUUAAUAUCCAAUACAAUCAUUUGAAUAAAAGACCGACAAAGUCAUCAAAAAGUUAACGUUACAACCAGCUCACAAAAAGACACUAGCAAGUAAAACAGGACGGAGUUGAUUGGCGCAAUGGUCAGUAUUCCUUCAGGUUAUAUCUCUCAGGUGGUGGAACUCUGAUUUGAGAGCAAAAAAAUAUGUGAUCUAGGCUAGAUCAAUGGCACACGACUAAGUCACAUAUAAAUAUCGUUUGAUUGCAGCAUUUCGUUUAUAUCAAAAAUAUAUUGUUCUUUAUACAUAAAACCUUUAAAAUGAUAAGAGACAAACCUGACCAAACACACACACACAUAUAUAUAUAUACAAGAUAUGAGCCCGUUGCGUUGUAACGAGUUUUGUUUGAUGUUUUAAUUUAAAUAAAUGAAAACAAAAAUCUGCGCGGUUGCGCGGAUCGAGAUCUAAUGUUAUAUUUAAGAUACAAUAUCGCUAUUUAGAUUUUACCAAUAACAGCGACUUGUGUAAAGCAAUACUAACAAGUAUUAAUUCAGUUUUAAAGAUGAAAAAAUCAAAUUAAGGAAGAAAAACAAUUCAAUGAUAUUACAAUUUAGUUCGUUAAUAAUACUUGCUUACAUUGUUCAAAAAAUUGAUUACAUUCAUACAUUGCAUUCUGGAUUUUAGUUCAAUUAAUAUCCAAUACAAUCAUUUGAAUAAAAGACCGACAAAGUCAUCAAAAAGUUAACGUUACAACCAGCUCACAAAAAGACACUAGCAAGUAAAACAGGACGGAGUUGAUUGGCGCAAUGGUCAGUAUUCCUUCAGGUUAUAUCUCUCAGGUGGUGGAACUCUGAUUUGAGAGCAAAAAAAUAUGUGAUCUAGGCUAGAUCAAUGGCACACGACUAAGUCACAUAUAAAUAUCGUUUGAUUGCAGCAUUUCGUUUAUAUCAAAAAUAUAUUGUUCUUUAUACAUAAAACCUUUAAAAUGAUAAGAGACAAACCUGACCAAACACACACACACAUAUAUAUAUAUACAAGAUAUGAGCCCGUUGCGUUGUAACGAGUUUUGUUUGAUGUUUUAAUUUAAUAAAAUCAUAAAAUAAUAAAUCAUUUUAUUAUAGUUUUAUGAUUUUACAUAUGUUGUUUGAGAUUUAUUUUAUAAUUAAAACUCGUUUUCACACAUAAGUUCAAGUUAAUAUUUGUAUUUUAUAAUCAUGGUGCAUAGAUGAUUUGUUAUAAACUUUGGACUUAGGAUUAGAGAAAAUACUAUACCUAAACGUUUAAACUGAACACAACCCAAAAUAAGAAACUGAAUGAAAAGUAAACAGAAAUGAAAGUCAAAUACACCAGUCGAGUCAAUGACAACAUUAUACAUCUUCUUAUGUACUAAUUUAAUGUUUUAUUAAAUAAGUCUUUAAAUUUUUCUUUUGUUAGGACUUUUUUUAAAAAAUGAAAACAUUAUAUUUUAUAAAUCUCCUUUUUAUUUACAAUUAAAAAAGUAAUAUUAAAUACUCUUUUACCAUUUUGUUUAAGAUUUUAGAAAAUGAAAGUUACUGUCAUAUAACCUAUUACAACUAUCUUCUCUUUAGAAUUUCAGAAAAAAUAAAUUGCUAUCCAAUAAUUAUUUUUAGUUAUUAAUAAAUAAUUUUUAAAUUACUAUUUUUACAAUUCGUAUCAAUACUAAUUUUACACUACUUUUUUUUAAUUUAAUAAUUUUUAGUAACAUGUUCAUAAUCAAAUACUCUCUUAAAAAUAUUUUCAAAUAAUUUUUUCCAAUUCUCUUUUGGUUAGGGCUUAAAAAUAUGAUACACAUUUUUUUUCUUUAGGAUUUGUUUUUAUAAAAAAGGAAAACAACUAUCAAAAAUUCUUUUACAAUUUUUUUAGGAUUUUAUAAAAGGAAAUUAAUAUUACAUAAUCUUUUACAAUUAUAUUUUGUCUAGGAUUUAGAAAAAUAAAAUUUCUAUCAAAUAAUUAUUUUCGGUUAAUAUUAACUAUUUUUAAAAGUUGCCAGUUAAUAAAAUUUGUUUUUGUUAAUAUUUUAGUAUAUAUAUUUUUAAUUAUGAGAAAGAUUAAUAUAUGUUACAAUCUUAAAAUAUAUAAUUACCAUGUGUCGCGAUCAUGUUAAUUAGUAACUUUGAAGAACCAAAUUUUAUAUAAUAAGAUAUAUAUAAAAUAGGAACGCAAAGCAAGUAAAACAGGACGGAAUAGACUGAGGUCGAAAAAAAUCAUGAAGCUUAAACUUUCUGGUAAUAAUAUAUUAACACAGCAAUACAUACCCUUUUACUUUCUACUCAACGAUACGACAAAGUUGACGGUCGUUUUGUUGCAGCUUCUUGCAGCAAUGUAGUACUUGGCUGCGUUGUGUGCGUACUUCUCAAACAGACGGUCGAUGAUAGCAUCUCCGAAAUGAGCAACCAACAUUGUAACAGUGAUGAAUCUUUUUCUGCUUGCCAUCAUUUCCCCAAACCAUAAUCUUUUACAAUUAUAUUUUGUCUAGGAUUUAGAAAAAUAAAAUUUCUAUCAAAUAAUUAUUUUCGGUUAAUAUUAACUAUUUUUAAAAGUUGCCAGUUAAUAAAAUUUGUUUUUGUUAAUAUUUUAGUAUAUAUAUUUUUAAUUAUGAGAAAGAUUAAUAUAUGUUACAAUCUUAAAAUAUAUAAUUACCAUGUGUCGCGAUCAUGUUAAUUAGUAACUUUGAAGAACCAAAUUUUAUAUAAUAAGAUAUAUAUAAAAUAGGAACGCAAAGCAAGUAAAACAGGACGGAAUAGACUGAGGUCGAAAAAAAUCAUGAAGCUUAAACUUUCUGGUAAUAAUAUAUUAACACAGCAAUACAUACCCUUUUACUUUCUACUCAACGAUACGACAAAGUUGACGGUCGUUUUGUUGCAGCUUCUUGCAGCAAUGUAGUACUUGGCUGCGUUGUGUGCGUACUUCUCAAACAGACGGUCGAUGAUAGCAUCUCCGAAAUGAGCAACCAACAUUGUAACAGUGAUGAAUCUUUUUCUGCUUGCCAUCAUUUCCCCAAACUUUAAUCGACAUGUUUCAUCGUCAUCUUCCUCACUAUCUUUGUAUGGAACUAGAUGUUCAUGUGUCUCGAUGAUAUUAAUCUCAAAUGAUCCUUCUUUUUGAAGAAUUUCCCUGACCUCUUCUUCACCCGCAUCAUAAAACGGCAAGUUGAAUGAAUCAACAUCAGAUUCCUUAACAAUUCCCUAUACUCACAAGUCACAAAAUAUAUGCAAGAAAUCUUACAAUAAGGUAUGAUUUUGUUUGUUAAAAAAAACAUUGAUUUUCUAUAAAUUGCGUGGUACUCUCCACUUAUUAUCAACUGAUAUUGAACUAUGAACUUCAUUAAUAUAUAUAUAUAUAUAUAUUCUUACAGUUUUUUUUUAAAUAGAGCUAGUAUUAGACCAUCCGGUGUAUUUUGCUAUUUAAAUUACUAGACAGAACAAACAUGUGAAAAGAUCAUUCCUCACAUAUAAUAAUUUCUUCGUCAAUCUUAUCUAUUUUUUCUUGACCUUUGAAUCUUUCCCCUUAGUGGUCUUUUUCUUGUUCUCCAAAUCAGCCUCCUCAGUUUUGGCCUUCUCUUGUUCGUUCUUGAUCUUCUUGGCUUCCAAGAACUCAACCAACCCCUCAAGAAUACUAUCAACAGACUCAUUCCUCAUAAGUUGUUCAGCUACAUCUGCUGGAGUAACCUCUGUCGAUUCGAUACCUUCCACGAUCUUGCUGAAAAGAGGGUGCUCUUUUAUCUCUAGAUAGUUCCAAGCAAGAGCCUUGAAAGUACUGGGAGUGCAGUAUGACAUGUGGAUGUGCACAUCCAUACGUCCUGGCCUCAACAACGCAGGGUCUAGUUUGUCUUUGUAAUUGGUUGUGAAUAUUAUGAUCCGUUGGUCGCCGCAGCUUUACCAUAAACCAUCAGUGAAGUUUAGUAGUCCAGAGAGUGUCACUUUCUUGUUUCUUGAUUCCUUAGGUUCAUCAGUUGUCCUGUUAUUCAACGUGAUGGAGCAGUCGAUAUCUUCCAGCACAAGAAUUGAACGAUUACCAGUGUCAAUCAGCAACCUUCUGAGCUCGGAAUUGUCUACAACAGCAGUCAACUCUAAGUCAUAAAUAUCGAAGUUGAGAUGGUUAGCCAUGGCUGCAAUCAAGCUUGACUUCCCUGUCCCUGGUGGACCGUAUAACAAGUAGCCUCUCUUCCAAGCCUUACCAACUCUCUUAUAGUACUCACUCCGUUUCACAAACUUGUCAAGAUCUUCCAUCACACUUUUCUUGACAUCUGAAUCCAUUGCUAGUGUCUUGAACGUAGAAGGAUGGGCAAGAGUAACAGAGGUCCAUGAGUCCCCCCAGUACCUUGCGUCGAGAGUAAAGAGCUUGAGUUUCUUCUUCUCGUGCUUCAUUGACCUGCAUCUUUUCACCAUGAAUGGCAAGUAAGAUUCAAGAGCUAUGUCCUUGAAUCUUUUGUCGAAGAUGAGCUCGAAUGAUUUGACAUCAAAACUGGAUUUGGAGUAUUGAUUCUUUGUCUCAACAUGGUGGCUACGUAGGACCCAUUGGAAUUGGACGCCAUUGAAAACGUCCACAACUUGCUCGUCACGUCCUACGGAGACGUUGUAAUUGGAAUCUUUCUCGUGUUUACUCACUUUGAUUCUGUUGUUAGAUUGAGAGAUCUUGGUGGCUACGUAGGCCUUUGCAGCAUCAAAGACUUCAUUGUGAUUGUACCCUUCAAACUCUUCGAUGGUUAUUGUCAUUUGAGAGGAAUUAAAGUAAUGAGCCAUGGAGCGUUUAACGAAGCUGCGGACUUCAUAGGAGAUGUAUUGUCGCACUUCGAGAGGCAAGUAGCUUUGGGCUAACGAUCGAGCCAGCAUUGCAGUUUCAGCCACCGAAGCUGCAGUGGUUACAACCGCUGGAACUCCCAUGGACUCGGUUUUUUCUAGGAUUUUUGCAAAUAUACUUGGAUAUAUUGCAGCACGACGAACUGAAACAAUCCUAGGUUGUUUUGGUCCUCCAAGUGUCGUGUAUCUACCGGUAUCCAUAGGUAAACAAACUGGGUAAGAACGGGAUGUUAGUGCCAUUGAGAUCGGAUCUGAAAAACAAUAUGAUGAACGAGGUUGGUUUCUCUAGGGUUCUAUAGUAACUUGGGCGAGGAGAAAAGUUUCUUUAUAAGCAAAGCGCUCUCUGUCUAUCAUUAACAUGACUCUAAAAACAUCUACUUGUGGACAAAAAAAAAGUAAAGAAUGACAAAAAAGGAAAUAACACACAAAAGCGGUAAGAAACUGACGUAAAAUAGAAAUUAAAGAAAAGGAAGAAGUUUCGUUAACAAAUUUUUAUUUUCUAAAUUAUUUUUCUGAUUUAUAUAAAUUCAGUAGUGGCAUAUAUGUAAUAGUUACAAAAAAAUGUUCUUUAUAUCCUUUGUUUUGUGAGGAGGUUCCAAACUCCAAAGCGUGCAUCACCAAAACUGAUAAUUUCUGAAGGGAUAUAUGGAAAUUUCAUUAUAAAAUUUGUAAUAUAUAUCUUAUAUAUUAAAACAUAACUCACAACUUUGAUGUAUUUGUAAUAGACCUAUUCCUAGAAAGUCAUAUUACAUUUAAUCUUUAAUCUUAUCAUUUAAAUUUUGAGCCUCCCAUAAAUUUUUAUUAGGCUAUCAAUAAUUGAAUUUAAACAAUAUAUGAUCCAUUAGAUUUAUACAUAGUAUAAAUUAAAUAGAUAUAAUUUAAUGUUACAUCCAUAUGUUAAUUAUUUAAAUAUUUAUCGAUGUUAACUUUUAAAAUUAUAAAUAUUUUUUAAAUAAAAAAAUCAUAUUAUCUAACAAUGAUUAAUCUUUACUACCUUAAACCAAUGAAAACAAAUGAACUAUAUAGUUUAUUUUAAAAAUUAAAUAAAAACUAAAUGUUUAAUUAUUUACUCGAUAAUAUAAAUCUAUGAAGCGAAAAGUUAAUUUUUUAAAAACUUUCUAAAUUUGUGAAAUGUUACAAUAUUUUUGAAUAUGGCAAUAAAACAAUAUUUUACUAAUAUAUAUAUAUAUAUAUAGUUACGAAAUAAUGAAAUAAUAAUCCGAAAAUAUAUAUAUCGAAGAAAAUACAAAUAUAUGUGAAAGUUUAAAACAAUCUUAUUCAAUGAAAAAAUAUAUUGUAUACUUAUUAUGCUUAAAAAAUUGAUAGACACAUAUAUAUUAUAAUAUAUACCAAUUUAGAAUUAAAAACAAAAUAUUUAUAUAAAAAUAAAUGAAAACAAAAAUCUGCGCGGUUGCGCGGAUCGAGAUCUAAUGUUAUAUUUAAGAUACAAUAUCGCUAUUUAGAUUUUACCAAUAACAGCGACUUGUGUAAAGCAAUACUAACAAGUAUUAAUUCAGUUUUAAAGAUGAAAAAAUCAAAUUAAGGAAGAAAAACAAUUCAAUGAUAUUACAAUUUAGUUCGUUAAUAAUACUUGCUUACAUUGUUCAAAAAAUUGAUUACAUUCAUACAUUGCAUUCUGGAUUUUAGUUCAAUUAAUAUCCAAUACAAUCAUUUGAAUAAAAGACCGACAAAGUCAUCAAAAAGUUAACGUUACAACCAGCUCACAAAAAGACACUAGCAAGUAAAACAGGACGGAGUUGAUUGGCGCAAUGGUCAGUAUUCCUUCAGGUUAUAUCUCUCAGGUGGUGGAACUCUGAUUUGAGAGCAAAAAAAUAUGUGAUCUAGGCUAGAUCAAUGGCACACGACUAAGUCACAUAUAAAUAUCGUUUGAUUGCAGCAUUUCGUUUAUAUCAAAAAUAUAUUGUUCUUUAUACAUAAAACCUUUAAAAUGAUAAGAGACAAACCUGACCAAACACACACACACAUAUAUAUAUAUACAAGAUAUGAGCCCGUUGCGUUGUAACGAGUUUUGUUUGAUGUUUUAAUUUAAUAAAAUCAUAAAAUAAUAAAUCAUUUUAUUAUAGUUUUAUGAUUUUACAUAUGUUGUUUGAGAUUUAUUUUAUAAUUAAAACUCGUUUUCACACAUAAGUUCAAGUUAAUAUUUGUAUUUUAUAAUCAUGGUGCAUAGAUGAUUUGUUAUAAACUUUGGACUUAGGAUUAGAGAAAAUACUAUACCUAAACGUUUAAACUGAACACAACCCAAAAUAAGAAACUGAAUGAAAAGUAAACAGAAAUGAAAGUCAAAUACACCAGUCGAGUCAAUGACAACAUUAUACAUCUUCUUAUGUACUAAUUUAAUGUUUUAUUAAAUAAGUCUUUAAAUUUUUCUUUUGUUAGGACUUUUUUUAAAAAAUGAAAACAUUAUAUUUUAUAAAUCUCCUUUUUAUUUACAAUUAAAAAAGUAAUAUUAAAUACUCUUUUACCAUUUUGUUUAAGAUUUUAGAAAAUGAAAGUUACUGUCAUAUAACCUAUUACAACUAUCUUCUCUUUAGAAUUUCAGAAAAAAUAAAUUGCUAUCCAAUAAUUAUUUUUAGUUAUUAAUAAAUAAUUUUUAAAUUACUAUUUUUACAAUUCGUAUCAAUACUAAUUUUACACUACUUUUUUUUAAUUUAAUAAUUUUUAGUAACAUGUUCAUAAUCAAAUACUCUCUUAAAAAUAUUUUCAAAUAAUUUUUUCCAAUUCUCUUUUGGUUAGGGCUUAAAAAUAUGAUACACAUUUUUUUUCUUUAGGAUUUGUUUUUAUAAAAAAGGAAAACAACUAUCAAAAAUUCUUUUACAAUUUUUUUAGGAUUUUAUAAAAGGAAAUUAAUAUUACAUAAUCUUUUACAAUUAUAUUUUGUCUAGGAUUUAGAAAAAUAAAAUUUCUAUCAAAUAAUUAUUUUCGGUUAAUAUUAACUAUUUUUAAAAGUUGCCAGUUAAUAAAAUUUGUUUUUGUUAAUAUUUUAGUAUAUAUAUUUUUAAUUAUGAGAAAGAUUAAUAUAUGUUACAAUCUUAAAAUAUAUAAUUACCAUGUGUCGCGAUCAUGUUAAUUAGUAACUUUGAAGAACCAAAUUUUAUAUAAUAAGAUAUAUAUAAAAUAGGAACGCAAAGCAAGUAAAACAGGACGGAAUAGACUGAGGUCGAAAAAAAUCAUGAAGCUUAAACUUUCUGGUAAUAAUAUAUUAACACAGCAAUACAUACCCUUUUACUUUCUACUCAACGAUACGACAAAGUUGACGGUCGUUUUGUUGCAGCUUCUUGCAGCAAUGUAGUACUUGGCUGCGUUGUGUGCGUACUUCUCAAACAGACGGUCGAUGAUAGCAUCUCCGAAAUGAGCAACCAACAUUGGUUCAGUUAUGGAUCUUUUUCUGCUUGCCAUCAUUUCCCCAAAAUUUAAUCGACAUGUUUCAUCGUCAUCUUCCUCACUAUCUUUGUAUGGAACUAGAUGUUCAUGUGUCUCGAUGAUAUUAAUCUCAAAUGAUCCUUCUUUUUGAACAAUUUCCCUGUCCUCUUCUUCACCCGCAUCAUAAAACGGCAAGUUGAAUGAAUCAACAUCAGAUUCCUGAACAAUUCCCUAUACUCACAAGUCACAAAAUAUAUACAAGAAAUCUUACAAUAAGGUAUGAUUUUGUUUGUUAAAAAAAACGUAUGAUUUUGUAUAUAAAUUGCUUGGUACUCUCCACUUAUUAUCAACUGAUAUUGAACUAUGAACUUCAUUAAUAUAUAUACAUAUACAUAUUCUUACAGUUUUUUUUUAAAUAGAGCUAGUAUUAGACCAUCCGGUGUAUUUUGCUAUUUUUAUCUAAAAUAGAGAAAUUAUAUAAUAAAGAUAGAGUUUACUCUAAUGUAAUAUUCUAAAAUAACAUUUUCUAUAAUUAGAGUAAAAAGUAGAGAAAUGUUUGCUUCCCAUGAUGUGACAAAAAAAAAAGGUUUGCUUCCAAUGUAUAUAGAAAAUAAUAAUCUUUAUUUUAGAGAAAAAAAUAGGUGUGGAUUAAUUUACCUCUAAGUAUUAUUAUAAAGACAAACUAGAUCUGGUUGUGCGGGUAUUUAUUUUCUAGUUUAUAUAUAUAUAUAUAUAUAUAUAUUCAACAACGACCAGUAAUGGCAGCUCUCUCUAUUAAGAGGAUCAGAAGCAUUUCUGCCUUUGAAAUAUGAGAACCAUCCGUCCAUUAGACACAACUUCUUCAGAACGCAUUUUUAAGAAUAACGAAAAGUCAUUUUGAAACUGAUCCAAGCAAUGUUUUUAAACCCGACCCGGAUACUGAACCGGACGACUUAUCGGGUUGCUGGAUCACUGGGUCGACCGCGGAUGAACCGCGGGUUAAAAAUGAAUUUAUUUUUUAUAUAAUAAUAUAUUAUCUAUGAAAAUAAAUACAUAAAAAGUUAAAAACUAAAGUUGAAUAUUUUCUAAAUGUUUUCUAAAACAUAAAAUAAUAGUUUGGAUAUGUAUAUAUUUUAUGUUUAAAAAGUAUUUAGAAAACACUUUACUUUAGUUUUUAUAUUUUUAUUUUCAUUUGACAUACAAAAUAUCAAAAAAUUGUUUAGACUAUUUAAAAUUUUAUGUAACAAAGUAAGAGUUAUGACAUCUGAAAAAAUCAAGAAAUAAAUAUUAUAAAUAUUUAAAUGUCUAAUGUGAAUAAUAAACUAAACUUCAAAUUCAAAAUAAACUAAAAGUUAAAGAUCAUUGUAAUAAAUUAUCAGUAACGGAAAUUAACUAACACCAAAUCACAUAAACUAAUUUUGGUUCUCUCUACCAUCGUUCACUUCAUUUUCUUCAAGUGGCAUAGUGAAAUCUUCAUUAAAAUUUAAAAAUCACAAUAUAAAACUGAAAAAGGAAAACCUAACUUUUUCUGACAGCACCUAACUUCUUAAUUGGAAACUUAGAAUAUAAAACUUAAUCUAAAACUAAAAAAAAAUUAUUUAUUGGUUCAACCGGUGGUUCAACCAGUAUCGGGUUCCGGGUUUUAGUGAGGUUUUGUGGGUUUUUGUGAGUUUUUGCGGGUUUCUAAAUAUUGGGUUUUUCACAAAAUCCAAACCGGAUUUUUUCUGAGUCACCGGGUUUAUCGGUUCAACCGCGGGUCCGGGUCGGGUUUCAAAACACUGGAUCCAAGUAACUUUUGGACACACUUAGAGGCCAAGGGUUUCUAAUAUACACAUUCUUCUUGUUAUCUUCAAGCCCUUCAGGGACCUUAGAGAGCCAAUGGAUACUACAAGCUAAAUGAACAAAGUGAAGAGGCAACCUGAUAUGGUGAAUCAACUCGUUUCUGCAAUGCUAGGUGCGGGAUAGCGGUGUGUACAGCUUGGUCUCUUGGAGCUCUCUUCGGUAAGAGUUACUUGGAACCUCCACUUCUAUUUACCGUAUAACGCUUAAUCGACAUGAAUGGUUAUAAGUAUGAGGAGUUCCUCGGAAGCUAGCUACGCCAAAGGCGACCCGGAAAGUCCUGGCAUCCGAGGCGACAAGGAGAACCUCACAUUUUCAGGGUUAUCGCCAAUGGUCGAGAACAGCAACUGAGUCUUACGGAUUCUUAGAACACAAUAGUGAAACGUGCCGGGUUCAGUGGGCGGGCGAAACUAGGAUGUAAUAGGUUGAUUUGGGAAUUUUGUUCAAAUCAUGCUUGUAACCGGAACUGAAUCCCGUUAUCGGGUUGAAUAAAAAUUUAUUCAAAAGAAAAAAAAAAUACACAAAGUGAAGAGAUUUGCUUGGAAAUAGCCUCGAGUAAAAAGAACCGGGGACUCCUGAGACGAAGCACCUUCCCUUAACAUCCAUCUUUAGAUUCUCCUUGAAGGAAGUAGCACACUUAAAGGUCAUAUUGAAAUCAUUGUUUGGAAGAUCGUUUAGGCAACAAUCAAUUUCUGGUGGGGUUCGACUUGUUUCUUGGUACUGUAAGCUAUGAUCGUAUUGACGAUUCAAGACAUGGCCAAGAAAGUGUUUUGUCCAGAAGAACAGCCCAAUUCAGCCACUUUAAUGGAUUCAGGGAAACCCAAAUUCAGUAAAGUUUUUCUAAUAUUCUCUACCACAAUCGUUUGUGCUUAGAGAAAACAGUUUUCUGAAAGUUAAAUAUACAAAUAUAACUGGUUAAAUCUUAUUAAAACAAAAUAUAUAUAUAGAUAAGACUUACCCUUACCUGUGAUUUACUAUUUAUAACAUUCAAAAUUUAACUAUUCAUAAACAUUUCUAUAAAAUUAUUUUGAUUAUUACUUAUAUAUUAGACCAUUUUAAUAGAAUACAACAUUAUAUAUGAGAUUAUUUUGCCACUAAAUAGAUUUUAACUUUUUUUUAAAUACUUCACAAUAAUAAAAUAUUAUAGAGAUCUUUUUAAAUUUUAUUUUUAAAUAAUUAAUUAAAUUUAUAGUCAUUAUUCAAAAACAUAACAUAAAUAUUAACUCUGCUUUAGUCUUAUAAAUAAAACAGCAUAUAAUACACAACUUAGAGAUACAUUAUACAUAUAGAAUCAUUUGAGUAUAAGAUAGAUUCGUUUAUCCUAAACCAUAUCCUAAUCAGGAAACUAAAAGUAACUGCUCAUAACGCACCACAAUAAGAUGAUUGGUAAUCAUACACAAAAAACACAACAUUACAUAUCUCAUCCCAUCAACUGGUAUUAAUGUAAUGCACUCCACAUUCUUUUAUCAUCCAUUCGUCACUGUCUACCCAAAACUCGUCAUGUUCGACCUCAAACUCAAAGCAAAGCUCGUCUGAAGUCACGUCUGCUUCGAGUUCAAAGAUGUACAGAUGUUCGUUCCGUUAAAGGACGAAACAGAACGAGUUCACUUCGAUUGCACGGGACAUCGAGGCUAUUCUGUUUGAUCCGAUGAUGUACAUACACCCUUUGACCUUUAGCAGCUUCAACCUCAUCUUUACUAACCAGCAAUAUGCAAGCCUUACAUAUCAUUGGUGAAGGGAAAGGCCUCUCAUUCAACUUUAUUACUAGGGAACCUCCAUUAGCUUGAUAAUUGAAGUAGUUAGGCAUUUCUUUACCGGGUAACAUCGUUAUAUAAUUAGUCGACGUCUGGAUGAUGACAUCUCUCGCUUCUUUAUUCAGUUUGAAGCAGUUGGCGAAGUUGAGAGCAAUCUUUUGAUUAAAAAAGGAGAAAUCUAGUGUCUCUAUACCCUCACAAUCUUCUGCGUCUAGCUCUGAUAAUGAACUUGGAAGCUGUGGGAGUGACAAAAGCUCCUUGCAUCCCUUGACUACAAGUUGACAAAGACGAGAGAUUCUCUUGAUCCAAGGAGAACUCUCUUGUACUUCUGUGUUGCUCAUGAGCAGACCUGUUAGGAUGUCAAGAACGUGAGGGAACUCCUUGAAGUUCUCGUAGUAUGACAGAUGCACGUCAUAUAUGCAAGACAAUUCAUCUAGACGAGACCACAACCUGAUAGAUGAAGGCACUUGUUUAUUCGCAGUUCCACUAAGAUACAUAGAUUUGAUGUUUGUUGAGAUCUCAGGAGAACUUUUCAUCAAGGAGCAAUCAGUGAUGUUGACAGGAAGAACCUCCAGCUUGCAACAUUCUUUCAAAAUCAAAGAGUAUAGUUUAUGGAGGUUUCCAAUAGAGGCAGGAAGUUCCACAAGACUUGAGCAUCUACUAAACUUCAAAUGCUUGAGAUUAGUGGUGUUUCCAAUAGAGGAAGGGACUCCCACUAAACUUGAGCAAUCACUUAAAUCCAAUUCCUCAAGGUUUCUUAUAUUACCAAAACAUGAGGGGAGCUCCACCAACCUUGAACAACUACGAAGAGACAGAAACUCGAGAUUAGUUGCAUUCCCAAUAGAGGAAGGAAGCUCUACCAAACUUGAACAUCCAGUGAGAUCCAACUUUUCGAGAUGAAUGGCAUUCCCAAUAGAGAAAGGGAGCUCUACCAAACUUGAACAUUCACCGAGAUGCAACUUCAUGAGAUGAAUGGCAUUCCCAAUAGAAGAUGGAAGCUCCACUAAACUUGAACAUCCUGUGAGAUCUAAUUCCUGUAGACUAGUGACAGUUGAGAGACUAGAAACAUCCUUCAAGUUUUUUGAAUCACUCAGAUCCACCCACUUGAGAUUCCUAAGCGGCUGACAGAAAAUAUCAACAAGAACACAUUUUUUAAAUGCUAUUAGUCUACUUUUUCAAGUUACAUAGCUGUAAAAAUCUGAUCAAUAAUAAUGAUAACAACUUUGUUAAAAACAUAUGAUAAUUCUUAUGUUACUUACUUUAGUUCCAUCCCACAACUUCUCAAGUUUGCUGCCAUACAUGAUUAGUUCCACGAGGAGCUCUGGGUUGGGAAUACAAUGCAAACAUGUCAUCGGAAAAUAGCUCCAAUCUAGUAAUCUAAGUUUACGAGAUAAAUAGCUUGGUUCACCAAAUAGAUGAAAUGCUUCUCCUCCACCAUCAGGUCCCACGUUUAAUCUUAAGAACUGGAGAUUAGACAUUACUUCAAAGGCUCUCUCACUCAUAUAUAUUUCGUCUCCACGGAAUAUUAUGCCAAUAACACUUCUACUACCCUGAAAACAGAGCCAAAAAUAAGGUAGAGAUGAUUGCAGUUUAUCAAACAGACUCAAUUUAUAACGAGAAGUAGUGCAAUAAAACACUAAUAGCAAAAAUUACCGCUGCAUCAUCAGCAAGUACUUCACAAAUCUCUCUGUUAUCGACCAAAAACUGGCGUUGUCCAGGCUCCGUGGACUGUUUGCGGACAAUAUCUCUACCUAGCUGGACUAGCAGAUCAUGCAUACUCACACGUUCACUUUCCAAAGAUAUGACAGACUUCUCAGCUAAGACGUUAAGCCGUUGCCUCACAUCAGUAAAUCUCUUUGAAAGAUGCUCUACCACUUUCUCUAUCCACUCAUUGUUGAAAAAGCAGGCUAUGUGAAGAAACAAAUCUUUAUUUUCAUGAGAUAGUGCGUUAUAACCGAACAUCAAAAUGCUCUCAAUUUCUCCAUCAAGGCACAUCCUUAGCCCUGGUAGUGCGUUUUCCCACUCCUCCUUCAACAUUCCUCGAAAAUAAGAUCCCAUAACCCUUAGUCCCAAUGGGAGUCUACCGGCGAGUCUUGUAACUUCCCGUACAAGUCUCUCAAAACCAUCUUCAGGGGACUUUUGACCAAAAGCAUACAUACAAAACAUCUGAAUAGCCUCACGAUCUGAUGGAAAAUCAACCUUGUAUAUUUGAGUGAUCCCAUGUGCCUUCAGAAUCUUUCGAUCUUGCGUCGUAAUGAUAAUCCGACUUCCAUGACCAAACCACCGAGUUUCUUUUGCCAUGGCUUCUAGUUGUACUAACCGAUCAACGUUAUCAAGAACAACAAGAACUUUCUUGUCACUCAGUCUUUCUCGUGCAACUCCCAAGUGAGAAAUCUUGAAAUCCUCCUCCUUCUCGUUGAUUAGUUGAGACAAAAGCUUUUGCUGCAAGUGCAACUUCACGUUGUAGUCGUCUGAACAAACCGGUGGAGUAUGCAUUGCUUUGACAUUCAUCAUAAAGACACUGUAUUGAAAUGUAUCUGAUAGUUGAUUAAACAGACACCUAGCAAUGGUGGUCUUGCCAAUCCCAGCCGGCCCCCAAAUCCCUAUCAUCCUCACUUCAUCCAAAUCUGUGCGUAAAACCGGCGAAAUCUUCUCCAUAUGAGCUUCCAUCCCAAUGAAUUCUUCGAAAUCUCUUGACGGCGUGGAGUUAAACAACUUGUUUGCAACCUCAGUGGCAACAUCUUCUAUCAUUUUUACAUCAUUAUCCCUUAUACAACAUAUUCAAAAUAUAUCAAAGUCAAUUAAAUUGUUCAAAGAUAGUUUAAUUUGUGUUUGGAAAGAUUUGACGAACCAGUUAUUUGAAUGGUAACCAGCGAGUGUGGCCACUUUUGCUAGAGCUUUACUCCAUUUUCCAAUAACCUCAUUUGUUUUACUUUUACAUGUUUCUUUAAAGACUUUCCAAAACUCACCAGCCUGCUUCUUGACAUCACUUGGAUCCACUUCAUAGAAAAUGGGCAUCACUGUUUGACCUAACUCUUCCUUACACUUCAUAAUCUCCACUAACUCGUCGAGACACCACGAUGAAGAAGCGUAUCUUUUCGAGAGCAACACAAUCGCAAUUCUUGAUCCUUGGAUUGCCUUCUUGAGCUCAGGGCCUAUAAACUCUCCUCUAGGGAUCUCUUUAUCAGUAUUAGUGAUGGGCCUAACUCACACCCAAAAGCUAGCUCAAGAGUGGAGGUUUACCCAUACACUUAUAUAUUGCCCAAGGACCAUCAUCCCACACGAUGUGGGACUCUAAUAGCCCCUCUCGAGAUGUGGAUGGGAAACGGUCCAAUCGGAAACAGCCCAAGUCCAACAUCUCGGACAUACCACAGCAAGAUGGGCCAUUUGUACAGACUACAUAAGUAGGAAACUGUUUAUAUGGGAAAUCAUCUGCUGGGCUUUUACCAUGGGCUCUGAUACCAUAUUAGUGAUGGGCCUAACUCACACCCAAAAGCUAGCUCAAGAGUGGAGGUUUACCCAUACACUUAUAUAUUGCCCAAGGACCAUCAUCCCACACGAUGUGGGACUCUAAUAAUCAGUGAACAGGUUGAUUCCUUUGCUCCCAAGCUCCUUGAGAAAAUGACUGAGAAAGGAUUUACGGACAUCUGCUCCGUGGAAGCUCGGGAAGACAUCAUGUAUGCAGUUACGUGGCAAAGACGACUUUGGAGAUGGUGGAGAUGAAGAAGAGUAAGCAAUUAUUUUGUUUUCUUGGACUAUGAACUUUGCAUAAACAAUAGAAAAGAUUUUACUACACAAAAGCGUAAACAUGGUAGAAGCAACUGUCACAAGGAGAAGGUAAAGAUCCAUUACUACGCUAGAGAAAAGAUCUAUAGAUCAUAGAGACUCUGCGAGAUAGAGGGUAACGAUUUACAAAGAGGUUUUGUAUACCAUGUUAGACGUUAUUGACUAAGCUUAAAUGGAAAUAAAGUUAUAUUUUCCUAGAAAAUACUAUGUUAUUUCACAGAGAAAGCUAUCAUGUAGGUUCCACCAUUCUUGUAAGUUUUAUAAACCGAAGUUCUUGGAUAUUUCCUGUGCUUUGAAAAUGAAAUUUCCCUUUUAAUCAAUUUGAUCAGUCCGGUUUAAAAUGAGUUUUUUUUUUCCUUUUUCAAAUUGUCACUUGGAGAAGCUAUGGUUUGGUCAAUUUGCAUUAAAAUCAGUCCGGUUUAUUUCAUUAUUUUCCAUAAUCUUUUAUUUUAUUUUGGUUUUUAAAUAGUACAACUAGAUCCCGACUCGCGCAACCGUGCGGAUUUUUGUUUUCAUUUAUUUUUAUAUAAAUAUUUUAUUUUCAAUUCUAAAUUAGUAUAUAUUAUAAUAUAUGUGUCUAUCGAUUUCUAAAAACAUAAUAAGUUUACGGUAUAUUUUUUUCAUUGAAUAGAUUGUUUCAAACUUUCACAUGUAUUUGUAUCUUCUUAUAUAUAUAUUUUCGGAUUAUUAUUUCAUUAUUAAAAUCAUAAAUAUAUAUAAAGAUUAGUAAAAUAUUGUUUUAUUUUCAUAUUCAAAGAUAUUGUAACAUUUCACAAAUUUAGAAAGUUUUUAAAAAUUAAAGUUUCCGCUUCAUAGAUUUAUAUUAUUGAGUAAAUAAUUAAACAUUUAGUUUUGUUUAAUUUUUAAAAUAAACUAUAUAGUUUAAAAUUUGUUUUCAUUGGUUUAAGGUAGUAAAGAUUAAUCAUUGUUAGAUAAUAUGAUUUUGUUAUUUAAAAAAAAAUCUUUAUAAUUCUAAAAGUUAAGAUGUUAAAAUAUUUAACAUAUGGAGGUAUAGUAUUACAACAUUAAAUUAUAUAUAUUUAAUUUAUACUAUCUUUAAAUUCAAUGGAUCAUCUAUUCUUUAAAUUCAAUUAUUGAUAGCCUAAUAAAAAUUUCUGGUAACUUCAAAAUUUAAAUGAUAAGAUUAUAGAUUAAAUGUAACAUGACUUCUUAAGAAUAGAUCUAUUAGGUCCAUUUUUUAAAAAAUCACACAUGAAUCAAUGUUGUGACUUCUGUUUUAAUAUAUAAGAUAUCUGGUUUCAAUUAGGCAACAAGAUUUUUGACUAUCAUUCCAAAUUAAUGAUUUUGGUUCAAAUCAUCCAUGUUGAUGGUGGAUUGUGUAACAAGUUUGGUCUUGAGAGACCUCUUUGCUGUUCUUCCCAGCCUUAAUGCUGCUUUAAGUUGCUAUAACGAGAUUCAAUAAGAAAAACAACCUUGAUUUUUGAUAUCCAGAAAAUUGUGACUUGUGCAAGCUAGUGUUGUGAGCCUUGUGACGUUGUCCAGUCACGUUUAGAACAAACAUGGUUUAACACUUCAAAACAAAUAGUUAAUGAUACUAAAUAUGUCAAGAUCAGAUUAACAAAAGCUUUUAGUUUAACAAAUAGUUAGCUAGCAUAAUUUCUGAUGAUCCUGCUGUAAAACCAUUUUCGGUUCUCACAUGUCACUGCCACAGCAGCUUGUCCGACUCAAAGAAACUGAAAAAGACACUGGACUCUGAUCAUGAUCCACACCUUGUUUGCACUCUUGUUCCUCCUUACUUAGGUUGCGCCCCUAAGAUCCACAAAAAUAUAUACUGAAGCUAAGAGAGAUGGUUAUAAAUAGAUUACUAAAAGUUGAAAACAAAGAAGAUGUACCAAGGAGCAGAUGAAGUUGCUUUAAACUCAGACUCGAGAUUGUCAAGCUCUAUGCCAUUAUCUUUUGCAAAUGACUCCAUCUGACAUAUAUUUUGGUAGACAGCAUCCCUCUGCUCUUUUAGAGCCAAUUGUUGCCUCUCCAGCUCAAGAAUCCUGUGUUCCAUUUUCACCAAAAUCUUCUUUCAGAGCCAUUAUCUUUCUAUUGAAACCGUUUUGCUCCUCCAUUUUCUUUAGUUGUGUAUCUUUAAGAGCCACCAGUUUGUUGAUCCUUGCCAGGGGCGCUGAAACAUCGAAACCAUGUUUCUCUAGCUCGGCGAAGGAAACCUUGAGGCUAUCUAGUUGGCUCAUGGAAACGUCAGGUUCAAGAUCCUUAAAGUUCUCCAAUAACCUUAAAGUUCUUCACUUUCCCCAACCACUAGGCUUAAAUGAGGAUUUUGUGGUGGUGCUCUCUAGAAGACUUCCAUUGUUUCAAGUUCCUUCCAGAGAUGUGACUUUUUCGCAAAAGGCAAAACCAUGGUUGUGGCCUCAACACCAGGAGUAGAAGAACUAAGGUUAUGUUCUCUUUUCCUCUUUUGAUUGUUGUUAACUUCUCCGCUGCUCUCCUGCAACCAACCGUGAAACCAUUUAAAAGGAACCUUAGUUAGUGCAUACAAGUGCUUAGAAAGUAAGAGUGCCAAUGCUGAAGCAAAGAUAGAUUUAGCUUUACAUUCUCUUGUGUUGUAUGGUUUCCCAAGCCACUCUGAUCACUCACCGGCUGAACAGAGAUUUCCUCAGUUCCCGCAGAUCUGGCCGGGGAAGGGGCUAGAGAUGAAACUGAUUCAGUUGCUGAAAAACAAGAACAAGAACAUCCAUAUUACAUUUGCAGAUAAAUUGAACAAGAAUCAAGAACAUUCAUUUCAUCUGCUGUUACUAUAAUGGCACUGCACGUAUCAUUGAUUGAUCUCACUCAGCCUUUUUAUCCAACUCUUUGGUUAAGCAAACAAUGAGAGUUAAGACAUACCAGUUUCACUGAGCUCUUUCUCUCCAUUUUCCCCAGAGCUCAGAGACAUUUGAGGAGUGAUGGCAGCAUUUACUUCACUAGUGUUUUGCUGAAAAGGGAAACAACACAACACUCUGAGUUAUAAAUCAAACAAGAACCGCACACAAAGUUGACUGAAACCAGAAAACUAACCAAGACCAGUGUGGUUAUUGACUCCCCUGAAGGCCUUAGAGCAUCGUGUUUGAACACCAAAGACUCGUUAGUAGCAUUCAAACACACAGUGUACCUAUUCUCACAGAGGAGACUCGUCACCGUCCCUGAACGCCAUCCCGGUUCAAGAAACACUUCAACAGACUCCAUCAAUCCAUAGCUUCUUUCAACAGAAACAUGGACUGGUGUGAGCCUAAUGCUGCUUAAACCAACGGUCCUGUUUGGUUUUGGUGUUUCACCAUCAUCCCAGCUAAUGUGCUUGAAAGGCUUGACAAUGAAACUCUUCUUAUCCCCCAUCACCUUAACAAUCACCGAUGGUACCCACACAUCAACCUCAUCAUCAUCAUCCGUGUCAUUCACUUCCACCAUGGUUCCACAGCUAAAUGUUAAUGUCUUAUAUAGAAAUCUCUUCAAUAACCCAAAAAAAGAAAAUUAAGAAAUAAUGAGAAACCACAUAAACACACAAGAAAAGAAAAAAAGCACAACAAAGAAAGCUCGAACCUUCUUUCGUGGUCUGUCCCACACGUGACUCUGUCAAAAUGCUCUCUGAGCUGUUCUGUCUUGAUCUGGAACAGAUCCGGUGGUGAAUUGAAGUAAACCCAAGCUUUCUCAUGGUCUUAUCUUCUUGAAAAACACACCGGUCCACCACCCACCUCUCUGAGACGCCUCCACCACACACCCUUCCUUGAAAUCCACCUCCGUGAACAGAUUUUCCGGCGGAACCGGACGGAUAUACCUCCGGUAAGUGAUUUUCCGAGUAUUGGAGCCAUCGUCCGAUAGGAAAGACACAUGAAGCCUUAUGUUUCCAAAUACAGGCACAGAGGUUUCAAGAAUGGCUCUGAACCAAGACCCUUUAAGACCUUCUUCGUGUGAGGAGACUUCAAUCUCAUCGCCUUUCUUCAUUGGCAUUGUCGGAAAAUAGAAACCCUAGAACUGAGAGUGGGUGAACAGAGAGUCAUAACAAAAUAAAUAUCCUCUGGACUUAGACUUUAACUCCAGAUGCCCUCAUGAGAAAAAAACUAACCUUCAUAUCCCCUCUCUAUUCUCAAUACCCCCAUUGUCAUUGCAAAUACCAAAUUAGCCUCUCAUUUCUUUAAUAUAUUUCUUCCACCUCAUUAACUCAUUUAUUUCUUCACUUAAAUAAACCAACAACCAAGAUGGCCCACCAGAGACAACCUUAACCAAUCAGAGAAGACCUGGCCCACAUGUCUUCAAGUUUCCCUCUUUCUCCGCGUGAAGCUCUCCUUCCUCACUCUCCAUUGGCGAAUUUGAAGCUUCAUAAACAGGUUAUUCUUGUCCGUUUUUGAUGUUUUUUUUUGUGGAAUAGCAUUUAAAUGUUGUGUAUAUCAUGGGUAAUGUAAAAAAAGUAAGAAUUAAUGAAAGUUUUGAGAGAGUAAAAACGAGUCUGAAAACUGUGAAUAUAGAUUUCGGGUAUAUUUUAUGUCCGGUUUUGAUGAAAUUUUUGCUUGACUACUAUUAAAAAGAAGCGUAUAUCUCGCCUAGUAUUUAAAAAGAAAGAUCGGAUGCAAAUUUUAAGAGAUUUAAAAAGAUUUUGAAAACUAUGUUUAUGGGUUUAUGGUAUAUUUUAUGUCCAUUUUCGAUGAUCUUUUGUAUGUAAUUUCAUUAAUAUGAAUUAUAUAUCAUGGGUAAUGUAAAAUCUGAACAAAAUCGUCCUAAAAAUUUCAUUAGCUAGUGCAAGGAUAAUUUCUGGGUAUUACUAUGAUAACUAAAGUUUACUAAGGUAAAAUUGUUUUACUAGUAAUACUAGUAUUACUAAGUAUAUUACUGAAAUGAAAUGAAAAAGUAUUAGUAAGAGAGUACAAGCUUCCUAAUAAUGGUAAUUAAAUUGUAAUAUAAUUAAAAUUCUAUUUUAUUUCAGGAAAAAUGCAAAAUCCACCUUGCACAAUCAUUUGUUUUGACUACGGGGGAUAUUAUAUUAAGGAUGGGGCCGAAAUGAAAUGGAUUUCGGGAGAUGGUGAAGGAGAAGAUGAAAUUCACACGAUUGUGUUUAAGGAAUCAGUGGAGGAGAUCACAUACUCUGCUUUGGUUGAGCGUAUUUGCAGAAAGAUAAAGGUAGAUGGAUAUAAGGUGGAAACGAAGAUUAGUUACUUUCCAAUGGUCUUGUAUUCAAACAAGCUAUCAUAUGUCUGGAAUGAUGAAGAUGUUUUUGGUUAUCUACUGCAAGUAAAUCAUGAGAAGUGUAGAAGUGUUCUACAUGUGGAGUUCAACAAAACGGUUCAAGAAGAGGAUGAUGAAGCUGAUGUCUAUGUCGGUCUAUCCGAUAGAGAGGCUACUGAUGGAGAGGCUACUGAUACAUGGGCUACUGAUAGAGAGGCUUGUGAAGCAGAUGGUGUGCUCACACUUUACGAUGACAUUGAAAUUCAUGGUAAUGUCACCGAAAGAGAUGCGAUUGUGAUUGAAGAUACAGAAGCAAGACCAUCAGUUGAAGUAACCCCAGCUGUCAAGGAACGGGAUGAUGGUAUGGAUUUGGCUGUAGGUCAAGAAUUUAGAACCAAGGAGGAAGCACAAGUUCAUAUUCAGACGGCUUCACAUCUGAAGUGUUUUGAGUAUGAUGUAAUUAAGUCGGACACUAAGAGAUAUGUGAUAAAAUGCCGAGCAGCCAAAGAAGGCUGCAAGUGGUAUGUGCGUGUUGCAAAGUUGAUGAAUUCAGAUAGUUGGACGGUUAGAAGUUACAUCAAACAGCAUAGAUGUUCUGUUGUUACUACAAGAACACUUCCUAAUAGAAGGAGAGGCACACCAGGAAUCGUUGCAGCUGUUUUGGCUCAAGAUUAUCCCGGUAGUUUAGACACACCAGCUCCCAACGCCUUGAUCCAGCUGGUUCAUCACAGGGUGGCUGUGAAAGUAUCAUACACAACGUCAUGGAGAGGAAAAAGAUUAGCUGCUAAUAAAGUGCGAGGAAGUCCAGAAGAGAGUUAUACUUUAUUAAAUUCUUAUAUGCACAUGCUAAAGCAGUCGAAUCCUGGCACAGUAGCUCGAGUGGUUGUGGAUGAGGCCCAAAAGUUUAAAUAUCUGUUUUUUGCUUUGGGAGCUAGCAUAGAAGGGUUUACCGCUAUGAGGAAAGUCCUCAUUGUCGAUGCAACACACCUGAAGAAUGUUUAUGGUGGAGUUCUAUUCGUUGCGACUGCUCAAGAUCCCGAUCAUCACCACUAUCCAAUUGCGUUUGGUAUUGCAGAUGGUGAGAAAGAGCAUAGUUGGGUGUGGUUUAUGGAACAGUUGAAAUCAGUGAUAUCUGAUGUUCCUGGAUUGGUGUUUCUUUCAGAUAGAAACAAAAGCUUGAUCAAGGCAGUAAGUCUAGUGUUCCCUCAGGCCGCUCAUGGUUAUUGUAUAUGGCAUUUGGCUCAGAAUGUUAAAGUACAUGUCCGUAACAACAGAGAAACUUGCACGUUUAAGUUUAUGGGCUGCGCACACGCUUAUACAGAGGCUGAGUUCUUGAACCUUUAUAAUGCUUUUCGCAUGAGGUAUCCUAGCGCAGCGGAGUAUCUUGACAAAAGUGUUGAAGAGAGGAAAUGGGCGAGAUGUUACUUUGAAGGAGAUAGGUACAAUGUUGACACCACCAAUUCAGUGGAAUCUUUUAAUGGUGUUAUUAGUGACGCGAGAAAGUUAAACAUACUACCAAUGUGUGAUUUCAUCAUUGGGAAAAUGGCUGAAUGGUUCAACAUACAUAGGAAGGAGGCAGCUGAAAUACCACCCGCACUAAAGCUUGUUCCUAUUGUGGAAGCGGAAAUGUCUAAAAGAUGUGUUGAUGCAGGGUUUCUUUCCGUUGUCGAGUUAAACAGCUUCCAUCUUGAGUACAGUGUCUCAGGAAGUGACGGGAAGCAUUAUACCGUUGAUAUGGCUAUGAUGACUUGUAGCUGUGAGCAAUUUGAUAAAGACAAAUACCCAUGUGUCCAUGCAGUAGCUGCUGCCACAUUCAUGACUGAUAAAGCGGGAAAGGAACUUCAUCUAUCUGAGUAUUGUUCUAAGUACUAUUUAGUGGAGCAAUGGGCUUUGGCUUAUCACAGGACAAUAUAUCCUGUUCCUCAUAUGUCUGAUUGGAUUAUACCUGAAGAAGUUAAAGCAAUGAAAGUGCUUCCUCCAGAUUAUGAAGUCAAAAAAGGAAAACCGCAGCAAACUCGAUUUCCAUCGGCAGGAGAAUCUCGUGGAAGAGGAAAAAGAGGCAAAGGGAGAGCCAGCGGCACAGGUAGAGCCAGCGGCACAGGCACCGCUGACGGCACAGGCACCGCUAACGGCACAGGCAGUACCAGUGGCGCUGGCAGUUCCAGCGGCACAGGCAGAGCGAGAGGAGGAGGUAUGGGAGCGUAUUUUGAAUGUGGAAUUGGUGCAGGUCCAGGUGUUUGAUUUCUAGGAUUACUGGGUUUACUGAGNNNNNNNNNNNNNNNNNNNNNNNNNNNNNNNNNNNNNNNNNNNNNNNNNNNNNNNNNNNNNNNNNNNNNNNNNNNNNNNNNNNNNNNNNNNNNNNNNNNNNNNNNNNNNNNNNNNNNNNNNNNNNNNNNNNNNNNNNNNNNNNNNNNNNNNNNNNNNNNNNNNNNNNNNNNNNNNNNNNNNNNNNNNNNNNNNNNNNNNNNNNNNNNNNNNNNNNNNNNNNNNNNNNNNNNNNNNNNNNNNNNNNNNNNNNNNNNNNNNNNNNNNNNNNNNNNNNNNNNNNNNNNNNNNNNNNNNNNNNNNNNNNNNNNNNNNNNNNNNNNNNNNNNNNNNNNNNNNNNNNNNNNNNNNNNNNNNNNNNNNNNNNNNNNNNNNNNNNNNNNNNNNNNNNNNNNNNNNNNNNNNNNNNNNNNNNNNNNNNNNNNNNNNNNNNNNNNNNNNNNNNNNNNNNNNNNNNNNNNNNNNNNNNNNNNNNNNNNNNNNNNNNNNNNNNNNNNNNNNNNNNNNNNNNNNNNNNNNNNNNNNNNNNNNNNNNNNNNNNNNNNNNNNNNNNNNNNNNNNNNNNNNNNNNNNNNNNNNNNNNNNNNNNNNNNNNNNNNNNNNNNNNNNNNNNNNNNNNNNNNNNNNNNNNNNNNNNNNNNNNNNNNNNNNNNNNNNNNNNNNNNNNNNNNNNNNNNNNNNNNNNNNNNNNNNNNNNNNNNNNNNNNNNNNNNNNNNNNNNNNNNNNNNNNNNNNNNNNNNNNNNNNNNNNNNNNNNNNNNNNNNNNNNNNNNNNNNNNNNNNNNNNNNNNNNNNNNNNNNNNNNNNNNNNNNNNNNNNNNNNNNNNNNNNNNNNNNNNNNNNNNNNNNNNNNNNNNNNNNNNNNNNNNNNNNNNNNNNNNNNNNNNNNNNNNNNNNNNNNNNNNNNNNNNNNNNNNNNNNNNNNNNNNNNNNNNNNNNNNNNNNNNNNNNNNNNNNNNNNNNNNNNNNNNNNNNNNNNNNNNNNNNNNNNNNNNNNNNNNNNNNNNNNNNNNNNNNNNNNNNNNNNNNNNNNNNNNNNNNNNNNNNNNNNNNNNNNNNNNNNNNNNNNNNNNNNNNNNNNNNNNNNNNNNNNNNNNNNNNNNNNNNNNNNNNNNNNNNNNNNNNNNNNNNNNNNNNNNNNNNNNNNNNNNNNNNNNNNNNNNNNNNNNNNNNNNNNNNNNNNNNNNNNNNNNNNNNNNNNNNNNNNNNNNNNNNNNNNNNNNNNNNNNNNNNNNNNNNNNNNNNNNNNNNNNNNNNNNNNNNNNNNNNNNNNNNNNNNNNNNNNNNNNNNNNNNNNNNNNNNNNNNNNNNNNNNNNNNNNNNNNNNNNNNNNNNNNNNNNNNNNNNNNNNNNNNNNNNNNNNNNNNNNNNNNNNNNNNNNNNNNNNNNNNNNNNNNNNNNNNNNNNNNNNNNNNNNNNNNNNNNNNNNNNNNNNNNNNNNNNNNNNNNNNNNNNNNNNNNNNNNNNNNNNNNNNNNNNNNNNNNNNNNNNNNNNNNNNNNNNNNNNNNNNNNNNNNNNNNNNNNNNNNNNNNNNNNNNNNNNNNNNNNNNNNNNNNNNNNNNNNNNNNNNNNNNNNNNNNNNNNNNNNNNNNNNNNNNNNNNNNNNNNNNNNNNNNNNNNNNNNNNNNNNNNNNNNNNNNNNNNNNNNNNNNNNNNNNNNNNNNNNNNNNNNNNNNNNNNNNNNNNNNNNNNNNNNNNNNNNNNNNNNNNNNNNNNNNNNNNNNNNNNNNNNNNNNNNNNNNNNNNNNNNNNNNNNNNNNNNNNNNNNNNNNNNNNNNNNNNNNNNNNNNNNNNNNNNNNNNNNNNNNNNNNNNNNNNNNNNNNNNNNNNNNNNNNNNNNNNNNNNNNNNNNNNNNNNNNNNNNNNNNNNNNNNNNNNNNNNNNNNNNNNNNNNNNNNNNNNNNNNNNNNNNNNNNNNNNNNNNNNNNNNNNNNNNNNNNNNNNNNNNNNNNNNNNNNNNNNNNNNNNNNNNNNNNNNNNNNNNNNNNNNNNNNNNNNNNNNNNNNNNNNNNNNNNNNNNNNNNNNNNNNNNNNNNNNNNNNNNNNNNNNNNNNNNNNNNNNNNNNNNNNNNNNNNNNNNNNNNNNNNNNNNNNNNNNNNNNNNNNNNNNNNNNNNNNNNNNNNNNNNNNNNNNNNNNNNNNNNNNNNNNNNNNNNNNNNNNNNNNNNNNNNNNNNNNNNNNNNNNNNNNNNNNNNNNNNNNNNNNNNNNNNNNNNNNNNNNNNNNNNNNNNNNNNNNNNNNNNNNNNNNNNNNNNNNNNNNNNNNNNNNNNNNNNNNNNNNNNNNNNNNNNNNNNNNNNNNNNNNNNNNNNNNNNNNNNNNNNNNNNNNNNNNNNNNNNNNNNNNNNNNNNNNNNNNNNNNNNNNNNNNNNNNNNNNNNNNNNNNNNNNNNNNNNNNNNNNNNNNNNNNNNNNNNNNNNNNNNNNNNNNNNNNNNNNNNNNNNNNNNNNNNNNNNNNNNNNNNNNNNNNNNNNNNNNNNNNNNNNNNNNNNNNNNNNNNNNNNNNNNNNNNNNNNNNNNNNNNNNNNNNNNNNNNNNNNNNNNNNNNNNNNNNNNNNNNNNNNNNNNNNNNNNNNNNNNNNNNNNNNNNNNNNNNNNNNNNNNNNNNNNNNNNNNNNNNNNNNNNNNNNNNNNNNNNNNNNNNNNNNNNNNNNNNNNNNNNNNNNNNNNNNNNNNNNNNNNNNNNNNNNNNNNNNNNNNNNNNNNNNNNNNNNNNNNNNNNNNNNNNNNNNNNNNNNNNNNNNNNNNNNNNNNNNNNNNNNNNNNNNNNNNNNNNNNNNNNNNNNNNNNNNNNNNNNNNNNNNNNNNNNNNNNNNNNNNNNNNNNNNNNNNNNNNNNNNNNNNNNNNNNNNNNNNNNNNNNNNNNNNNNNNNNNNNNNNCGGCUCUUGCACAUCCUAGGACAAUCUUCAGAAGGUGUGUCUGUAGAUAGUCGAAAUGUUUUCCCCAGCUUAGGAAUACACUCAAAAUCCAAAAUCUACACAAAUAUUGUAGCGCUAUCAGAUUUACGGUUAUAAAACAACUCAUAUUUGACUAAAUUGUAUGCUUUACCUCUAAUGGAAUUAUGAAUCCAGGAAAGCCGCAUGCCGAGUGCACUUCACCCUUCAGAAGCUCCAUCAUAUGCUUGAUGUUCUUUAUUGCAUCUUCAAAUGUCAAACGACCCCAUGGAAAUGUUCUGCAAACAUCCAAAUCUUCCACGAUCCUUAAGAUGAACGGGUCUACUGGUCCGGAAUCCUUUGCCUGUCCUCUGAUAACCCGACCAAGGAAGAACAAGACAGCCAUCUUCAAUCUAUCAUUGCAUGGCGUCUUCAUAGACAACAGCUUCUGCUCCACAUCUGUUAUGGUGAUCUUCUUUAGUCCACCGAAGUAAUAAUCCACAAACUUCGUACUCCCGAGCUUCAAAUAUUUCCUUGGAUACUCAUGGCAGUCUAAGCCCGAGAUGAGGGCAUGCUCCCUCAUAGAAUAGCGGAUGGGAACACCAUUCAGACUAAACCAUGCAACAUCUUCUUCUUCAGUCGAAAUGGUGCGCAAGAGUAACAUCCACAUUCCUUGGAGCUUCAGGUAUUGUUCAUCAGGCAUGUGGAAGAAGUGACGAAAUUGAGGAUGGGUUGUGAACCAUUUAACCUCCUCCUUAAGCUUCUUAAUCACGUCCACUGUAUUCUUCACAAGGCACUUGGUUUGAAUCUUGCAAGUCUUCGUGAACUCUGUGCUCUUGAAGCAUAAUUCAAGGGGCUGUGGUGGUUGCCUUGCCUGCAAUCAUAAUAUAUAUGUAUUAGUCAUUUGUUACUACUAAAAUUAGUAUACUUUCACACUGACAAUGAUUAAAACGAGUGCAAAAACUACCUUAGAUGAUACAGCAGACAUGUCAUCACUUUCUGAAUCAACAGAGAGAGAAACUACAGUCGUUUCUCUUGCCGGCUCAUUCCCAGCUGAGACCGCCUUUCUAGCUCUAGUUCUACUGGAGACUCCAACGCACGUAGUAGAUGGAUUCUUUCUUUUUCGGCCCUUCAUUUCCUGUACAAGAAAUUAGAAACGCUGUUAAAAACACAACAAGUCACUGUCAAUUACUCCAAAUGCAAACCGCAUAGCAAACAUCAAUUAUUACAUCUCAACAAUGUAAUACUCAAAGGAAACUACUCACUUACGAAAAGGAACGAAGAUGGAGACUAGAUUUCGUCGGAGAAAGAAGAAGAAACGAAGCAGUUCUCGACUCUAGAGAGUUGAGACCCGAGAAAUAAGAGGGAGAGAGGACGUCCACAGAGAGAUUGAUUGAUUCUCGAUUUAGACGGAGGAGGACGACGGAGAAAGCCACAAAGCACGGAGGCUAGGGUUUCGCGCAAUCGCAAGAGAGAAGCCGGAGAGGGACGAGACGGGAUUUAGAUUUAGGUGGAGAGGGAGAGAGACGAAACGCUUCGUUUAGAGAAUAGGAUCCGGUUCAGUUUGGUUGGGUCGGGUAGAGCAGGUCGGGUUGGUAAUAAGUUGGUUUCAUUAAGGUCCCUAGCGUCUUUAACCACGAUUUACCCGAUUUUAUAUUUAAAAAAAAAUAAAAAAUAUAUUAUUUUUUAUUACAGGGUGAAAUCAGCAUUUCUAAUGGAGCUAAUGGAGAGGGAGGGGCAUCUCGAGUUAAACUCCUCUGGACUUUGGUAUUAUUUUUUUUUUCAUUUUGGCGCGAUUUAAAUUAUUAUGAAAAAAAACAAAAAUUAACUAAUGGGCCUACGAUUGUUGGGCCUGGGCUUAGAAAUGAAAGUUAUAAAGAGCCUGAGGUGAAAUCUCUGUUCGAUGAGGCGGAAAGUGCCUUCGAGUCGCCAGUUCAUAUUCUGGUUAACUCCGCGGUGAAAUUGUAUGUGUUUUCUUGAUUAACAAUGUACACGUUACAAUGAAUAUAUACUAGAGGUCUCGUUCUGUACAAGGGAUAUAGUCAAGUAUCGAGAUCCAAGAAUAUAGGAGAUGAUGAGCAUGUCUGAAUUCGAACCAAAUGUGAUAUGUUCUGUCUGGCUAUUGAGUUAGAAACAUGAUUCCUUCCUGUACGUCAUUUCGACAUGAAUUUUUGAGUUUAAUCUUGCCUUGACGUUUGAUCAAAAAAAAAAAUCUUGCCUUGACGUUAAAGUUUUAGUUCAUUAGCUUGGUUAUGUCUGAAUUCGAACCAAAUGUGAUAUGUUCUGUGUUUUUUUUUUUUUGAGUUAUAAAAAUGAUUCCUUUAGUCUCAUUUCAACUGGCAUUUCGUGUUUGAACCAUUGUUACAUAUCUGUACUUGAUCAAUCCGAAUACACUUUAAGUUCCAACGUUUUUGAGAUCUGAAAUUGUUAAAUUUUGAACCAAAUGAAACAUGUCCCGUGUUCUUGAGAUGUGUAUGUCUAAUCUCGAAUCAAAGGUUAAUGCUUUCAUCGGCUGGUACUUGUGUUCUUAAUCACUCUCUGUUUGACUUUUGUUUCUUAUGGAAUGGGUAGUGUCAAUACAAAAGGGGCGUUUCCUUGCAGCAAAGAAGCUGCUAAUAGGCUCAAACAAGGAGGCGGUGGUCGGAUCAUACUCCUCAAAUAAGAUAUUUAAUAGUCGGUUCUUAAUUUUUUUAGUUAAAAGUUAAGAGAAAAGUUCUUAUAUUCAGUUAAGAACCUCAUCCUAACCUCACCCUAAGAACCCCCAAUAAUCAUGCUCUACUUAUUUAUUGAGUAUCUAAGCAAUUAAGAAAAAUAAGAAAUUAAAGAAAUUAGGAAAGAGACAACAAAAGUAUCUAGAAAAAGAACUUUUAAGAAACUCUUAAAAGUUAAAUGACAUUUUUCAAGUUAGUUUUUUUCUAAAAAUUAAAACUUAAUUCAUUAAUUAAACUUUGUUAAAAUAUUAGUUUUUUUGUACUUUAGAGCCUUACUUAAGAUAUUAUACCAACAAGGGUGCUCUUAGACACAUGCCCAUCUUUGGGUUUCACCGUGUAAGUUUGAUCGUAUUGUUUUUCUAUGUAAAUCUAAUUCUUUCGGGUUUCUUCCCAAUUCGAUAAUGACUUUCACCUCCUUUUAGGUCUUUGAUUCAUAUUUUAGGCUUAAAUUUCUAGGUCAGAAUUUACACUCCAACUCCAACAUUGAUUUUUUUAGAAAUUUGAUUUAAUUUUGUUAGAUAGCUAAUAAAAAUGCUUUAAAACUAACUAACUAAGUUACAUGAUGAGGAUAAACAAGAUCGCACUCUAUAAAAAAAAAAAAGAUCGCCCUCUAUAUAACAUUGUCUAGUGAUUGUUUUUCUUUAAUUGUGAGUAAACAUUAUAUAUUCAACAAGAUUCUUUUUUUUUCUUGUGCACACUCAACCAAAUGCUUAGAGCAUGAUUAACCAUGGAGACCCAUUAGGGUCUCUUAAUGAAUAUUUAAAUAAUAAAGUUAAGAUAAGAAAUUUUGUUAAGAGACAAUUAGUUUUAGUGCUCCAAUGCAAGAACUCAAUUAAGGGUUCUUAAAAAAGGUUAAAGAUUCUGAAGCCAAAUCUACAAUAUAGCAAGAAAAUUUAGGAGUCAUGAGGAUUACCUUCUCACUGCCAUGAACACCGCCGUCUUUAACCGAUGGUCUUAACACCACGUUUCCUUCUUCUCUUGUACGAUGGACGUACAGAGGAUGACGACGAUGAUUCCUCCACCAUUGAUGCAAUCGACUCCGUUUCUUCCUUUUCUUCCUCCUCUGUUUCUUGUUCUUCGGUUUCAUCUUCUUGAGUUUUGUCAAAUGUUCCGUACUAAGAGGAGAUAGAGUCAGCGUGAGGAACAUCUAACAUUACAGCUCGUCUCAAAGUUGCUUUAUACUCCAAGUUGUGUUCUCUUGCUAGUGAUUCUUCUCUCUCCAUCCUCUGCUUCUCUGGUAUCUCCAUUCUCUUCUCCUUCUCCAACAUUAGCUGCAUGCAGAUGCAAAGCUAUAGAAUCAGUAACCGGUGAAAGAUUUAAAGGAGGUUGGUGGGAGACUUACGUUCAGAGUGGAACACAUGUAUCUUUCAUGCAUCUUAUGCACAACAAACAUGGCAAACUGUCCACAUAAAAACAAAACUCAAACCCAUUACAAGUAAGCAGAGUAAUGGAACAAAACAAAAGGAACUUACAAAAACGCUUGGUAAGUGAAAGAGAACUUUCUAGAAUCAAAAUUGUACCAAAAGAGCAUGCAAAGAUAAAAAAAACUACAUUGUGAGAAUGUUGUGAGCCAUCUUUGAAAGUUUCUAAAAAAACAUACUUUCGUAAACCCUCUGCAUAUAGAGUUCAUGAUCAGUAUAUGAAGUAACACUCCUGAUUCAUGAAUAUAAUUCAUACCCAUACAAUAAAGUUUAUUGCUUUGAUAGCACCCCAUAGUUUUACAGUACCAGGUUCAUGAGUAUCUUCAUAACCUCAAAUCUAUACGUAGCAAAAAUCAAAAUCAGCCAAAUUGACCUAACUAUCCAACGAUCUAAGCUAAGCUGAGCAAAAACCAACUUCAUGAAUCAUACCCACACAAUAAACUUUACUCCUUUGAUAACAUCCAACCAUGGUUUUACAGUACAAAGUUCAUGGGCAUCUCCAUAACCUCAAAUCAAGAAACAACAAAUCAAUAUUACCCAAAUAGACCUUAUUAUACAAGGAUUUUAGUUCAGCCGAGCGAUAAAAAUCAAUACUUUAUUAUGCCCAAAUUAGGGUUUGUGAGAUGAAUCAGAGAAGGAAGCUUACUCGUUGGACAAUGGAGGGUUUUGCAAAGCCUCGACCAGAAAAGGGUCCACUGUCAACCCAUUCUCUAACCACCGUUUACAGCGGCGGUUUCUGAUGGAGGCGUUGUGAAAAUUGGGUCCAUGAGAAUAAAGGAGAUAGAUGUUUCUGGAGACUUCAAGAUUCCUUGUUGACCCUUUUUGUUUUCCUUUCUCUUGCAGCAAAAAGAGAAGACGGAAGUCAAGAGGAAGGGGAGAAUCGAAGCAUUGACAGUGGCGAGAGGCAAAGAAAAGGAGAGGAUGGAAGACACGUGUUUCAUAAGAGACGUUUAUUUUUGUCCUUAUUUAAUAAACGUUUCUUCUAAUUUAUUUUUAAUUCUAACUACACUAAAAACUCCAGCUAAGGAACCGCGAUAAUGAUGCUCUUACUAAGUUCAAUAUAUGUACUCAUAGAUUUCACUCCUAAAAGCCCAAUAGAAAAACGAAACAUGAUAUCUUUUCUUGGAUUGUACUAUAAGCAAAAGUACUUUGGUAAUGCCCAUUAUUACACGAAACAUAGUUUCUACUUCAAGUUUGUACUAGAUUCUGAGGGCGGGUAUAUAUAUAUAUUUUUUUUUUAAAAAAUUUAAUUUCAUAUUUAUAUUUUUUAAAUCAUAUUUGUGUUUUUCUUUAUAAUCAUAUUUGUGUAUAAAUCUUAAUCAAAGACUAUUUUAUAAAAUAAUAGCAAUUUAAAAAAUUGACCCGACAUAUACUCGGUUCUUUGUAAUCAUAUGCAUGUAUGUCCGUUUCUUUGUAAUCAUAUGCUCGUAUGCCCGUGCACUUUCAAAGGGCGGAUUUAUUUCCAAAACAAAUCAAAUUUAUUUGAUAUAAAUUUAUAUAUUUAUUAUCAUUUACAUUUAAAUGUUACAAAGAAAGUAUUAUAAUUGUGCAGAUUAUAAUAUUUUUGACAUUUUAACAGAAAUAAUUUUGAUGACGAAAUAUGUAAUUAGGUUUUAAUAAAAUCAUGAUAUUUUGAAAUUUUUAGCAUUUUGAAUUAUUAAUAUAAUAUUAAUAUUCAUACUCGGAAAACCAAUGUUGAAUUUACCUGUAAGUAUGAGUCUUGAAUCCGAUUCAAUCCGACCUAUAUACUCAAAAAUAUUAAUUUAUUGUAUUUAUCUAAAUUUUGCUAAAUUUUGCUAAAUUUAAUUUAUAAUAUAAUUUUAGAUCUUUUCGCGAUAUUUUCAUAUUUGAUCUGAAUCGAUGAUAAAAAUGGUAAAUCGAGUAUCUACAUAUAAUCCAGCUCAGAUUUUGGAUUAAAUUAUAAAAUUUCUAUUUAAAACUACAUAAAAUCCGGUUAAAAGCUCAACCCGAAAAAAACGUAGAUAAAUCUAAUGAUCUUUUAUUUUUUUUAAUUUAAACUUAAUUUAAUUUCAUGAUAAUUAUAAUUUGUUUAUUUAAAGGCGAAAUCCUAAUUUUAUAGAUAAAUUAGUCAAAUAAUUUGCAUUUCAUGAAAAUGAAAUAAAAUUCUAAUUAUAUUUGGUAAAUAAAAAAUACUUUUUAUAUUAACUAUUUCAAUGGUAGAUAAUAUUAUACUAAUAUAUUAUCUAUUUUAUUAAAAGGGCAGAUUUAGUAAAUAUAAAGCAUAAACUUAGAUUUAAAAUAUUAGUAGUCAUAAUAGUAAGAAUAAAGGUAGAUAUUAAUUCACUGGAUAAACUAAUGUAUAAUGUAUAAGUAAAGUAUUAUUUGUGGUUAUAACAUAUAUUGUCUGUAACAAAAUGUGUAGAUGUUUUAAAAAAAGUGAUGUAGUUAUUAUGCAGAUUUGAAUCAAACGUAUAUCAAUUAUUUAUUGUACACUCUUGUAAACAUGGUAGUUAUGGAUCCUAGAAUAUAGGAAUAAAGGUAAGCAGUUAUAAAAUAUAUAGUUUAAUUUUUAUAUAUGCUGCAUAGGAAAAUAAUAAAUUGGACAUAACCUUUUAUCAAUUGGUCAUGUUGCUGUUUUAAUAGUAUUGAUUAUUAUCACUUCAGGGAAGUGACACUUGGCUGAAGCAACAAAAAAUAGAAGACAAAAUUAUAUAAAGAAACAUGUACACUGUUCAUGUAAAUCGAGUUCAAAAUGCAUCUGAAUCUUUCGAAAAAUCUUCUUUUUUUUUGUUUUGGAAAAAUCUUGAUUCGAACAUUAUAAGUGUACGUAUUUAAUACAAACAACAAAAGGAACACAUGAGAUGGAACCGAUCUCUUUGAUGUUCUUCCUUACAAAACUUUGUUUGUUGGUUUGAUAUCGAAGUUACAUUACAUAGUUUAUGCCUAUAUAUUAAAACUCUGUUUAUUUCUAGUUAUGGAUAACGACGGCGAGUGAUUCCCGGCGACGGAAUAUCAACUGUUUCGCGAUGAAUGCUUCGAUCGUUUUCUGAAACUCUUCGUUCGUCAGAUUGUCCUCCGGAAACGGAACAUCUUCGCACGCCUCCACUAUUUCCCGGCAUUUCUCCGUCUCCGAUCGCCGGAGCAAAGGUUUCGACACCGUCACUGGACACUGUUUCGCAGAGAUUUCCGACUUGCUCCUUUGGUAGACUUUCGUAAGAGGAUGAUCCUUCGAUUUCUUCUCCGGUUCUAUUUGCGCGUGAUCUUCACGCCCCGCCGUGGGAUUUGAGUUUGAGUCAGUUUCGGUGUUGAUUAUCUGUUUAUCGUCGUAGACGAUGAUCUCUUCCGUCAGAUCUCCAAUGUCGGAAGAAUUUGCGCGGUUAUCUCCGGUUCUGAUAAACGCGUCGUAGAUAUACGCCUCUGCUCCGCCGUCGAUGGUACUAGCGGCGGAGAAGACGGUGGAUUUGGUGGUGAGAAGAGCGACGACGAUGAAGUUUCCGAGGACGAACAUGAAGAGAGGAGUGGAGACGACGUAAGAGAUACGGCGGAGAAACUCGCCGGAGAUUUGAACGGCGAAAGGAAGGGAAGUGAAUAUCCAACAGAGUAAGAGAAGAGCGACGCAGAUCUCCGUGAUACGGAAGAGGAAACCAAUGCUAUGGAAACGAUGCAGUGCCUUGGCUUUCUCUGCUUUCACGCUGUCGAAAUCGAUGAAACUCAUUUUCUCAAUGAGAAAUGUGAAAUGUGAGAUUGAAAGAAGUAGUUUUCAGGGAAAGUUCGAAAAAGAAUCGGAGAAGAAUGAAGGAAGUGGACCCAUGACUCUCCCCCAAGCGUCUCUUUUUAUAGAUUUUUAAUUCCCUUUUUCCUUCACAUUAUUGAACCCCCUUUUUUUUUUUCUUUCACCUUUCUAUAUUGUUUUUAUUUAAUCUUGGAGGUCUACUCUAGAUAUCUAAUUUGAAAUUUGAUUACUAAUAAACACUAUAAUUGUUGACUCUUUUUUUAUGGAAUUAUGAAAUUUUAGAUUAAUAAUCAACUAUGCUUUAAAGUUAUAACCAUUUUAAGUAUAAUAAAAUAAUAUUUCUUCUGUUUCAAGAGAAAUACUUUAUUUUUAAAAGAUUAAUUAAUAAAUAUGUAUUUAUUUUUAUUUAUUAAAUACGUAUAAUUUUAGUUUAAAAAUAAUUUAUGAAACUAAUAUUAGUUUAAUUAGAAAAUAAUAUAUUUAUAAUCAAUUUAAAAUGUAUUUUAAUGUUUGUGUAAAUAUUAAAAAUAAAUAUUUGAAAACAGAGAGAAUAUAAAAAAGGACUCAUACAUUCAAGGAAAAAUGCUCGAUUGACCUGGUAGACAGAUUGUUCAAAUUCACCUUUCUAUAUUGUUUUUAUUUAAUCUUGGAGGUCUACUCUAGAUAUCUAAUUUGAAAUUUGAUUACUAAUAAACACUAUAAUUGUUGACUCUUUUUUUAUGGAAUUAUGAAAUUUUAGAUUAAUAAUCAACUAUGCUUUAAAGUUAUAACCAUUUUAAGUAUAAUAAAAUAAUAUUUCUUCUGUUUCAAGAGAAAUACUUUAUUUUUAAAAGAUUAAUUAAUAAAUAUGUAUUUAUUUUUAUUUAUUAAAUACGUAUAAUUUUAGUUUAAAAAUAAUUUAUGAAACUAAUAUUAGUUUAAUUAGAAAAUAAUAUAUUUAUAAUCAAUUUAAAAUGUAUUUUAAUGUUUGUGUAAAUAUUAAAAAUAAAUAUUUGAAAACAGAGAGAAUAUAAAAAAGGACUCCUACAUUCAAGGAAAAAUGCUCGAUUGAACUGGUAGACAGAUUGUUCAAAAAAAGAACUGGUAGACAGAAAAAAUAAAAACGUUUGAACGAGUUUUACAGCUGUUAUUUAUGAGAAAAUUUGGACCGGGCAAAAUGAGAAGAUGAUGUAAAAGGAAAUCAGGCUUUCACGUGAGCCGUAUGGAAUCCGUAUAACCACCGCUCCUUUUACCACUUCAAAUUAUGUUUAAAAAAAAAUACCACUUCAAAUUGUUACCACAUUAUUAUUAUUAUUAUUUUUAAAUAACCAACAUUUUGGUGUUUUGCUGGUUGGUUAUUCAGGUGUUCAAAAAUAAAACUGGUUGGUUAUUCUACUCUCUCCCGUGGAUCUCGACGUUUCAUUAAUAUGACACGCUACAAUUUUUUUUUAAAAAAAAUUCCAGAUCUUUGCACACUUAAUCAUAUAGCAAACGAGAUAUAAUUAAAUAAUGCUUUAAACUGUUCUAAAUUUUACUCAGAAAACAUGUCUAACAGUUACUAAUGACUGACGAAGAUUCUAAAUAAACAGCUAUUUAAGUAGUAGUUUAUGUUUGUUUAAACACUAUUUUCUGAUACAUGCAGAUAGUCCUAGUCUCAUACGGUGAAACUAAUCACGUGUGCAUGAAACUAAUGCAAACGUAAUUCUAUGAUUACUUUACACGUAAUAUCCCAUUUAAUACGAUCACAUGGUUCCGAAUUAUAUUCUACAGAUAAUUAAACUGCCAUGCAUCACCAUACCUUGUAUCGUAGAGAUAUCUACGGACUUUGUCACAAACCCCAUUGUCUAAAUUCUUCUCUCCAUUCCAUUUUAAAUUGAUUAUUCCUUCCAAAUAUCCCUUAUAUAUUAAAAGAAAAAUAUUAUAAUAAAUGCAUUUACAUGAUACUAGAUACGUGGCAGUCUUACAAUAAUUUCAUAAUAAAUAUGCUAACGCAUUUACACUAUAUUCAUAAAUGUGUUCACACUAUGUACUUUGCAUUUUUUUUUAAUAUAAAUCUCAUAUACAUGGUUCCAAUAAAACUCUGGAUUUUUCGGUUUGAAUAGGGAUAAAGUUGAACAAAAUAUCAUAAAUUUUGAUUCGAUUCGUUAUUCGUUUUGAUUUGAACCAAAAAAUCUGGAUAUCUAUAACUCUACAAAACAAAUCAAAUACUAAAAUACAAUAUCCAAAAAAGAAGCAAAUCAAAAAUACCAAUAACUUUGGGAACAUAUAUCUAAUUUGAUAUGUUAUAUGCGUAUCUAUACAUAUAUGUAAAGAAUUAUAUGUAUAUAUAUAUAUAUGUUAUAUAUAUUAUACUUUAUAUCAGUUUAAAAUAUUUUUGUGAAUUAAAUUUAUUAUAUUAGGUACUAGAAUUUAAAAAGUUAAAUAAUGAUUUAUUUUUGCAAUCAAAUGUUAUUAUUAAAAUUUUCAAUUAUUUUUAAAAUUUUAUUUUAUUUACGGAUCAAAUCGGAUAUUCUUUAAAAUUCUAAAAUAUUUCGGAUAUUCGAGUCACUGAAUAUUUAGGUGGCUAAAGAUCGAAUCGACACGAAUGCUUCCAAAUACCCAGGUAUUCGAUCUGUGUCCACUCCUAUUUACGGAUACAAUUUUCUUUUCUUUAUAUGAAAAAUGACUAAUGUCAAGGCCUUUUUUAUUUUAAAUUAAUUUAAAUUUUUCUUUCAUGUAUUAUUUUGAACAAAAAAUUCAUUUAAUAUUAAUUAACAAUAUCUUUAUAUAUUUGUCAACUAUUCUUAUAUACUUUUUACAUACACAUACAUGUGCACCUUGAUGUGAGCACCUUGUAACUAAGUAUUCACCACAACUAAAGUAUCUAGUUUUUUUAGAAGUUGAAAUAUUUUUUCUUAAUGUAUUAGGUACUAGAAUUUAAAAAGUUAAAUAAUGAUUUAUUUUUGCAAUCAAAUGUUAUUAUUAAAAUUUUCAAUUAUUUUUAAAAUUUUAUUUUAUUUACGGAUCAAAUCGGAUAUUCUUUAAAAUUCUAAAAUAUUUCGGAUAUUCGAGUCACUGAAUAUUUAGGUGGCUAAAGAUCGAAUCGACACGAAUGCUUCCAAAUACCCAGGUAUUCGAUCUGUGUCCACUCCUAUUUACGGAUACAAUUUUCUUUUCUUUAUAUGAAAAAUGACUAAUGUCAAGGCCUUUUUUAUUUUAAAUUAAUUUAAAUUUUUCUUUCAUGUAUUAUUUUGAACAAAAAAUUCAUUUAAUAUUAAUUAACAAUAUCUUUAUAUAUUUGUCAACUAUUCUUAUAUACUUUUUACAUACACAUACAUGUGCACCUUGAUGUGAGCACCUUGUAACUAAGUAUUCACCACAACUAAAGUAUCUAGUUUUUUUAGAAGUUGAAAUAUUUUUUCUUAAUGCUUCUUUCACUACCCACCAAAUUGUAGUGAAAUGAUUUGUCUUAAUAAUUUUCUUUUCUUUUUCUUAAACUAUUAUCUGUUUAGAAACUAUAAUAUGAAACUAUUGGUUCGACUACCUAAAAUUCAUAACAUGAAAAUAAAUAAACAAUAUUAUUUUUUAGUUUUUACCGGAAAAAAACCAAAAAAUCAAAUAUUUUAACUGAAUAAACUAAAAUAAAUAUUAAUUUAAAAUAGUAGUUAUAUUUUAGAAAAUUAAAAGCAAUAAAAAACUUAAAACCGAAUUAAUAUCCAGAUUAAACAGAUUUAAUAUCUUUUUAUUAAAAAUAAUAAAACUAAUAAUCAUAUUCCAUGCGAGACACGGAUUAUUACCUAGUUUAAAAUAUUUGUGAUACAUUACUGUACAAAGUUAUUUAGAUGGGUCUGUCGUAUUAAUUGAAAUACACUCACUGAAAUACUGACUACGGAAUAAAUUACAUGGAUCACCGAAAUUGUAACACACACGAAAUUGUUUAUGUCUGAAUUUAUGCGCAUCUAAAACCUUAGUUUUUAUCUUUCACACUGUUUUCUUUUGAAAACUACUUAUAUUAAGUACGUUGGAUUGUCAUAUACAACAUAACAUAUACAAAUAAACACACACACACGCAUCAUAUUAACAAAGAGAAAAAGACAUUCUUUCCGUUGGUGGGGGUGAAUUAAUAUAUUCGGUGUGGUCGAAUGUAAUGAUGUUCGGCUAAAAGUUUCAAAGAAUGCUUUAAGUCGUUUCAAAUUAUAAUUAGAAGCCAACACUGAUCAAAUGGAAAAUAGUUAGUGGGAUAAUAAAGAUUGGUCAGUCAACACUAGUGCAAUGCAUCUACAUGGCUCUCUAUCAAACUACUGGACAGUCAACACUAGUGCAUCUAAAUCUUGGUUGGCUAACAAGCUAAUAAAGAUGUGCGGGGAAGUAUAUACCUGGAUCAAAUUGCGAGUGGAUAAUGGAGUAAAUUACCGCUUCUGAACUGAUAAUUGGUCGGUGCUUGGUUCUCUACAAGACUACUUUGCAACUAGCUCGGCUUCUAGACAAGGUAUCCCUCUCCGUGCCACUCUAUCUGAUCUAAAUAGAGCUGGUAACAGGGUUCUUCCUCGACCGCGCUCUGAAGAAAUGUUGCAAGCGCAGAUUGCUUUGACUACGAUAACACUAGGGGAAGAAGAAGAUAGCUAUGAAUGGGUUGUUACGGGUACACAUACUGGGAAGUAGAAAAAUUAAUUAAUAUACUGGAAGUUGAAGGGAGAUGAACCAGUAGUACCCUUGGGAGAAGGUAGUUUGGUCGUCAGUAGUAACCUAUAUUAAGUGUAAUUUAUAAAACGUUCGCUUCAUUUAAAUUAUUAAACCAGAAAUUUCAAUGUGUUUGUUAUUGUCUUUUUAAACUUCAAUUUUCUCUUUAUUUUCUAUUUUUUUAAGUUUUUUAUGUUGUCUAUUGGUGAUUUAGACGUUUCCACGACAAAGCACUUAGAUUAUUUAUAAUAAGUUUUUCAAUAUUAAAUUUUUAUUUGUAAUUUAUCAUCGAUCAUACAUCAUAUUAUAUAAUUAACAGUUAAAACUACAGCUAAAUUGAAUAAUAAAGACACUGAAAAUAAAAAUAUUCACAUGAAAAAUAUUUUUUCAAUCAUUCAUAUGUCAUUUAUGUUAAUGACAUAAAUUGGUACAAUACCUAUUACACUUUCAAAAUUGCAAAAAAUAAAAGUAAUUAAAUUAAGAAAUAAUAUAUGAAUAUGGUCUAUAUAGAAUAAGCUUGAUUAUCUUUUGUAAACAAACCAGCCAUAUACUUCUACUAUUAAAGAAUAAAACUAAAUCGGCCAUUUAAUAACAGACUGAAUGUACUUUCAAAAUAACAUUUGUAUAGAGAUCAUUCAUAUUGAUAGCAUAUUUUCAAGAGUGUGGUACAAAAUUCUAAAUUAACAAAUCUUAACUUUUAGAGGUGAAAAUUUUACUUGAAAAAUAUUAUGGUAAAUUAAUAUAAUAAAUUUAAUUCAAAAUUGUACAUAAGUUUAAUAUAAUUACAAAAUUAAUUAGAUACUUAAAAGGGUUAUUUUAGUAAAAAUGAAAUAUACAUUUUUAUUUUAAAUAAUUACGAAGUUAAUUAAAUUUAAAUAAUUACGAAGUUAAUUAAAUAUUUAAAUUGUUUCUUUAAGUGAAAAAUAAAAUAUACAUUUUUAUUUGAAUAAAUAUGAAAGUAAUUAAAUAUUUUAAAAUGUUUCCUAUAGUGAAAAAUGAAAUAUAUAUUUUAAAUAAAAAGAUAUGAAUUUUUUUAUUCAAAUGUAAUUUAGAGAAAAUAUUCAAAUAUUAAUGUGAUUUAUGGAAAAUUGCCAAAAAUACCACAUUCAAAAUACCAUUUUUCAUAUUUAUCUUAACCAUUCUUAUCUUUACUUUUAAAGAGGAAAAUGACAUUUAUAACACUACGGUUAACUAAUCUAGAUUUAGAGUUAUAAUAAUAUAUAAAUAAGUACUUAUGAAUGUGGAAUGCUGAGUUUAGGGUUAUAAUAAAUAUAUAAAUAAAUACUUAAAUUGACUCAAAAAGAAUUUUCGAAUUUCAAAAAGAAAAUUAAAAAAAAAAACUCAAAAAAUUAUAAAAAUUUAGAAUUUGAAAAAGUAUAAUACGAAAACAUAGAAAAUUAUUUUUUAAUUUUUUAGUUAUUUAAAUAAUUAUUUAUUUUGUAUAUAUAGUAAGAGUAUAAAAGUCUUUUGUCUCUGAAUAAAUUCACUAUUUUGAAUAUGUCUAUUUAGUGAUGAUAAAUAUGAAUAAUGAUACCAAAAAAGUAACAUGAAAAUUCCCCUUGAUUUAUUUAGGAUUGUUAAAAUAAUUCAAAUAUAUACAAAAAUUCAUUUAAGUAAUUUUAUAAGGGAUUGUCCAACUUAAAAAAUCACACAUGAAAUGAGAUUGUGAUUUCUAUUUUAAUAGAAUAGACUGUGUUUUUACAUUAACUUAUUAAAAAUAGAGUUGUGAACUGCAUGUGAUUCAAUGCAAGAACAAAUAUGUGAAACACUAGUGGAUAAUUGAAAAGCUAGUGAAGUGGAGUGUUUCUUUUUCUUCCACUCUUCAUAAUAAUUUAUUUUAUUUUAUUUAUAUAUGUUAAUUGAUUAUUGAUAGUAAAUUAUUUUAACAUCUGUAAUUAACAUGCAAAAAUUUACUCAAUAUUUUAAUGGCACAAGAAAAUUCAUAAAGUUAUUACUAUUUGUUUUUAUAAGUGUAUUUAAAACUGUAUAUUAAUACUAUUUAUUAACUAAAUUUUCUUUUAAUUAAUUUUAAUUUUAGAAAUUUUAAAUUUUUAUAAUUAUCAUAUACAUAUGUACCAUAAUUUAACCGUUUUAAAGUAAAUUAUUCUUUUAUUUAUGUUUAAAUUAAUUUAUAUUAUAUAUUAAAUAUCAAUUAUAGUUAUUGCAUUUAUAAAUUAUUUAGAAAGUAACUAUUUAAUUAUGAAAAUAAUUGUAAUGAUGUUUUAUAUAAAUUAUUUUUAAUUCAUACAAUAUUUUGAACCAGUUUUUAUUUAGUUUCACCAUUCCAACCUAUGUUUUGGACCGUUAAAUUCAUUUGAUUCAUUUUUGUAUCAAUUUGAUCUAUUCUUGUUCUGCUCGGUUCUUGAUACGCUAGAGUUACAAACAUGUAGGGUGGUUAUAUCUAGUUAGCAAUAACUUGGUACAGUAAUGUAUCACAAAUCGUACGAGGAACCAAAUUUUAAAACUUGACACUUUUGUUACUAUAGAAUCUUCAAUGAGUGUUUGAUUCAAAUUUCAAAAAACAAGCACUUUUAUAUACAGAAAAUAGCAGGAUUCAUUGUUAUGGUUUUACUUGUUUCGAAUCCCUGAUUCAAUCUUUGACCACUACUCAUCAGGCUAUAUUGAGAUAGCCACAUUGAUUUGAUUAUAGCCCAGAGAUGGAAAACAUCAUCAUGAUAUUCAAAACGAGUUGACAUAAAAAGACACCAUGUUAUUUCCAUACAUUUCCGAACUUCGUUUAUAAAUAUAGUGUGUUUUACUUUUACUAGGCCAUCGUUCUAUGGCAAAGCUGUACUUUGAGGAUUGAGUUUGACAGACUGAUGGACUCAUCUUGCCAUAAUAAAAUAAUAUUUUUUCUCUAAAAACAACACAAAUGCUUUGAAUGUGGUGCAGAUGCAAAUCAAUUGUUCAGCCUGACUCCGAAUGGUGACUGCGGGUUGAGCGGUGCGGGACGAGCGGUUUAACUGCGGUGUGGUUCUAACAGUUAUAAAAAUGUAUAGAUAUAGGGUAUAUAUAGAGAUUUUUGUUACUGUUAACUGCGGGGCGGGGCGGGAAGCGGGUUACCAUUCGAAGCUUCUUCUUUUUUGCAGAUCAAAUAAUUUAACAUUUACAUUAAUCUGUAUACAGUUUUUUUAUUUUAAUAUAUUUUUAUGUUCUGUAUAUUUUAAGCUAAAUGGCAAAAAAAUGUAGUUCAAUCUGCAUCACAUAAAAACUACCUAAUCUAUUCUGAUAAGACGCCAUGGCUUGUGGCAAUCGUCGCUCAGCCCAUUGUUUGUUAUUUUCUUUCAACCAUCUUUCACUUUUUUUAACCAUACUUCAAAGGUACAUAUUUAUUUUUUCCAGGCUCUUUUCAUUUAUGGAAUUAUAUCAUAAACUUGAAUGAAAUCAAUGCAAUCUUUGGUAAAUUUUUAAUUUGAUGUGACUUGGGUAUUUAUUUUUUAUUUUUAUUUUGGUAAAAAUGUAAAGAUAUUAUUACAAAUUUUCAGUUUUUGACAUAAUUAUAAAAGUAACAAAGAAACAGAGAAAAGAAAAAUAAAACCUAAACACUAACUCAAACUUGACAAAACCGGAGACAAACACAACAAGAAAAAGUUGCUAUCAGAAUUCUCAACUAAUCCGCACAACCGCUUGCCGCAAAAGGAAGAAUCAUAGAUAAUCCGAGAGUCAAAACCCGAUAAUUUUGAUCUUCCCGAUGAUCCGCUCUUUAUGAUUGACUCGGCCAAGAACAGCUCGAGGCAGACUUCCUAAGCGUUGACCAACAUGAACAGCAGCCUCUCAAGAGGCCUAGAACUCCACCGCAUCACCAAUACCGAGCAAUUAUUGAGACGCAAGAAGCUCCGAACCACACGCUAAAGACAUGCACAAAAACGGGAUGAUAAGCAGCCACAUCUCCACGCAUUGCCCUCCGGGUCACCACAUGAGCCAGAAGAGUACAUCCACAAGAAAGCAAAGCGACCAUGUGCUUGGCUCUAGUGCGGGAAUGACGGGCUCAAGAACAUGGAAACACGAGACAUGUCCCAACCGAAUGACCCAGCGGAUAAGGAAGUCUCGAUAUGGACAGUCUCUGAAAACCAGAGAAGCUGACCGCCACAAACAGAACCAGAUCGGAUCAAUGAAGAACAUCCGUAGAAAGACACCGGAUGAGAGUUGGAGAGUUUCUUCGCCAAGGAAACCGUUACCAGCGCAAACGUGGAACGCCAUGACCAAAUGUGUAUUUAUUUUAUUUUCCAUAAACAAAUGUGUACCAUUUACACAAACCAAUAUCUAAUAUUAUAUUAUUAUAUGAAUCUAAUAUCAAAAUAGAAAGAAAACCAAGUGGUACUAUAAAGAGGAGAAAACAUACUCGUGGAAUGAAACAUAUAUAUUCCUAAACGUUAGAGUACUAUAUGAAAAUAAAAUAGGCCGUUAUUUUUAAAAUCAAUUUUGACUGCUUCUAGAAAUAACAUUCUAUAACCAGAGGGAAUGCAAUAGUGAAAUUUAAAAAAUAUAGCCUAAAUUAAUCUGUGUUUUUGUUUAGUACUAUAAAAUCAUGUGUGACCAAAAGAAGUUAGGCUAUCACACAAUACCCAUCUUAUCUAUUCAAAUAAAAGUCAUGACUUAUUUCAUUUGUGAUUAUUUAGUUUGGACCAUCGUUUAGAAAUUUUAUUAAAUGUAUUUUAUUAAGACUAAUAAUAUAUAUAAUCUUUGAAUUACUUUAAUCAUAAUAUCUUUUGAUAUCUUUUCAUUUUAAAUAUAAAUAUAUUUAUUUAAAAAAUUCUACAAAUAUUUUUAAAAAGAUUUUAACAAGAUCUUAAUUUUCAAAAGUUAUAUUUAAAUAUUUUUGCUAAUUUUGAAAUUAUUUUUGAAUACUAUUAUACAUUAAUAUGUUCAUUUAUUGUUUAGAAAAUGAAAAAUAAAAAUUCUAUCCUAUUUUUAUCUAUAAUAUAAUCAUAAUCAAUCAUAUUAAAAGAAAAUUAUUAUAUUGAUCGUAAUAUGAUAAAAUUGUAUUAAAUUGAUAAAUUUAUACAUUUUAUUUUCAUAAGUAUAAAAUAUUUAUAUUAACAUUAAAAAUAUAAUAUAUUGGUAAGAUGAGUUAACAUUAGCAAACUAUAUAAUACAUGUAUAAAAAUCAACAUAUAUUUCAUUAAAGCUAAUAAUAUAAAACCUUUGUAACUACUUUAAUCAUGCUAUAUUUUCAUUUUAAGUGGACUAUAAGUUAUCUAAGGGAAAUUGUCGUGGAGCGGGAAGCAAGUGGACUAUAAGUUAUAUAAGAGAAAUAUGGCAUAAACAUAAACCAUAUUUUUAUUUUUAUCUGAAACAAAGCAGGACUUGGAGUUUGUUCAAGAUUUUCAAUCACACUUUGGAUUUGAUAACCUGGUUACAGUAGACCUAAUUGGGAGGAGUGGUGGAUUAGCUCUUUUUUCAAUAAUGAGUAUCAGGUUAAGAUUUUAUACUCCAGUAACCGAAUGAUAGAUGUGGAAGUGGUGACUCUUGGAAAAACGGUUUAUUUAACUUUUGCGUAUAAGGUCCCAGUCCAAAAACUGAGGGAACAAGUAUGGGAGCGAUUGACUAGAUAUGGGCUAUCGCGAUCCGAAACCCUGGUUUAUCAUUGGAGAUCUAAAUGGGAUCACUGGAAAUCAUGAAAAAGAGGGAGGAUCUUUGAGAAGUGCGGAUUCUUUAAUCCUUUUAACAACAUGAUAAGAAAUAUUGGUUUAUUAGAAUUCCCAGGUCGGGGAAACAAAAUUUCAUGGCAAGGGAGAAGAGAAAAAGAGAAAGGUGCAGUGAUGAUCAGAUGUCACCUAGAUCGUGCUCUAGCAAACGAGGAAUGGCAUACUCUUUUUCCAUGUUCUUAUACAGAAUACUUAGGAAUGAUAGCAUCUGAUCAUCGUCCAGUGGUGGCCUACUUAGUAGAUAAAGUUUCCAGAAAGAAAGGGCAGUUUCGGUUUGAUAAGCGUUGGAUUGGACAGGAUGGCCUGAUGGAAUCAAUUAAAAUGAGAUGGUCGGAUUAUAGUGAAGGACAAACAUAAGAUGUAGUGGCAAAGAUUAGCAAUUGUCGGCAUGAAAUUUCUAAAUGGCGGAAAAACAAUCCACCUUAUGAAAAGGAAAAAAAUAAUGAAUUACAAAAGUCUUUCUCUUUGAUACAUACGAAUAAUAACAGAUCCCAAGAGGAUAUUAUGGAGGUAUCAAGGAAGUUACAUGAUGCAUAUAAGGAAGAAGAGGACUACUGGCAUCAGAAAAGCAAGAAUAUGUGGUAUUCAUCUGGGGACCUUAAUACAAAAUUCUAUCAUGCUUUAAAGAAGCAACGGCGGAUUCACAAUAGGAUUGUGGGGCUACAUGAUGCUGCGAGAAAUUGGAUCACAAAGGAUAAAGGUGUUGAAAAGGUGGCAGUGGACUAUUUUGAAGAUCUAUUUAGUACCACUUCACCAACGGAGUUUGAUAGUUUCCUGACAGAGAUAACACCGGUCAUCACUUCUCAGAUGAAUCAAAAUUUACUAAAGAUAGUGACUGAGGAUGAGGUUAAACAGGCGUUGUUUAUGAUGCAUCCAGAGAAGUAUCCAGGACCGGAUGGCAUGACAACUCUUUUUUUUCCAACAUUCCUGGCAUAUUGUUAAGAAUGAUCUGGUAGAGAUGGUGAAUAAUUUUUUGAUUUCAGGAGAAAUGGAUUCAAGGUUAAAUAUUACUAAUACUUGUAUGAUUCCGAAAACGGAAAGGCCUACAAGGAUGCAGAACUGUAGCCAAUCAGUGUAUGUAAUGUAGGGUACAAGAUUAUUUCGAAGGUUUUGUGUCAGCGAUUGAAAAUCUGUCUCCCCUUUCUCAUAUCAGAGACCCAAUCAGCAUUUGUGGCAAGAAGGUUGAUCUCAGAUAAUAUUCUUAUAGCUUAGGAAAUGUUCCAUGGAUUACGGACCAAUAAAGCAUGUCAAGGAAAGUAUAUGGCAAUCAAAACGAACAUGAGUAAAGUGUAUGAUAUGGGGGAAUGAGAUUUUAUUAAGGCUCUACAACAAAAAAAAAUGGGGUUUGAUCUACAGUGGAUUAAUCUAAUGAUGGAGUGUAUCUCGUCGGUUCAAUAUCGGGUUUUACUAAAUGGUCAACCACAGGGUCUCAUUGUCCCACAUAUGAGUUUACGUCAAGGAGAUCCACUAUCUCCUUAUCUAUUUAUUUUAUGUACUGAGGCUUUGAUUGCAAAUAUCAAAAAAGCGGAGAGAUGGCAACAAUUAACGGGGAUGAAGAUAGCCAGAGCAUGCCCAUCGAUAUCUCAUCUGCUUUUUGCAGACGAUAGUCUAUUUUUUGUAAGGCUCAAAAAGAAAAGUGUCACACCAUUCUCAGGAUUUUAAAGGAAUAUGAGGUCGUAUCGGGUCAACUCAUCAAUUUUGAUAAAUCCUCAAUCCAAUUUGGACAUAAGAUUGAGGAAUCAACCAGACAGAAGUUAAGAGAUAUAUUGGGAAUCCCACUACAAGAAAACAUAAUCUUAACGAGUGCGGUUUUCCUCGUGCGUUUAGAAAUUUUAUUAAAUGUAUUUUAUUAAGACUAAUAAUAUAUAUAAUCUUUGAAUUACUUUAAUCAUAAUAUCUUUUGAUAUCUUUUCAUUUUAAAUAUAAAUAUAUUUAUUUAAAAAAUUCUACAAAUAUUUUUAAAAAGAUUUUAACAAGAUCUUAAUUUUCAAAAGUUAUAUUUAAAUAUUUUUGCUAAUUUUGAAAUUAUUUUUGAAUACUAUUAUACAUUAAUAUGUUCAUUUAUUGUUUAGAAAAUGAAAAAUAAAAAUUCUAUCCUAUUUUUAUCUAUAAUAUAAUCAUAAUCAAUCAUAUUAAAAGAAAAUUAUUAUAUUGAUCGUAAUAUGAUAAAAUUGUAUUAAAUUGAUAAAUUUAUACAUUUUAUUUUCAUAAGUAUAAAAUAUUUAUAUUAACAUUAAAAAUAUAAUAUAUUGGUAAGAUGAGUUAACAUUAGCAAACUAUAUAAUACAUGUAUAAAAAUCAACAUAUAUUUCAUUAAAGCUAAUAAUAUAAAACCUUUGUAACUACUUUAAUCAUGCUAUAUUUUCAUUUUAAGUGGACUAUAAGUUAUCUAAGGGAAAUUGUCGUGGAGCGGGAAGCAAGUGGACUAUAAGUUAUAUAAGAGAAAUAUGGCAUAAACAUAAACCAUAUUUUUAUUUUUAUCUGAAACAAAGCAGGACUUGGAGUUUGUUCAAGAUUUUCAAUCACACUUUGGAUUUGAUAACCUGGUUACAGUAGACCUAAUUGGGAGGAGUGGUGGAUUAGCUCUUUUUUCAAUAAUGAGUAUCAGGUUAAGAUUUUAUACUCCAGUAACCGAAUGAUAGAUGUGGAAGUGGUGACUCUUGGAAAAACGGUUUAUUUAACUUUUGCGUAUAAGGUCCCAGUCCAAAAACUGAGGGAACAAGUAUGGGAGCGAUUGACUAGAUAUGGGCUAUCGCGAUCCGAAACCCUGGUUUAUCAUUGGAGAUCUAAAUGGGAUCACUGGAAAUCAUGAAAAAGAGGGAGGAUCUUUGAGAAGUGCGGAUUCUUUAAUCCUUUUAACAACAUGAUAAGAAAUAUUGGUUUAUUAGAAUUCCCAGGUCGGGGAAACAAAAUUUCAUGGCAAGGGAGAAGAGAAAAAGAGAAAGGUGCAGUGAUGAUCAGAUGUCACCUAGAUCGUGCUCUAGCAAACGAGGAAUGGCAUACUCUUUUUCCAUGUUCUUAUACAGAAUACUUAGGAAUGAUAGCAUCUGAUCAUCGUCCAGUGGUGGCCUACUUAGUAGAUAAAGUUUCCAGAAAGAAAGGGCAGUUUCGGUUUGAUAAGCGUUGGAUUGGACAGGAUGGCCUGAUGGAAUCAAUUAAAAUGAGAUGGUCGGAUUAUAGUGAAGGACAAACAUAAGAUGUAGUGGCAAAGAUUAGCAAUUGUCGGCAUGAAAUUUCUAAAUGGCGGAAAAACAAUCCACCUUAUGAAAAGGAAAAAAAUAAUGAAUUACAAAAGUCUUUCUCUUUGAUACAUACGAAUAAUAACAGAUCCCAAGAGGAUAUUAUGGAGGUAUCAAGGAAGUUACAUGAUGCAUAUAAGGAAGAAGAGGACUACUGGCAUCAGAAAAGCAAGAAUAUGUGGUAUUCAUCUGGGGACCUUAAUACAAAAUUCUAUCAUGCUUUAAAGAAGCAACGGCGGAUUCACAAUAGGAUUGUGGGGCUACAUGAUGCUGCGAGAAAUUGGAUCACAAAGGAUAAAGGUGUUGAAAAGGUGGCAGUGGACUAUUUUGAAGAUCUAUUUAGUACCACUUCACCAACGGAGUUUGAUAGUUUCCUGACAGAGAUAACACCGGUCAUCACUUCUCAGAUGAAUCAAAAUUUACUAAAGAUAGUGACUGAGGAUGAGGUUAAACAGGCGUUGUUUAUGAUGCAUCCAGAGAAGUAUCCAGGACCGGAUGGCAUGACAACUCUUUUUUUUCCAACAUUCCUGGCAUAUUGUUAAGAAUGAUCUGGUAGAGAUGGUGAAUAAUUUUUUGAUUUCAGGAGAAAUGGAUUCAAGGUUAAAUAUUACUAAUACUUGUAUGAUUCCGAAAACGGAAAGGCCUACAAGGAUGCAGAACUGUAGCCAAUCAGUGUAUGUAAUGUAGGGUACAAGAUUAUUUCGAAGGUUUUGUGUCAGCGAUUGAAAAUCUGUCUCCCCUUUCUCAUAUCAGAGACCCAAUCAGCAUUUGUGGCAAGAAGGUUGAUCUCAGAUAAUAUUCUUAUAGCUUAGGAAAUGUUCCAUGGAUUACGGACCAAUAAAGCAUGUCAAGGAAAGUAUAUGGCAAUCAAAACGAACAUGAGUAAAGUGUAUGAUAUGGGGGAAUGAGAUUUUAUUAAGGCUCUACAACAAAAAAAAAUGGGGUUUGAUCUACAGUGGAUUAAUCUAAUGAUGGAGUGUAUCUCGUCGGUUCAAUAUCGGGUUUUACUAAAUGGUCAACCACAGGGUCUCAUUGUCCCACAUAUGAGUUUACGUCAAGGAGAUCCACUAUCUCCUUAUCUAUUUAUUUUAUGUACUGAGGCUUUGAUUGCAAAUAUCAAAAAAGCGGAGAGAUGGCAACAAUUAACGGGGAUGAAGAUAGCCAGAGCAUGCCCAUCGAUAUCUCAUCUGCUUUUUGCAGACGAUAGUCUAUUUUUUGUAAGGCUCAAAAAGAAGAGUAUCACACCAUUCUCAGGAUUUUAAAGGAAUAUGAGGUCGUAUCGGGUCAACUCAUCAAUUUUGAUAAAUUCUCAAUCCAAUUUGGACAUAAAAUUGAGGAAUCAACCAUACAAGAGUUAAGAGAUAUAUUGGGAAUCCAGAAUUUAGGGGGAAUGGGAUCUUACCUAGGCCUACCAGAAAAUCUUGGAGGUUCAAAGAUACAAGUUUUUAGCUUUGUGCAGGAUCAGUUAAAUAAUAGGAUCAAUGGUUGGACUUUUAAAUUUUUUACUAAAGGAGGAAAAGAGAUGAUCAUUAUGUCAGUGGUCACGUCAUUACCAAAUCAUGUUAUGUCUUACUAUCGUUAACCUAAGAUAACUGCAAAUAAACUGACAAGUGCAAUAGCCUAAUUUUGGUGGAGUUCAGAGGGAAGCACAAAAGGCAUGCACUGGAAAUCAAGGGAUAAAGUUUCUGUAAAUAAGGAUGAAGGAGGUUUGGGUUUUAAAGAUAUUAGUGAUUUCAACACAGUGAUGCUUGUAAGCAGUUAUGGCGUCUGAUAGAUAAGCCUUAUACAUUAUUUUCUAUAGUUUUCAAAGGUCGGUAUUACAGGAACGCCUCACCCCUUGAACCGAUUCGUUUAUAUUCUUCGUCAUAUGGCUGGCCGAGUAUAGUAUCUAUUAGAUUUCUGGUAAGCGAAAGGCUAAUCAAAACGGUGGGAUCGGGAUCAUCUCUAUGUGUAUGGAAUGAUCCAUGGCUUCCAACCACUCGCCCGAAACCAGCAAACAAAAAUUAACAUAAUCUUUACCCAUACCUUAUAGUGGAUUCUCUCAGUGAUUCCACUUCGCGAACUUGGACUCGCAGGCAAUUCAAGCUUUAGUGGAUUCCAGGGAUGCAAAAAUUAUCGAAAGUAUACCACUGAGUAGUAGUCAGAUGGUAGAUAGAUAUGGUUGGCAUUUCACACAACAUGAGAAAUACACGGUUAAAUCAGGAUAUCAGAUAGAACGGGUUUAUCGAGAUAAGGAAAAAACACCAAUGCUGAUUGGACCCACAGUUGACGUAUUAAAGGCUUUAUGCUGGAAAAUACGCUGUCCCCCAAAAAUAAAACAUUUCUUAUGGCAAUUGGUGUCAGGAUGUAUAUCAGUUAGGAAAAAUCGGCGAGCGAGAGGGAUACAAGGGGAUAUAUGAUGUGCAAGAUGCGGAGCCGAUGAAGAAUCGAUAAACCAUGUAUUUUUUGAGUGUCCUCCAGCACUUCAGGUUUGGGCCUUUUCUACGAUACCUUCAAAUCCAAUCAUUUUCCCAACAAGUUCCCUCUUUAGAAACAUGGAUCAUCUAUUUUGGCGAGUUCUCCCGCAGAUGGACGAUCAUCAGUUUGCAUGGAUUCUAUGGUACAUUUGGAAAAGACGGAAUAAUAAAAUCUUCAGUAAUCUGGACAUUAAUCCUAGGGACACACUUAAAUUGGCAGACACAAAAUCUAUACUAUGGGCUGAGGCACAAAUAUUGGACACACAGAGGACACCACCACACAUAGAGGCAGUGACCCUACCCUCAAUACCAGGAAGAUGAUGUUUCACAGAUGGUUCUUGGAAAUAGAAUGAUAUUUUCUCUAGACAAUGUUGGUUUAGUACUCUAGCGGGUUUUGAUGGGGUGAUGAGGGCGAUAAAUGUUAGGGCUAGUCUCUCCCCUCUUCAUGCGGAGAUGGAAGCACUAUUAUGGGCAAUGGAAUGUAUGAGAAACUUACAACAGUUUCAGGUUACAUUUGCAACGGAUUGUUCUCAAUUGGUGAAAAUGAUUUUAGAACCAGAAGAAUGACCAGUUUUUGCAAGCUAUUUAUAAGAUAUCAAGACCUUGAAAGGAAGUUUUUCAGAUCAGAGAUCAUUUAUGUACCAAAGACGCAAAACUUAAAGACAAAUAGCCUAGCACGUAGUGUGAGGAAGUAACCGUCUUUCAUCGUUCACAUGGAUGCAGAUCUUCUGGUUUGGUUUACAGAGUCAAUAUGAGUCUGUAUAAGUUGAUGAUAAAAACAAAUUUUCAUUUUAAAUAUAAAUAUAUAUUUAUAUAUUAUAUUUUAAAAUUUAAAAUUUUAAUAAAUCCGUUGAAAAAUAUUUUAACAAUAUCUUAAUUUUUUAAAAAAUUUACGUAAAUAUUUUCACUAAUUUUGUAAUUAGCAAUGAACUAUUAUUAUGCAUCAAUAUAUAUUAAGUUAUCGUUUAUAAAAUGAAAAAUUAAAAUUCUAUUAUAUUUUUAUCUACUUUAUAGUCAUAAUUAUCAUGUUAAAACAUAAUUAUUAUAUUAAACUAAAUAUGAUAAAAGUAUAUUAAAUUGAUAAAUUUUAUUUUCAUAAACAUAAACUAUUUUUGUUAAAAUAUAAUACGAUGACAAAAUGGCUUAAGAAUUAGAAAACUAUAUAAUACAUGUCUAAAAUUUAACAUAUCUUAGAUUUUUGUAUAUACGACAAUAAUAUAUUAUCGAAAAAGAAUAAACAUAAAUAUAUUAGGAAAAAGGAAAUCCAGCAUUGAAGAAAGGUUCAUAAUUUAGCAUAAAUUAAAUACAGAAUAAUUUUAAAUAUGUUUUCUCAGGAAUAUAUUAAUUUGUUUAAUAUCUAAAUACAAAUACAAUAAGAUAAAUAUAUAAUGAAAAGUGACAAAUACAUGUGACCGUUUUAAACAAUUAAUUAAUUAUAACCUGAAACUGUAAAUUAAUUAAAUAAUUUUAAACAAUUAAUUAAUUAAUCUAAAUUAUAAAAUUAUUGUAUUUGAAACAGUUAUACAAAUAUUUAAGUAUAUAAUUAACGUUAAAAAUAUAUACUACUAAUGAUCUAAAACAAUUAUCUAUGUGUAUAAAACUGAAAAUAAACAUCCAUUCGGUUUCGCGAAUCAAGAUCUAGUUACAAUGUUUUAAACCAGAAGAAUCAUUUUAUACAUAAGCUUCUUAACUAUUUCAACGCCAAAAAGAGAUGGACAAUAGUAUAAUCUGUAAGCAUACGUAAAGGACCUGGUUUAAAAAAAAGGCAAUUCUCCUAAAUAUAUUAUUUUUAAGUUUUGAUCACAAAAAUAGACCACAAGAAGAAAAAUGACCGAAUUGUUUUAUUUAAUAGAUAAAAUGACCCUAAUACCCUAGAUAUAUAUAAAAAAAAACCAAAAAUAAAAAAAAAUAAAAUUUUUUUAAAAAUAGUUUUUUUAUAGUUUUAGAUUAUAUGUUUUUAAAUUCGAAAUUUUUUAUAAUAUUUUUCUAUUUUUUCUUAUUUUUUUCAAAUUUUCUUUUUGUAAUUCGAAAAUACUUUUUGAAACUAUUUUUAAAUUUUUAAUAGUUAUUUUUUAUUUUAUAAAAUUUUAAAUCUUAAUCCCAAAUCCACACCCCUUAACUCUAAACCCUAAGUUUUGGAUUAGUUAAAACUAGAGGUAUAAGUGUAUAUUUACCUCAUUUUAAUGAAAUAUUUUGCUCAUUUUGAUUCUUAGAGUCUAUAUUUGUUACAGAAUUUUUUUUAGUGCUAUCUUAGAGUAUUUCCCCAAAAAAAAGGUACUUAGUUUAAUCUGUUAACAAUUGUUGAAAAUAUAAAAUUACUUUAUCCAAUAAAUUUUCAAACGCAUACGUGGAAAAUUCUUCAAGGCAUAUUCGACCUCCAUAUAUAUUUUUGUAGAUCUAAAAUAUGUCAUAUCAAUACUAUUAAAUUAGGAACAUGACCAGUUGAUACAUGUUGUGUCCAACUUAAAAUAUAACUGCAUAAAGUAAACAAUAAUUGCAUCUAAAAUAUAACUGCACCACAUUCAAUAACCACUAAAAGUCCUAUUUUAAAGGGAUACGAAUAUGUCAAAAUAUAGAUUAAUAUAUUACGUCCAAUGAACUAAAGUGAACAAAAAUGUAUUAAUAUACCUAUGUUGACAAAACAAAACACAUAUGUACAUAUACGUAUAUACAUAACAUUGGUGUAUUUGAUUUAGCUAAAUUAUUAAUUAAUACCUUAUUUCAAGUCUAAGUAAAGAUGUUCUUUAUUUAAUAGAUGUUUGUUCCAAUUAAAACAUAAAAUAAUAGUUUAGAUAUGUAUAUAUUUUAUGUUUAAAAAAUAUAUAGAAAAUAUUUAACUUUAGUUUCUAUAUUUUUAUUUUCAUUUGACAUACAAAAUAUCAAAAAUAAUUUAGAUUAUUUAAAUAUUUUUGUAACAAGUUAAGAUUGAUGACAUCUAACAAAAAACAUCAAGCGUUAAAAAUUCAUAAAUAUUUAUUUGUGUAAUGUGAAUAAUAAAAUUAAACUUAAAAUCCAAAGCAAACCAAAAGUAAAACAUUAUUAAUAAACUUUCGAUAAUAAAACUGAAAAACCUGACUUCUUUAUCAAAAAUUAUACAAAACAUAUUUUUAAAACAUAAUUAAAAACUAAAAAGGUUAAAAUUUAUCUAUUGGUUCAACCAGUGGUUUAACCGGAUUCUGGGUUUUAGUGAUUUUUUGCCGGUUUAUUGGGUUUUUAAAUAUCAAGACUUAAAAAUUCAUAAAUAUUUAUGUGUAAUGUGAAUCAUAAAAUUAAACUUCAAAUCCAAUUAAACCAAAAUUAAAACACUGUUAAUAAAUUUUCGAUAACAAAACUGAAAAACCUAACUUCUUCAUUCAAAAUUAUACAAAGCAGAUUUUAAAAACAUAAUUAAAAACUAAAAAAAAGAAGUAAACGUUAUCUAUUGAUUCAACCAAUGAUUCAAUUUAACCAGGUUCCGGGUUUUAGUGAUUUUCUGCCAAUUUUAUUGGGUUUUUAAAUAUUGUUUUUUUCACAAAACUCAAACCAGAUUUAUCUUGUGUCACAAGGUUUACCGGUUCAACCGCGGAUUCGGGUCGAGUUUCAAAACAUUGAGUAUGAGACUUUAAUUUUCGGGUCAUGUUUUCUGAUACGAAUAUUCUUGACUAAUUAUGUUAGGUAACUACUAAAAAAAUAGAAUAUGUUGCAAACUUUAAAAAUAAAGUUUAAAAAUAGUUUCUGAAAUAUAUAUGGCACAAGUAUAUAGUUAUGCAGCUUGACAUAUUUAGUAUAGUUACCAAAAAUUAUAUUAAAUUAAAUUAAUAUUAAUUACAAAUAUAGUUACAAAAACACAAAUAUAAAAAAUUAAAUUUUAAAAAAAAAGAAUUAAAACAAAAAUUAUACCCGGCCUUUCAAGGGCGGGUCAGAAUCUAGUAUUAUAUUGAAAAUGCUGCAAGGCAUAUUCGACCUCCAUACUUGUCUAUCCAAACUUUAUCAGUAAGUUAUAUUUGUAAUAUUUUAUCUAAUUUUUUGUUAUGUAAUUCCACAGAAAGCAACGUUUUUCUGAAACACCGAAACAUCUAAGAUAUUCUUUAGAAUAAAACGACGUGUACACGGCUUUCUCGCCGUUGAUAUAUUUAGGCUAUAUUCGAAAUUUUAAACGUGAGUCUUGUUGUAUUAACUUUCACCUUUUAAUGUCAACGUGACAUAAUUUGUUUUCCACCGGAGAAACAGAAGCAUAAAUCUCUUUUCGUAUUUGUGUGAUGAUUAUGAAUGGGCCCUUAUGGGCUUCGUGUGAGGAAUCAAAACCCCACUAAUAUGAUGUUUACUGAUAAUUGGAUCCGUUUCGAAUUCUGCUCUCUUUGUAGUUCUCAAACGUAUACUUUACCAAACGAGGCCUGCUACAACCUCGCGAACUGGUACCGGGAUGACAUCUUCUCACGCCCGUUCCAUUUCUUUCAUAUCUGUGUUUGCUGUUUCGUCUAGUGAGAAUCUACAUAGAAUGAGGAACUUGUCAUCCAUCGUUUUGGCUAACACGGAAGAGUCGAGAAAAAUGAAUCCAUAUGGCAUGAAAUCAAUUAAGUCUUUUUGUUCCUUAGCAGCCUCAUCUUCAUACUGGAUUUACAUUUUUGAAGUGUUUCAGUUCAGCUUUGAAAUCAUUUAGCUUCUUUUUUUUUAUAUAACAUUGAUUCAUUCAAAAACUUUAAAGGAGUUUAGGCUGUCUAAAAAUAAUGGUGCAGCCUGGAAUAAAACAACAUUCACCUGUAGGUGACUUUAAAAAGCUCAUAAGAGCAAAGUACGAGACCCUCACACGAGUGUGGCCAAACCAAAGCUGGUUCCUUCAAAAACAUUUCAUGGGAUCAUGUCAACACGCCUCUUACCCUCUCCUCAUUAAGUCGGUGAAGUAACCACGAGGAACCAUGCCUAGCAAUGUAAAACUAAGAGCGAUGAUCGCAAAUGACGCUCAAAGCAAUCUACAUAGCAGCCUGGUUACGUGAGGGCAGAGUACGGUCCUGUGACCAUAGGUUGAGCUUACUAAAGGCAAAUUUCAAUGUCCUCGAUUUUGUGUUUGUAAUGAUCAUUUAGUUUCUUAAUAACUAACUGCAUUGAUCUCUUUCACUCUUGCAAACUUAAAUCAUCCCCAUUAAUAAAAUGUCUCUUUGACCACAGACGUAACCGAUUUGAUAAAUCGCGUUAAGACAAAUAAUAAUUGGAAGAUGAAUUUAUGUAGAGUAUGUGAAUUUUAAGAGUUGAUCAAUUUUAAAAGUUAUGUAGAUAAUAAAAAUUUAUAUACAUUGACUUAUGAAAUUUGAUCAUAACUUUUUUUGAUUAGUCUAGAUUUUCAUGAAUUUCUAUUAUCUAUUUUCUAUCAGUAAAUAUAUAAUCGAUGUAUUUUCUAAAUCAUAAAACAUUAUUUUUCAUUUUUUCUUUCAAAUUAAAAACAAAAUAAUAAUGCUACAUAAAAAAUUGGACAAUUUUUCUUAAAUAGUCAUUUUAAAGUUUUUGUCACAGAAAGAGCAUUCAAAGAGAAAAAUGACCAAAACAAAUUCACGAAAAGGGCAAAAGACGAUUUUACCUCAUCUUUAUAUAUAUAUAUAAGUAAUAAAAUAAUAAAAAUUAAGAAUAAAUAUGUUUCUUUUAUAAUUUCGAAUUAUAUAUUUUCAAAUUUGAACUUUUUAAUAAUUUUUAUAAUUUUGGAUUUUUUUUUUCAAAAUAUUUUCUAAACUCUGGUUUGUUCGCGUCACCCAGGAUUUGGCGCUCAAAAUUUAUUUUUGAAAUUCAAAAUUGUUUUUAAAACUAUUUUAGAAAAUUUAUUUUAAAAUUAUUAAUAUUUAUAAAUGUAAUUAUUAAUAUUUAUAUUCAAAAUGAUAAUUAUUUAUAAAAAUAAUUAUAAAUUCUAAAAUGGAAAAGUAUAUACAUGUAAUGAAUUAUAGUUUUGGACAUAUAAUUUGGAUUUAAGGUGCAAUAGAUAUUUGGUAAGAAUAAUUAUUUUGUUUUCUAGUUUUUUAUCACAUAGAUUUUGAAAAUCACAAAGUUACAUAUGAUAUUUUGAAAGUUGAGUAAAAAUGAAUAAAAAUCCAUCUCCCAAUAAUACUAGAUUUUGUUAGAAUUAGAGAAUCAAUAAUAAAACUUUUUGAAUAACAAGGAAUUUGAAUGGAUUUUGAAAAUACUUAAACCAAUAAUAAUGGAUUAUACUAAGAUUUUUGAAAUCCAAGAAUCAGUAACAAUGAAACUCAAAAUUUUCAAAAUUCAUGAGAAUUCUCUUACCAAUAAUCCUCUAAGAGUAACACCCCGAACCGUUUUAUGCAUAGGUCGAACCACCGGCCAACAAUCAAACAAGAACAUGACCGAUGGGCCGACCGUCUACCAAAGUUCGGGAGCGCUACAUGACGGGUUAACGGGCAAUCCAACCAAGGUCACGAAACGUGCCAUUCGUAACUAGGCCAGUCCGCUCACUAACACGUCCCGUCAGAUCAAAGCGUAGGGAUUUUCAACCCGUACUCCAACCUGACAUUGUGUUAGCUUGAACAAGCUAAUAUCAGAAACAACAAGGCGUUUGCACAAAACAUUUGCUUUAUUUAUUUCAUAUGGUUUACAACACACAAAAUAUUAUACAAGUGAUGGCAUGCUAAUAGUGCAAAAGAUACAUACUUAUAGUCUGAAAACGCUUUAACCAAAAAGAUGCAAAUCUACUCUAGCCACCUUAGCAUCCCGUAACCUCUGCAAGCUCACUACUGGUGACCUGAAAAAAAACAACAACUGAGGAGUGAGUAAUCUAGCAUUACUCAGCAAGUUACAAUCCCCAACUAACAAAUACAACCCCUCGCUAUCCCAUCCCAAACAAUAUAAAGCGAAAUGUUCACCUAAUAGCACAAUUCAAUAACAUUCACAAUAUCAGAACUACGCAGCAGUAAACAAUAGCAAAAUAACUAGCAUUAUGCUAAUUACUAGCUCAUCACCAAACUCAACCUCGACUUAAACCAGGGUUUAACAACCCGAUACACUAUAUAAUAUAUAUCCAACUCGGGCUCCGGUGACGUUAGGUUCCUCCUUCCCUGUCGGCAAUAUCCUAUCUCCCUACCACAAAGGCCAGAAGAAAGAAAUUUCAACCGACCGCGGCGCACUGUCCUUCGGGUCACCGCACGACAGGCCACAUUCUUUCGGGUCACUGCCACGUUACAACAUCGUGUAAUAACUCAGCCUUAGGCCAUGACCCCGUCUCUUUGAGUCUUCCCGAUCCAGCGAAUAAGAGUUUCCUUGAACCCGCUGGGUACGAGGUCUGAAGGAACACUAACUCACCCCAAUAUGCCUAGCAUAGUGGUUUACACAAAUGCUGUCGACCAAUAUAUGACUAAUACUAAACCCGAUAAAUAUAACAAGCAUGCUAUCAACUAAAUCAACAUAACCUCAAUUAUUAACCAAUCAAACCGUUACUUAGUUAGACCCGGCCUCCUGCCAUGAUCCAACUUCCAAGUAACGGGAACCUGCAUGACAACAACUCAGCAAUCAAUUGAUUAUAACUCACUUUUGGUUGACCGUGGCCUUGACCCCAAACCCGACUUCUGCGAUCCGAACCCUUUCUCGACCAUCUCAAGUAGACCCACGUCCAGACUGGUCUUGAACUGAUUUCCACUAGAACUGAUCUCUCUUCACUUGAACAGAACCUUCUCCAGGUACUGACUGAAAAUCGGCAGAGUAACUGUUCUUGAAAACUGCUUAAAUCUCUCGAAAACUAUUGAAACUCGAUCUUUCUUUCUUUGCUUUCUCUCUCACGUUUUGAACUGACUUUGAAGUGUUUUGUAUGUGUUAAAAUGAGAGGGAGUCGUGGGAAAUUUAUAGGAAACAUCAACCAAUCAGGAACUAGCCGUGUGGCAGUCCGUGUGUCCGUUCGCAUGGCUCCGGAUGCAUGUGCGGCGACACCUCGUGCUCCACAUGGCUGGCUGCAUGUCUCAGUUUCAUGCAAGGUGACACCAUUCCCUCUACCUGUCUAUAUGCAUGGAUUGGCUGCAUGCAAGGAGACACCACGUCCUCCACAUGUCUGGCCGCAUGGCCUGGUCGCAUGCGUCGCGACACUUAGCUGCUUGGUCGAUCCACCUCGUGCUUAUGUGUGUCACUCUGCAUGCUGCGAUCAUUUUUAUUGAAACACCUCGUGCUUCCCUUGUCACAUAACAUACCAGGAAGUUGCCACCACGUCCUGAUCUCAUAGAUCGAGCUAACUCGAGAUUGUCGGUCCAUUCGUCCGAUUUCGGUCUUUCCGGUGAAUUUUCGUUCCGCGAUCAAUCCCAAAUAUUUUUCUACGCCCAUUCUGAUGCUAUGAAUAUUUUUAAUAAAAUUCAAAUGAAUCCUGACCUGACAGAAAAUAUUUUCCGAGCCUCCGGCUUCUCCAAAAAUUCAUAAUACCGAAAUUAGGGGUUCGUCCAACUUUGGGGUUUCCCACCGUGCUUCGAUCCCGUCCUGCUUACUUCCCGUGCUGCUUGACUCCCAUCCUGCUUCUGACUUAUUAUGUUCCCAACAUAAUAUUCCACUGAUACGAACUUUUAAAGAAAACUGCGUGCUUAAGAAACGUCUUGCUGCUCAAACGCCGAGCUUCUAAAACGUCCAUCUGAUCAAUCUAGCACAUUGUCUAACCAUGGUCGAGUAGCUUACUUGACUCAUGGUUUACUCACGAUCAAGUCUUCGAUCUCCUCGUACUUCAGAACCUCUCGAUCGAUCCGAUCGUCCGCGACUCGACCACUUUUUUUUAAGGGUUUCUACAUUCUCCUCCCCCCCUCUCUCUCCUAUCAGGAUUCGUCCCCGAAUUCUAAGGUUCUGAGGGACCUCCUUAUAGAACUAAUGGAACUAAAGUAUUUGAUUAUAGAAGAACUGAGAAAAAAAUUAGAAUAAUGAUAUAUUUACUUUAGUAUCAAUGAUUAAAAAUAAUUUUAGCCUUGAUUUGUUUUUAAUUUAUUCACAAAACUAUAUUAUACCCAAUAAAACAAAUCAAUAUACUUUUGUAUUAUAAGUCACUGAAGAUUUGUAUCAUCUUGGGAAAGACGAUGGCGAGUUGGGGAGUGGGAUUGCAUCAGGAGUGGCGUAGAGAGCUGGUGACAUCUGAGGACGAGUUUCUUUGCCUUUCUCCUGCUUAGAUAUUGGUGGCUUUGCAUAAUAUGACCUUGUACUUGGAAUAGCCUCGGCAGAUGUGGAAGCAGCCCCUGGCUCAAGCAUUCUAUCCAAAGCAAUCGCUGAGAAAGUAGGCAUGGCUCUGCAUCAUCAAAAGAUCAAUAAAUAAACACGAAACAAGCGCGGAAUGAAAUUAAAAUGAGAAUCAGAUAUGGAAGAAGGUAGUCAAAGGCAGCAUGCUCAAUCUUAUCAUCUACACCAUUGAAACCUAAUGAUUCAGAGCUCACUAAGACCUAAAAUCGAGGAGGAACAACCUGGCGAAUCAACCAAAAAUGGAGAAUCUAGAAGCUAACAAAAAUGUCAAUCGAAUCUCCAAACGCAAGGCUAUAAGAUUCGAACGUACGAAUACGAUAACAAAUUUUCCAAAAAUCUAGCCGUGAAAACAUUCAAGCAGUAGCAGACGAGAUGAAACCACAAGAUCAAUCAAAUGAGAAAUAUAGGUCGCAAUUAACAAAGACUUGGAGAGAAUCAGAUAUCAUGAAGGUAGUCAGUCAAAAGGUACAAAGCAAAGACCUCGUGCUCUAUCCUAUCAUCAAUACUAACCUAACCGAAGACAUUAUUCAACAUAGAUUCUCGCCGAUGUUCGAAAACCUAAAAUCAACGAGGAAGAAGCUUGGAACCAAACUACAAAUAGAGAAUCUAGAAGCAAACGAAAACGUCAAUCGAAUCUAGAACAACUCAAACUAAGGCUAAUGAAUAUUCCAGAUACGCCGAUACAUCGGCAAAAAACAACUGAAACAAAAUCCGAAGGUGUAAAAGAAGAGCUACCUCACGUAAGAAGCUGAACGGAAAAAUCAGCGGUAGAUCGUGAGUUAGACGGAAGCGAGAUGACGGCGAAGAUUGGUAGUAGAAGAAGAGGCGUGUACAACAUCUUAUAAGAGAUGUAAAGGAGGAGGGAAGAAGAAGACUUCUUCUCCAAGGCUUUUUAUCGCAAACGCUCUUUCUCUCUUUGCUUCCUCCUCUAUUCUUGGCGACCCAACAAACUCUCUCAUUUUUUUUAUCUUUUAAUUAAUCCUCUUUGCUUGGUCGUCGAACAUUUUAGACAAAGCGUGUCUUCUAUAAAUACUUGAAAAGACGGGUUUACCCUCCAACGGUAUGGCUUACGAGCAAGAUCGGCGCGAUAAAGAAGGGGCAUCUUGUGUAAAUUAGUCAGCGGUAGAGUUUCGAGAGCUGGCCAGGGGGAUCUAGUUAAAUGCGUCAUCUUGAAUAUUCAAUUACGUCAUUAUAAGGUGACGUGGCAAUCUUUUAAACCCCAUGGCCCAAUUUGUCUGUUCACGUAUCAGUAAAGCCCAUUUUGAAAACCAUUAUUUUUUCUUAAAUGUCUUCUUCUAUUCUGGAAUUUGGUAUUUUCUUAGAGCCAGUUCCUAAACGUGAUCCAUGUGACCACAGGGUCAAUUUCGACCCAACAAUUUAGGUCGUACCAAAUACGACCUGGACAAUUGAUCAGUGCCAAAUACAACCUCAACUCAAUUAUAAUUCGAAAAAAUUACCCAAACUUCUUAAAAGAUGCUUAAAUAUACAUUGAAUCUAACAAAAGUUAGUCAAUCGUUAACAAGAUAAAACGACGUUCUUUUGAUAUACGAGGAAAAGUGCCAAUUUUGACCCCAAGACUCUCAGUCGUGCCAAAUAGGACCCGAACAAAUGUUCAGUGAAAACCGAACUCAACUUUAUUAUAAUUUAAGAAAAACUGCCCGAACUUCUUAAAACGUGCAUAAAUCUACAUUGACUCUAACAGAAUUUAGUCAACCAUUAACAAGAUAAGACUACGUCGCUUUGAUAUAUAUAUAUAGCUUUGAAAAAAUAAAUAAAGAAAUAAAUAUGUUCAUUCCGGGACUCAAACCGUGUUGUGAUACCCUUUUAAAUGGACACACUAACAACUAGAUAAAAGUAACUUUUUUAAAUAUUUCUACAAAUUUGAAAUUAUAUAAACUACUAUUUUUCUUCAUUUUAUCCAAUUUAAAAUUUUGGUGAUAAUUUUUUUCUGAUUUAUAUAAAUACAUUAACAUAUUUUUUAUUUAUCAUAUUUUUAAUAAACUUCUAUCUUACUAAAAUAUAAAUAAUAAAAUAUUUAUUAUUAUGCGAUCUUAAUUGUACUUAAAACUUUGAAUUAUUUAUAAACUUUUCGUAGAUAAUUUAUUUUUAAUUUUUAAACUUAAGUGGACAUUUUUCUAUUGUUCAAGGUUAAUAUUAUGCAUUUUUGAUAUUUUGUUCAAAAAUGUUAAGAGGCCUUUUAACUAUCUUUCACUAAGAUAUCUUCUACAAAAUAUUAGGCAUAUUAAAAAAUAACUAAAAUAUGUAAAAGCAAUCACCAAAGUUUUAAAUUGGAUAAGAUCAAUAAGAAUAGUGGUUUAUAUAAUAGAGAAUUUCAAUUUAUAAUAAUAUUUUAAAAAGUCACUUUAGUAUAGUUGUUAGUGUGCUCCUUUAAAAGGGUAUCCCGACAUGGGUUUGAGUCGUGGAAUGAACAUUUUUUUAAAAUAUAUAUAUAUAUAAUAUACAUAUAUAUAUAUAUAUAUAUAUUUAUAUAUCAAAACGAUGUCGUCUUAUCUUGUUAGCGGUUGACUAAGUUAUGUUAGAGUCAAUGUAGAUUUAUGCACGUUUUAAUAAGUUUGAAUAGUUUUUCUUAAAUUAUAAUUGAGUUGAGGUUGUUUUUUGGCACUGACCAUUUGUUCGGGUCCUAUUCGGCACGACUGAAAUUGUUGAUGUCGAAAUUGGCACUUUUUCUCGUAUAUUAAACGACGUCGUUUUAUUUUUUUAAUGGUUAACUAACUUCUGUUAGAGUCAACGCAGAUUUAAUCAUGUUUUAAGAAACUCAAGUAGUUUUUUAAUUAUAAUUGAGUUGAGGUCGUAUUUGGUACGACCGAAAUUAUUGGGCUUGAAAUUGACAGUUUUCCCUGUCACCACGCUUACAAGAGUUUUCGUGAUUUUUUAAUAGAAAUAUUAUUAUUGUUUUUAAAUCUGGUCUUCCAAAUAAGAGAAAGGUGACUCUCUUAAUUUUAUAUUCAUUUAUAAACUUUACUAUUUGAUGAGAAGAAAAACUCAAAUGCAUUUGCCAUUUGAAAAUUGAAAAUUGAAACUUUCGUAUUUUUAAUUCCAAAAACAAAAGGUAAAGGUAUGAAAUUAAGAAUAUAGAACCUGAUCCAAAGCAAUUACGAAUAAUUCCAUUCUCAUUAACAUACCUUUAUUAAAAUUUAAAUCAAAACCAUGUUAUUAAUCAUAUUAAGCUCAUUAAUCUUGUAUUUAUCAUUUUCUUGAAAACUCAUUGAACGUGUACUAAACACUCAACUUUUUAAUACAGUUUAGCCCCCAAAAAUAACUUUGUAAUUCAGUAAUUCGCAAAACAUGACAAAUCCAUAGUUGGAUCCAUCUUUUAAACCAGAUCACUAGUUGUUGUUUUGUUUCCUCAUAGAUUGUAUAAUAUAUUAAAACAACAAUAUACAAACGUCUUUAUUCAUCUUCCUUCAUCGAAACUAUUUGUAGUGAAUAACAGGUGCGUUAGAAUUCGGAUCCCACACACCUCCUUCCUUCAAAUACUCCAUAUACCUAGCAAACUCCGGUUUUGCCGUCGCCAAGUUCUUCUUCGUUGCUUUCUUCUUCUUCUUUUGGAAACGAACGUCGAAGAAACUUAGCAAAGGAUGAACAGAACCACCGGUUGGUUUCACCAUCGGCGUCUUCUUCACCUCUUGAACCAGGUUUCUUGAAUUACCAUAAACACUACCCGGAACGCUCGAGACCCUCUUCAAACUAGGUUCUUCUUCCCCGAGCUUUUUGUAGCCCCCGUGGAUCUUCCUAGUGCUCAUGGCUCUAAACAUGAUCGUAUUUUGUUGGUUAGGUGUGUUCUUGAAUCUUUCUGAUGGUGUUUGUUUAAGUAAGUAGGCCAGCUAUGAAUAAUAGUAGAUCUAUUGACUUUUAUAUUUGUGUAGAUCUCUCCAACUAACAAAAUUAAAUAUGUGCAUAAUUUAAUGAAAACCAUGUGUUAGUGUUACACCCACAUGAUGUAUACAUCUCGUCCCUAUUUAAUCGCCGGUCAAGUGUGUUUUAUGCUGACUAUUACGUUUACAUCUUUUAGACAAUUCAAAUGGACAAUGGCUUAAGAGUUUAGGCUAACUUGUCUUGUUGUGUACAAAACUAACUUUCCUUGUCUCAUCCAAGAAGUUAUUAAUAUUCUUGGAACGAAGAAAAAACAUAUAUUGCAACUUUGUCAAAAAAGAUCAAAAGAGACCUUUCAGAAAUCCAUUUUCAAAGUGAUAUCUGAAGCACUUGUUUCCAAGCACACGUAAAGUCUAGAUGGACUGACCGACUGAAUUGAUCAUGUAAUCAUACUAUUCUUGUUCAGAACCCUUUUAAAACGUUAGACUUGGUCAUAUAUCCUUUUUUCUUAUGUCAGCUAAAACCCAUAUAACAUCGACUACCUAUUUUGGAGAAAGAAUAGUAUUAUUGAACCGGAAGAUAAUAGAAACUCUUAUCCUUAGAUAAUUUGAUAUAUAAGGAAAACAAUGAAUGAUAAACUAUUCAGAGUAUAGACAUGGACCUAUUGAAGAUAGUCAGAUAUGCAGAGAGUGAGUGCCAGGCAUGGUACAAUGCAAAGGAUACUGUGGGAACCGAAAUUCACACUGUCGAUUUCCGUUUAAAUAAGGAAACUAGAAAAACCCUAAUUUCCCAGAGGACCCGGAUAUCUGUUAAUUACCACACGUCAAGCAAUCAGAACACGAGAAUAACAACGAUCAAAAUAAGAAAUCGAAAAGAGAGAGCAAAGUAGAUCUUUAUUCCGAAUCUGCGUAUGAGCGUUACAACAAGGUAUAAGCCUGGGCUCGAGAGCUGUCGGCGAGAUUCCUAGUUCUAGCAACCCUAAGACGGCUAAACCUAAUUGAGUCGCAGCUCGAAAUAACAAAAACGGAAAAUUGCCUAAAUUGCUCUAAGUGCUAAGUUUGCUCUGAAAAAAGUUCUCCCUUCUGCUCCUCGCCUAGGACUCCUUAUAUACUAGCUCCAAGGUCGGUUUACGCUUUUACUCUUCUGCCCUUAAGCCGUCAUAGCAUAAAAUGGAGAUUUUCCAUUUUUCCCGUUCUUCAUAAUUAUCUUCAAAACUUCCAUAUUUAUCCGCGGAAACUUGACAUUUAUCCUUCCUCGUGGGCCAAGCGUAAACCAUGCUGUGGUUUACGGGCUUUUGGUUAGGAAAAUCGUAGGAUGGGCUUCGAAUCGUGUUUUAGGUCCCUUUGGGCCGUUUUCCGACUCGACACGUUUACUACGAGUUUUCCGCGGUUUCUAAUCCGCGAAGUUUGAUCGAUGAAUUAGAAUAGCGGGAAACAUGGACUGAGCUUGCUACGGUCUUCGGGAGAUAGCAUUCGAAGGUUUGACGAGAAUGCAAGGACUGGUGUCGUAUCGAUGUUCGGAAAGGUUCAAUCGCUACACAGCGACCGAACUUUGGCUCGAGCCCGGUCGCUACGUAGCGACCGAGCGAGACGAGUGCUCGGUCGCUACGUAGCGACCGAGCUUUGGCUUGAGCUCGGUCGCUACGUAGCGACCGAGCUUGGUUUGUUCGGUUUGAAUCCCAAAGGAUACUUCUUCGUAAAAACCUCGUAUAGGUUAUUUUUACGAAAAUUACGUCUCUUCUUUUACUAACUCUUUCGGAAAUACGAUCUACGAGGAUUUUCGGGUGGUAAUUCCGUCGUAACCGUUUUUGACCCCAACAGAUACUAGACUGCCCCUCCACAGACACAAAUUGUUGGAGGGGCAGUCUUAAACUUGGGUAAUAUUUGACCCCAACAGAUACUAGACUGCCCCUCCACAAACCUUAAACUUGGGUAAUAUUUGUACGGUGGACGGUUCUUGGACCUCUACAAAUCAAUUCAAUGGAAUUGGAUGGGUUUGGAAAGAUAGCAUGGGGAAGAUCCAAAUUAUGGGGACAAAAAACUUAAGGAGGCGUGAGACAGCAUUACAUUCAGAACUGGAAGCACUAAGAUGGACUAUGGAAAGUAUGCUACAGCAUUCGACAUGUCAGAGAUUUGAGACAAAUUGCAAGGACCUGAUUCCAAUGAUAACGGACCCACAAGCUUGGCCAACCUUCUCAACUGAGCUGGAGGUCAUACAGAUUCUCCAGGUGUGUUUUCCAGACUUCAAGAUCAGUUAUUUUCCAAGGGCGUAAAAUGGAAUUUCUGACUCGCUAGCUAGGAAUGCUCAUUCUUUUCAUAGAUCUCUUUGUUUUAUUGGUUGUUUUAUUCCGGUCUGAUUACCCAGACCACCUCAAGUUUGGGUAAUAGAGUAGUCGUUUGUUGCCAAAAAAAUAAAAUAAACUAGACUUGGUCCUAUAUCUAUCUAUUUGUGUUUUGUUAUCAUCUUAGAUAGGAUUGGGAGACGGAGAGUAGAAUAGAAGUAAAGAGAAAGAAGAAGAAGAAUAAUACACACAUGCAAAACAAAUAAAUAUAUUCAUAGACCAAACUAUGACAAUACAAAAAAUAGUGUUCCUUCAAUGAAUGAAUUUUCAUAUUAUAUUAUUAUUGGAAUAGGAGUCGGCAAAGAAUACGAAAUCAACUAUAAAAAUCGUGUGGAAAGAAAAAGAAAAGAUAUGAACUUCAGUCGUAUAUAAAUAAGGAGGUUCCUCAAGUGUAAAGAAUCUAUAUAUAUAAAGAAGAGCUACUCUUUUUUUCUAUGCUGCCACAUCAUCAAAUUGACUUUCUUAUGCACGACACGUGUCUCGUCUUCCCACAAACGAUGCGUUUCAUUUUUAUGCAUUGAAUUAGCAUUGUUUGGGCUUUAUUUGUUGGGCUCCCUGAUUUAAUGAACCAGAACGGGAUUAACCCAUAUCAUCUUCCUCAUCUGCACACCAAAAUUUAGGGUUUAUCCAGUCUCUUCAAUCUCCAACAUCACGUGCGGACAGAAGAAGCAAGAGCUAGAAUCAUCGUAAUUCACCCUCUCAUUUGCACCGACUUCCCACUCCUCACAUGAUAUCUCAUUUAAUGCAUCCCCAUCUUUAUUCCUUUCAGUGAAUCUACAACUAUAAAUAUGUGAGUUUCUUUCUCCCUUCGGAAUUCAUCAGUAUUUUUUUAUCAAAUCCUAAACAUUCUAAAAAGCUUCCCGAGAUUGACUUGGCCAGUUACUACAAAUACUUAGACAGAAAAGUUACUACAAAUACUUAGACAGAAAAAAAAAAAAUUAAUAAUUACAGUUUACAAGAUAAUCGAGGGGCAGGGAAGUAGAUCUAAGAUUAACCUCAGCUGCAAGCUACUCAAGAACGGUGGGGGAGGUUAAACGAAAGACCAAGGAGGCAAGUUCCUAACCUCUGGUUGAACACGAGCAACACCAACCAGCUCCGGUACAUCGCAAAGGCCAGAUGUCCAAUUCCAACCCUAGAUCCGCCACCAUCUGCCUUCGGAGUUGACUUCGGAGUUGUCCCCGCGGCCAAAGACGUUGACUUUGUAGAAAAAUCGACACCAAACUCUAAUCGCUGACGUCUGCUACAUGACCAUCGUCUCUUCAAAAGUCUGAGAGACCGCCUCCUCCCUUUCAUCUAGGCGGUGAAGAUCCGCGUCCGGGCCGGAGGAGAAACACACGAAGGGGAACUGCCAUCCCAGUCCAUAAAUCCUCCGUCACCAAACACGAAAAUUCAACCGUCGGGACAGACCACUAGCCUCCGAUGAAUGACUAUGCAGUUUCUGUUCGCGUCCCCGUCGUCCUCAUUACAGGGAGAGCAGAGCAUACUCCUGACGAGCCACCAGGAGCUAAGCCAUCGUAGGGGUCUUCUUCCCCUUCACAGAACCCGUCCGAUUCACCAAGACGGGAAGAGAAGAGCUACCAGGUUACUAUCAAUACUGCUCCGUCUUGAUGCUCAGAGACCAGAGGGUGAUCCACAACGACCACCGACGAGACUGCCGGCGACGUCUGUGUCUUUACCCUAGGCGAAAGCGAUGUUGAUUUAGAGAGAAAACUAGAGUCGCGUGUGAGAUAUACUCGCGCCACUCAAAGGCCGAACGUUUUUAUGAGAGAUUUUGUAAUGUUACCCGUAAUCGUAGCCGUUGAUUCAACUCCCAUGUUGAAAAAUCUUUAAUUAAUUAAUUAAUCUAAAGUUUGAACAAAGAAUGAUAAUCAUCAUUAAGGUUUGUAUUAUUUUCUUUUUUCUGCAUUUUAAUAUAAAAGCCUUUUACAAAAAAGAAAACCCAAAGCAGACUUCUUUCCUUCAAAUGGCUAAUUCGGUGGCGAACUGAUGCAUUUGAUGAUGUGUGGAUCAAAACAAGUAACAAUCAGUGAAGAUGACAACAAAUCGAUGAAUCAAGAAUCAUAGAGACACAAACCUGAAUGAUUGGGAACUCUAACACCCAUUGCUGCUUGAGAACGAAGAGCACGGCGUAAAGCAACCCAGUCACAAACCCUCUAAUCUCUAUUCUCUCAAUCACUCCAGUUGACAAGAAGAACCCAAUCAUUUUUACACAAAUGUAAAAGAUGGAGUAAAUAUCAUAUAUAAUAAUGAAAGAUAGUUUAAAGAAGUAAUUAAUUUUUGGUAAGUUUGCUAUCAUCUGUGAAUAUUGGUAUCAUGUGUUAAACUUUAUGGAGGAGCAUACCGGCAGUGUGGUGGCUCACUCGCUCGACGUCGAGCUUAUUGUGCGCCUCCGUUCUGUACAGGUCAAGUUGGAUCCGGGGUCUCUCCGGUGUGCGUCUGCAGUGGUGAAGGCUUCCGUGUGGUCGCAGUUACUGCUGUGUUGUUCGUGUGCGGUUUCUGGUUCUGUUCUCAAGGUGGGCCGUCUAUGACUUUGCCUUGGGUUCUUCCGGUGAUUGCUCCAGCUUCUUCUCUCUCAGUCGACGCCGCUCAUGUUGUCGUAUGUGUCGUUGCGUUGUGUUACGAUGUGGUCUCUUUCUCUCCGGCUUGUCGGUCUACUCUCCGGUUCUCCCCUGUGGUGUAGGUUUGAUGAGGCAUUUUGGAGCUAGCUCCGGUUCUCGGAGCUAGGGCGAGGCGGUUUGCUCGGAUCUCCCUUGGGUCAUUGGAGUGAAGACUCACCGCGGGAGGCUCGUGUGAAGAUUGGUCAUCCCAGCACCUCUUUUGUAACCGUUGGUUCGAUUUGGUGGGCUGAUCUUCGGUCUGUUUGUAGGUUAGGAAGAUCGACAGCAAGAUGUGGCUCUCACCACUCCCGCUUUCUGCUGUGACUCGCAUUUAGUUCCGAAGUCGAGUACAAUAAGUGUGACCUCGUUGAUUUCUGGACUGGCCUGACGGCGCUCUAAGGGUUUGCUAGGGCGGGUUGUGGACUGAGGCUCUAGGAGCUCGGGUUUUGUCUUCCGGUGGUUGUUCGAGGCUCGGGUUGCAGCGAUUAGGAUUGCAAAGCUGCGCGGGAUUGGAGUCAAUCAUUUGGAGUAGCGCUGCGGGCAAGCCAAUUUCUACCAAAGCGUGGUCUCAUGUAUUAUCAAAGACUUCAAAAUCUUGUGGCAAUGCUUUCCGGUCUAGUUUCUGCUCUUCCUUAACUAGGAAACCUUUUGUUUAAUUUUCGAUAUAGUCCAUUUAUCUCUCGGGGUUGCUUUUUCUUUCUUUCUCUGGUGUUGUUUUAGUUUGUUUUUGAUUCCGCUAGUUUUCUUUGUAACUUCUGUCAAAAAAAAAAAUUUGGUAUAAAAUUUAACAUUUACACCAAAAAAAAAAAAAAAAAAAACUUUAUAAGGUUCCACAUUUUUUUAUAUUUGGAGGUUUUGUUUAAAUUGCAGCGAUGCGUUCAUUAAUCAAUAUUAGACAUUAUUGCUCUUUUUUAGGGACUAUACAUCACCUUGGUCCUUGGAUCAAUCUCGGGGAGGAAAAUUACUUUAAAUAUGUAUUUAAGUUGACAAUACAUAUAUUUUAGUGUGACUCUUCAUUUUAUGUAGACAAUACAUAUAUCUUAAAAGAAAAGUUCCAACUUUGUUCAUCAUAGAGCCGAAUGCACAACUUAUUAUAUGGUUUUGUAAUUCAUGCUUGAUUUUGUGUCAUCUAAUUAGAGAUGACGUGUAUAUUUUCUCUUUUAAUGCUCCAAAAAUUUGACUUUAGCUAAUUUUUAUUUUCCUUAGUUUUCAAUUACACCAAUUUCAAAAUAAUCAUAUAAAAAUCUGGUUCGGAUCAAAAAUGAACAAAUUCCGUAAAUUUGAAAAAUAAGUUAUGAAGAAAUAUCAAAUUCCGCCCGUAGAGCAGGCCUACCCUAGUCAUCAACAAUAAUCUUGACAACUUUAUACACAAAGCUGAGAAGUCUCAUAAAUGUUUUUUGACGUUCCUUGUCAUGAAUUACAAUUUUGUUUGACCCCUAUUCAAAGGGUGCGUAGGCAGUCUUUAACCAGGUUCUACUAUAAUAUAAAAAAAUUUCUUUUGUGUUCAUUUGCCGAGUUUCGAUCUCAAUACGAAAACUCUUCCUACACUUUAAAUUCUUUUAUCACAAUUUUAAAUUCAACAAUUUAAACUGAAAAUAUCUUCAAAGAAGGCUGAUCUCAACGCUAAAGAAACAAUGUGUCGCCAAAACAAGGUGUUGCGUCAUCCCGGUAAUAACACACUGACAUCGAUGUCGAUCAUCAUCUCGGCAUGAUAUCAUAACCAAUUCAUUCAGAGAUAUCAAUUUCUAUAAAUCAAGUAUUGUUCUAAAGAUUGUUUGCAAAUAAAGAAUAACUCUCUUUGUUUGCAAAACCUUAAGCACUCAAACACAUAAUCUCUAAAACUUGAGUUAUGUAGCAACCUUGUAUCUUCUUAUAUAGAGAAUAGAAAUCCUAAAACCAUUAGACAUCUUAUGUUAUAAAUUUUCCUAUUUUCCUAAUCCAUAACUCGGUAGGAAAUAGUAACUUGUUUCACAAGUUAUUCCAAGCUUAAUCCAACAUUCUCCCCCUUAAACUUGAACUUGGAUUUUUUCACAUCUUCAACUCCAAUAAGACUCCUCAUUUCUUUAAACUUCAAUCUUCCCAGCGGCUUUGUUAGUAUAUUGGCUUUCUGUUCACUUCCCGAAACAUGUUCAACUUCCAUUUGCUCAUUCUCAACGCAUUCAUGAAUAAAAUGAAAUCUUCUAUGUAUAUGCUUGCUUCGCCUGUGAAACACCGGAUUCUUCGUAAGUGCUAUUGCUGAUUUGUUGUCAAUCCAUACUGUUACCUUCUUACAUUCACUUCCGACUACUUCAGCUAUGAGUUCUUGAAGCCAUAUCGCUUGCUUUGCUGAUUCCGUCGCUGCCAUGAACUCGGCUUCACAUGAGGAUAGUGCAACAAUCUCUUGCUUUGUCGAACACCACGUAGUAGGGCACUUCUCGAAGUAGAACACAUGAAAUGUUGUUCUCCUACCAUCAUCUUCAUCAUCAUUUUGACUACUAUCACUAUAGCCUACCAAACUUUCACCCGUUGAGUGUUCGUAUGGUAGUCCAUAUGACAUAGUCCCACGCAAAUACCGCAAGAGUCCAUUCAAUACUGCUCCAUGCGACUCUCUUGGUUCCUGCAUAUAACGACUCAAUAUUCCUACAUCAAAAGAAAAAUUUGGACGAGUAUGAAGAAGAUAUCGAAGGCAUCCAAUGCUCCUUCUAUAGUUAUUCUCGUUGAUUCGCUUCUCUUCAGGCCCCUUCGAAAUCUUCAAGUUUUGUUCCAUUGGUGCCUGAGAAGCAUUACAAUCGUCCAUACCUGCCUCUUCUAGGAUCUUUUGCGCAUAUCAUCCCUGACACAAGAUAAUACCACCUUCAUGUUGAAGCACUUCUAUACCGAGGUUAUAAGUUAACUUCCCAAGGUCACUCAUCUUAAACUUCUUAGACAUCUUUUUUUUUUUAAUUCGAGUAUCAACUUAAGGUUAGGGCCAGUGACCAAGAGAUCAUUGACAUAAACCGCAACGAUAAGAAUAUGAUCGCUCUCCUUCUUACAAUAAAGAGAAGGUUUAAAACACUUCUCGAAACCUAUCUCCCUGAGAAUCUUGUUAAACUUCACAUUCCAAGCUCUUGGAGCUUGCUUUAAAUCGUAGAGUGCCUUGUUAAGCUUGUAAACUUUGUCCUCGCUGCCCUUUACCUCAAAACCUUCCGGCUUCUUCACAUACACAACUUCUUUUAGGUCUCCAUGAAGGAAAGUGGUCUUGACGUCAAGGUGAUGUAUUUCCCAUUGAUUCGAUGCAGCUAAAGCAAUGAUGAAGCAAACUGUCUCGAUACAUGCAACUGGGGCAAAGACUUCCUCGAAAUCAACUCCAUGCCUUUGGACAUACCCUUUCACGACCAGCCUUUCUUUGUAUUUAUUCACACUUCCAUCAGGAUUUCUUUUUAUCUUGAACACCCACUUUAGUCCAAUUGGCUUAGCACCCAUGGGUAGAUCAACCAAGUCCCACGUCUUGUUCUUUAUGCUGGACGCAAUCUCAUCUUCACAUGCUAGUAUACAUACUGUGGAGUCCUUAGCCUCACUGAAAUCCCAAGCUUCCUCGUUGAUCAAGAUCAACAAUCUCUCUUACUCAAUGUCGGCAAGACAUAUGUAGUCGUUUAGAUACUAUGGUGUCCUCCUUAUCCUAGUUGAUCUUAACUUUGAUCUUCCUCACCUUCUUCAUCUUCCUCUGUUUCACCAUGUGACGUAGCCUCUGCUUCAUCGUCUUCAUUUUGAACUUCAUCAAUAUUCUCGGUUCCAUUCAUAUCUCGAGUAGAACCAUCAUUAUGAUCGUCUUCAUCUAUUUUCUCACCAUACAUUCCAAAGCUUAACCUGAAAAUUUUAUGAUCGUCAUAGUUUCUUUCUUUCUUUCUCGCCACUCCAGUUCCAUUGUUUAUCUUCAUCGAAUAUGACAUCUCUGCUGACAACAAUUCUUAUAUUAGUUGGAUCAAAGAGUCGAUAAGCUUUUGAUCCACGUUCUGUUUUAAGGUGAACCAGAGUCUUUGAUCGAUCAUCUAGCUUUUUUUCUUCCAGCUACCUCAGUUCUUGCAUAUCCAAUACAACCAAACAACCUAAGAUGGCUAAGAUUCGGUUUUCUUCCUUUAAAAAUCUUGUAUGGUAUUUAUGCAGUUGCUAGCGAUCUUGUUGCCACUCUGUUGAUCAAAUACGUAGCAUGUCUGAUAGAUUCACCCCAUAGAUAGUUUGGAACAUCCUAGUGUUUUAAGAUACGUCUUGUCAUCUCUAAUAGUGUUCUGAUUUGCCUCUCAACAACUCCAUUUUGUUGAGGUGAAUAAGGUGCCAUGAUAUGCCUAUUGAUGACAUGUUUCUUGCAGUAACCUUGAAACUCAUGCGAUGUAAACUUUCCCCCUCUGUCCAUGCGGAAUGUUUUGAUGGACGCCUUUGUCUCUUGUUCAUCUUGUAUUUUGAAGUUUCGUAACUUGUCAAACGCUUCACUUUUGUCUUGUAGUAGAAUCGUCCACAUAUACCGAGAAUAAUCAUCAAUGAUCACGAAAACAUACUUCUUAUGCGCCGGUGUAGAGGGUGUGAUUGGUCCGCAAAGAUCGCCAUGUACCAACUCUAGGACUUGUGUAGCUCGAUUUGUAAUUCCUUGUGGGAAAUAUUGUCGAGUUUCUUUACCACUUAAACACGAGAUGCACGUUUCUUUCUCCCAACCAACCUUUGGUACGCCUACUACAAGUUCCUUAUUAUAACCAUCAUCUUCAUAGUCUCAAAGUUAAUAUGCCCUAAAUGUGCAUGCCACGUAGUUGUAUCUCCCAUCGUUACUAGCUGAAGAACUUUGACUCUCAACCUUUAUGAUGACUUAAUAUAAUCGAUUUUUAGAUCUCCCCGUUCUCACAAUUAGUUCACUGUUUCGAUCAUACAAAGUAAAUAGUUCAUCUUUCAUACGCACCUUGCACCAUGCCUCGGUAGCCUGACUGAGACUUAUGAUAUUAUUUCUUAGGUUAGGUAUGAAGUAUAUGUUGUGUAGAACUCUCUUGCCUCCUUCUUUAAGUAUAAACCAUACCGAUCCCUUUCCUUUUAUCUCUAUACGAGAGUCAUCACCAAAUCGAACCAUUCCCAUGAUAGUUUCAUCGAGUUUGAAAAAAAAAAACGAACGGUUCCCACUCAUGUGGUUGCUGGCUCCGUUGUCGAGAUACCACAAGUAAGUCACAUUAAGGUCUGCUUCAAAGUUGUUUGGCUUUACCUUUUGCUCGUUAAGAUACACCACCUCAUGCAUCAUUCGAUAAUCAGCCUCUUGCGUGUCUUCUUCCUUUUCUCGACUGCUUCUUGGAGUUUUAGUAGACGAUCUGGACAAUUUGAUGCAUAAUGUCCCAAUUUUUCACACCGAUAACACAAUGCUUUAGAUUCAUCUCGUAGUAUCCAAAACUUUCGUGACCUCUUCCUCUCCAAUUUGAUCGACCUCCUCUGCCUGACCUAUAGUUUUCUUGAUAGGGUUGUCGUGACUCGGUAUUAGCAUACAUAAUCUUUCCUUGAUCAUCUUGUUCCCCUACUUCUUCACCAAUUCUUUCUUUGUAUGCCUUUAGCCUUGAUAUCACUCAAACUACCCUAAGGAGUGAUUUGUACUCUCUCAAAUAGGAUGUCAACUUGUAGCACUUAGGGAUCAAAUUCACAGGGAGCUAGAACACACACUAGAUCUAAAUAGUUAUUGAUUAACCUAGAUUAUUAGAUUAUAAAGCAGUAAAUAGCAGAACAUAGUGAACAAGGUAGUUGUUCAGUAAAUUGAUGAGUUGUUUGAUGGAAGGAUGGUUUGCUAGACUUAAGGUUUCAAUCAAAUUAUUAUGACUCUAUCUAUAGAUGCUAGGAUUGAUCCUAGAACUCGAUAUCUAAUGCAAAAGACGUCCAGCUCUCGCUGCUAGUCUAAUCUAUUGACUAAGUCUUUGUUCCAGCUCUCGCAUGCGAACAAUGAAUUAGCGUCGAUCAGUGCUAUUGAGUUAGCGUCGAUUGAUGCUUCCUCAGACAAGCAUUAACGCUCAGAUCGAUAAUGUUCAACUAAAUUCCUAGACCAACUCUCCUAUGCGCCUAGGUAUCUAAUCCAACAGGAUUCGGGUUCCGUUAAUUGAUUGCACUCUCGUGCCUCUCAAUUGUCCUAUGAUUCUAGGUUCAAGUAAUUAGUCACACUCUCGUGCUAUUCCAACUACUCUAGAUCCUAGUAUUACAAGCUACCCUGGUGUAAGAUCUAUAGUUAACCUAACAAUCCUAUAAUUCAGAAGUUCAUUCAAAACCCUAGAAAAUCCCUAAACCUAGCAGGUGGAUCUACUCAAACAUGAUAGUUGUCACAGAAAUCAUAGAUGAAUAGAUGCAAUAGAAUAGAUAAUAAAACCAAAACCAAUGGAGUUCCAAAAGGACUCUGAAGGAGUUCCUCCCUUCUCUUCUAACCUAAAACUAAGAACAAAUAAUAGAAUAAAGUGUAAGCGUCAACAAUGGCUUAGAGAACACAUAAAUAUGGCUUUAGGUCGUCCAUGGAUAUUUUGGUAAUUUGUGGUUGCUUCUGGGCUUAAGUCUGUCUUGAAAUAUACUCAGCCCGUGUUCUGGCAUCACCGUCGAUCGACACCAAGGGUGCAUCGUCGAUUGAUGUUCCUUCAUCUCCUCGGCAUCUCUCUUUCGCGAGAUAGGCAUAACGUUUGAUCUAACCGUUGGAUUGACCUCAAAUCGGUGGCAUUGGAAACCUAACACAAAGCUAUAUCUUGUGUCUCAAUAUAGGCUCAAUCGCACCGUGAGAAGUCCAUUUCUAAACAUCUGACGCGUCUGUGCAUUUCUGCACCUAAAAAUGCUCCAUAAUCACCAAAGUUCCCCAAAACAUACCUGGACCUGAAAACACUCUAAAACAUACCACAAACACAUAUAAUAUUCUCUAAAAUAUCUAUAUACAAUAGCUAAAAACAGGUAAAAGUCAUGGUAUAUCAACUCUCCCAGACUUGCCAUUUUGCUUGUUCUCAAGCAAAAUAUAGAGUAAUCAUGUGAAAGAGGUUUGAAAACAUCAGAGACUCAUACAAUUUUAAUUUUACUACUUUCACCUUUGCAAUGUUGCAAGCCACAUCAGAUUAGUGCCAACUUUAGAGACACUUAAUGUACUAGACCUUAGCUUAGCAACCAAACUAUACAGCCCACAGCUCGGCCGAUUCCGCCUGACAUACCCCUCUACUGACCUCAUUUCUGCAUAUAAAUGUGUAGGUUAAAUUUUGGGAGUAUCGAUCUAACGACACAUGUACUCUCAACCCAACAGGUAUUUGAGUAAUAAGGUAGUCUUAUUCUGAUUUCUUUUCUCCCUAUAUCUCUCUUCUCUGAAUCCUUUUUUUUCUCAAAUCCAAUGAACAAUGAUGUUGAUGCAGUCCAUCUUAUUCAUCUUCUUUUCGAUUUUUCUUCUCUUUUUUUUCUUUUUUCUUUUCGUGGCAAAAUAUAGGCGAAUAAUGGAGUCUCGGUAAUGUACCUACCCCUCGCUUCCAACAAUGUGUGAUCAUUCAUUUGAAUUAAAAUAGUGGGGUCAUCAGUAAUGUACUUACCCCUCUGCAUCUGAGGAAAUCAUCUCAAUCUUUUCUUUUUCUUUCUCUCUGGAUGCCGAAGAGAGGAGAGAAGGAAACCAAAAAUUUAUAGACUUAUACCUUUCAGAUCUGAAAAAAGAAUCUAAUCCAAUGUAUACCAAGCCCCAAAACAAGCAAAUUAAGUUGAUUAAGGUUGGAAGUGAACUUCAGUUCCUUCAGACUUUCUCAGCUAGCUUGGAUAUUAUUGGCAGGUGAUCCACAUUGGUGUUUCCAUUCAGUACACUCUGCAGUCAAUAACCUCAAAGAAUGGUGCUAGAGAGUGGUUAGAUAGUAAGUAAAAUUGAAAAAGUUAAUCAUCCUCUUCUUGACUCAAUAAAACUCAAUAAAACAUAUAAAACUAAAGCUUAAUACAAAACAUAAUAUCAGUAAAACCUCCACCAUACUUAAAAAAACAUUGUCCCCAGUAUUAUACAGUCUAAGAUUGGUGGGAAAAUAAUUUAUAAGUACUAAAUUUUAUAAGGAGAAAUGGUACACCUACUCGUUGAUGGUGAGCGUCGAUCGACACAAUUAAGUGACGAUCGAUCGAUACUCGUGAUGCUCUGUCGACCGACAAUGGCAUGUUGUCGUUGAUCGCUGAUGGUAUAUCAACUCUUCUUCCUUGGAUCUUUUCUUUUUUUUUUUCCUUUUUUUGCGAUGAACAGUGAUGCUGCUACAGUGUCGAUCGACAACUCUGCUACAGUGUUCAUCUUUUUCUUUUCUCAAUAUCUACUCUUUGAAGCUUCAUCAUUCUUUUGUGAAGGCCUCCUCCAUAUACUCUUCUCCUUUGUCUAUCAUCUCAGCAAUAAGUAGUGCUCGAAGCUUUGUGAUAGCUGUGAGAAGCAUCUGAUAACGCACUCUAUACUUUCUGAUACCAUCUGAAAAGUGAGGAAUCAAUGAUAACCGAGGAUCACCCUUGAUCCUUUUCCUCGUCUUCCAAUUCUUCCUCUUCUUUCCUCCAGACUUGUCUGAUCGCGUGAUGGUGCCUCCAUCAAAAAGAUUUUGACACACUUCAAACUUUUUCUGCUCUGAUAUGCGUCCGAUGUCGAUCGAUUGUAUCUGGUUGGUGUGGAUCGAUGAUGCUUUUGCUGGGUCUUUAUCGACUUCACCUUUACAUCUCAACUCUCUCUGAGAAGCUAAUGCAUACAUAUCAUCAGCAAAUAACCCAUUGUAGAAACCUAAAUGCACACUUCUAAUUGGUCGGAUAGAAAAUUCAACUUCAACCAUAGUGCAUGGGACCAUAAUCUUCACAGAAUCAUGUAUCCUCUUCACUCUUUUGUGGAACUUCUCAGCUUCUUUUGCGCAUAUAUGUGGUCGAAGAUGUUCAUGGAAAGUAAGGUGUGAGGUCUCCGACUCGUGUAUUCUCUCCUCAACUGGUUCUUCCUCAAGCGUGUAUCCAGGCAACUCGUGCAACAAUGGGAGCCGAUCGAUAUCAUCAGAUGGGUGUCGAUCGAUAUCAGGUGGGCGGGGUCGAUCGAUGUCGGGUUGGCGGUGUCGAUCAAUGCUAUCCUUUGGCGAGGUUUCCAUAUCUCUUCCCGAAGUGUGAAGAUCAUCAUCAAGCUUCUUCUCCGAGUUCUGACCCAAAUCUUUAUGAUGUGCUCCAUCCAAUACCUUCAAGAAAUCCUUUGGCUCUGAAAAAUUUUCCAUGGUGGUCUCUCUGUCUAUAUCUUGAGCAAAAUAGCUGCUUGAUAUAUCGGUGUUCACUGGUGUCGAGUCUGCAAUAUCCUGAGGAUUCAAGAGGCGUCGAUCGACAGCAAAAGUUUGUGUCAAUCGAUGUUGAGGUGGUAAUGUCGAUUGAUGCUGAGGUCGGAUAACUAAUAUCAGCUUUGUCUACUCUGCUCAACUCGACAGAUCCAUACUUUUCAUUACCCUUUGCUAUAACGUAGUCGAACAAAUGCCUUGGAAUAUGAUAUUCUCUCUUUAUCUGCCAACUUUCAACGAGCUUGUCCCACUUAUAAUAUUUCUCCCUUUCUCGAGUUGCUUCAACAUCAUCCAGAAAUUGAUAGAGGAAAGCUCUCUCAAUAUCUUCCCAGCUGGUUAGAGAUCCUGGUUGCAGUUGACUGAACCAGCUAAAUGCAUCCCUGGAGAUAGAAUAAGGGAAUAUCUUGCAUAGCAUGUGGUAUUCAAACACUUUAUUCUGCUCACUCCUUGAGACUAGAUCUUCAAGUUUUUCGAUGUGGUUCCUGGGAUCCUCAUGAGGAAGACCUUGAAAGGGAUCCUCUCCUACCCUAGCAUACCAUUCACGACCCAUAUCAAAGUCAUUCGUCUGAGCAACAACAAUCACAUUAGGGAUUACAACACCAUGCGCAUUAAUCAAUUGCCAUGCACUGUUGCGAGGGCGACCUUCUUCGUCUCGUAAGAUCCCAGUUUCACCAGCCUCAAGUAUGAGUUCCUAUAUUUGCACUUGUAAUUCCAGCUAUAACAAGUGUUCAAUUUAUGGAAUCAGUUCAGCGAUUUGAAGGAAGUUUGUACUCAAAAACGUAGUUGUUGGCACUUGUUAUUCCAGCUAUAUUUGUAAUUAAUCAUUUCAAUAACCUAAAUUAAAAAACAAAGAAUCUUGUUGAAUAGUAUUACAUCAUACCUUGGAAUAUUGAUGUGAAUAAUUAAGUGGUAAUAUUGGCUAUUGAGUAAUCAACUGAUAACAAUAUUUAGCAUUGACAAAAAUAUCGAUAGAAAGAAAGACUAUUUGACUAAACGCUUCUCUGAAGCGAUGUCGGUUGAAUGAUCCUUGCCAGACGAACAGAUUCUCAUGGUGUGGAUUGUGGAGUAAAGUAACAGAUGAUAUGGCGGGUUUCCUGUAGUUCGUAGGUAUAUAUGUGAAGCGUUGGGAUUUAUCCUCUUAGAGUGAACUUCCACUUUUAGGUGGAAAAUAAUGUCAUAGGGCCGAAAUUCCGCUACAUGCCAAAUCAGAAAGUAGAGAGAAAUAUUCAGACAUCACUCAUUUUUAUUUCGAUAUAUGCUGUGAGUAACUUGUUAGCUUAUAUCAAUGAAAUACACAUUUUUUUGGUCAACUAUAUAAUUUAUUAUGGGAAAAUUGGAGUCUAUAGCAACGAAAAAAUGGUAAUUGGCAGAGUAGCUAUUUUACCUAAUACACGAAUACACCAUGCAUCUUAUAUAUAAUAAUAUUACUAUGCCUUUUUACACAACCGGUAAAACCUGUAAACAAAAAAAAACUAAAGUAAUAAUACUUACCUAACACACAUACAUCGUGGCCUUUGGAGAAUCACAUACUGAGUUGUUUCUUCCCCAUUUUUGAUCCAUAGUAACCACCAAAACCAUUUCUGGAGUAGCUUUGCCUAGGAGAUGCCCAUCUGCAACGGCUCGCUUGGCUACUGACGGAAAGCUUUGCGCAUCUGAAAUCUAUGGAGUCGCCGACAACGUAAACGGCACCGCCGCGAGGUUCGUCAACCCUUCCUUCAAUCGCCUUAAUCUUUUCGGUUUACGAGGCGGUUACAUGUAUUAUUCCCAUGGAUGUCGUCAGUUACACAUAUCUUUCUUUUUGUGAAUGUUCUUGAAUUGACCGGAGAAGAUGAACAGUUUUUGUAACACAGUAUUCUAUACUAUUUUAUGCGUAUGGAAUAGAAAUGUAAAACAAUAUGUAUUAUGAAUGUUUUAUUCAUGUUAUGUAAUGUGAAAUAGUAUGUUACUAUACUUAUUUAUCAUGUAUCGUUCCAUUUGAUGAUUAAUAAAGAAAGUGUUAUUUUGUUCACCAAUAUGUACUAUACUAUGUAUUUUGUUUCAUUCAAUUUGGGUUUAGGGUUUAUACUUAGGUUUAGGGUUUAUGAUUAAGAUUUAGGGUUUAGUAUUUGGAAGGUAUGGUUGAGGUUUAAUAGUGCCCUUAUCGUGUAUUGUUCUAUUUGAUGAUUAAUAAAGAAAGUGAUAUUUUGUUCACCAAUAUGUACUAUACUAUGUAUUUUGUUCUAUUCUAUUUGAGUUUAGGGUUUAUAUUUGGAUUUAGAGUUUAUAUCUGGAUUUAGGAUUUAUAUUUGGAUUAGUUUAGUGAUUAGAGUUUAGUAUUUAUAAGGUGAGCGAGUAUGAUUAGGGUCAACAUUAACUUUUUCUUUGCAAUCAUAGACAUUCCAUAAAUUCACUAAUAUGUGCUAUGUUAUUUUCUUUGUUCCAUUCUAUAUGGAUUUUUGGUUUAUAUUUGAGUUUAUGCUUUAUAUUUGAAUUUAUGGUUUACUGAUUAGAAUUCAGGGUUUAGUAUUUAAGGGUCGUGGUAAGAUUGAGAUUUGGUUAUGUUUAGUAUUAAUGAGUUGUAGGUGGAGUUAUAAUCUUAUACUACUUCAUUGAUAUGGAAUAAAACACUCAUGCAUAUGUAUGUGGUCAACAAAAGUAUACGUGGAUGGUUCCUCUUUCUUUUAUUUGGAAUAGUUUUAAAGUGGUCUUGACCUUAUAUUCUAUUGACCACGUUCACCACUUUAACACAAUUACCUGAUACCUACAAAGAAAAAUGAUAUAACCAGACACUUUAUGGCAUAAAUGUCAAAAAUUAUAUUAUGUCAAAAUCAAUGACAUUUAUCUAAUUUGUAUUCAAAACAAGGCUAGUUCACAAAUAAGCCGUUUAUUAUGGUAAGUUUUGUUUGAUAGUAACAACUCGAUACACCUUACAGUAUUUUUUAAUUUUUCAAUCUUUUACGUUCUCCAAUAUCAAAUAUAUGUGCGGACCACCUUAGUAGAAGAGUCUGGUUAAGAAAAUUAAAUUACUUACGUAAAUUUUGUUGCUCCAUGGUGAAAUAACCAAUGAAGCUGGCCGAUAAAACGAGUUCUUUUGAUGUAGAGAGGAACAUGCUUUCAAUAGGACUUGGGUUCUAAGAGCAUCAUUAUCGGGCUUCUUAGCCCGAUUCUUAUAAUUUACUUGGGCCAAAUUUAAAUCAAAAAAAUGAGUUAAUAAGGGGAAUCGAUUUUUACGUAAGAAGUUUUUGGUGGUGGUGCUUGUGUCACGUGGCGAAUGGUGAUAGGAUUUACGAAGCGGUAGAGAGAAGAGGUCAUUCGGUCUCGACCCAUUCUCUGCGUCUCCCUCUUCUCUCUCUCUCUCCGUCGAAGGCGAUUACAGGAGGAGUGACGCCGCGUCGCGAACCAGACGGAUUCACCGUUCAAUCUAAAGCUCUACCGGCACAUCGAAUCUCCAGCAGGUUCGUGUUCCUUCUGUGGUUUUUUUUUUCGAUUAUCGGGUUGUUUUGUGGAUCUAAAUUUUUUUUGGUUCGAUUCCCUUUUGCAUGCGUGGUAUUUGAUCUGGGUUUGCAUCGUCUCACUAUUCUCUCUCUCUCGCCGGUAGUUUUCGGCCGCCGUCGUCUAUUCUCACCGAUUCCAGAAGGAUCUCGCCGUCGUCUUCCGAAUCAAACGAUACCAGGUUUGUCUUCUAUAUCUGUUAAUCAUCUGUCUCUAUGUUAAGGUCUGCGAAUUAGAGGAAACGAUUGGCUUGGUUUGUUCGAAUUGAUUGGUUUGUUUCUGAAUGUUUGGUUGUAUAGUUCGUGUGUAUAGAGUUUCUGAAAGGUUGUCUGUAUAGGUUGUGAUUGAAUGGUUGGCGAGGAAUUUGAUUGUGAACUGAUCUGUGUCUGAUUGUAAAGUCCAUUGAUGCGUGUAUUUUAGAAUAAACUUUGGAUUUAAACUCGAUGGAUCUGUGUUUAACAUUGUGAAUGUAUACUUGAUUGAUUAGUGAAGUGUAUUCGGUAAAAGCUGGCUUUAAACAUUGUGAAUGUAUACAUUGUGAAUAAACUUUGGAUUUAAACUCGAUGGAUUUAACAUUGUGAAUGUAUACAUUGUGAAUGUAUAGAGUUUCUGUGUUUAACAUUGUCUUCAUCAUUGAAUUUACCAGUGUGGAAAUUUUAGAAAAAACUGGUGUGGACAUUUAAGUUUAUUGUUUGCUCAUUGUAGUUAGUUUCGAACGAGUUGUAGUAACUGUUGUAGUUAGUUUCGAACGAGUAACCAGUCUGUAAGGAGUAUAUAAGUUUAUUGUUUGCUCAUUGUAACUUGAGUGUAUUUUGUUUCUGACCAAAUGAAAAUAUUUAGUCAGAUGAUUCAUUGUUUUGAUGGCUUUUAAGUGUUGUAAUAACUAUUGAUUAGACCAAAGUAGUUGAUGGUUAGGUCUUUCUUUAAAGCUCUUUAUGAUCUCUUUCUCUCUUUUUUCUUUAUAUAACGGCAAGAAGCUAUACUUCUUGUCAUAGUAAUCUCUUUAUCUCUUAUUUCUCUCUUGUUUCUCUUUCUGUCAUUUAUAAUCCUAUCAUUCUCCUCGCUAUGGAUUCAAGGGAUCCUUCGAAUCCAUAUAGUGACUCCCCUAGUUAUAGCUAUCUUCUCCACAGUCAAAACUUCCAGUAUGGAAGUUUUCCUCCGAGUCAAAACUAUGGAGGAGGAUCGGAGAUACCUCCUUUUAGUUCACAAGCACCAGAGGCUCCUGCUCAACGUGAAAACCCAUCCGUUGCCUCUAAGGAGAGAAGGCAAUGGACUCCAGCUGAUGACGAGGUUGUAAUAAGUGCGUGGCUCAAUACAUCUAAGGAUGCUGUAGUUGGAUAUCAACAAAAAUCUGGGACGUUCUGGAAACGUGUAGCGGAGUAUUAUGCAUCUAGCCCACAUGCGAAAGCGAGUGGUGAACCUAGAGAGUGGCUCAAUCUUAAGCAGAGGUGGCAGAAGAUUAAUGACUACACCAACAAAUUCUGUGGUGCUUACGCGGCUGCAGAGAGACACAUCAGUUCUGGUCAGAGCGAGACUGAUGUCCUCAAGGCGGCUUAUGAUAUUUACUUCGCUAAUCAUCAAAGGAAAUUCAAUCUGGAGCAUGCGUGGUGUUUGUUAAGGUUUGAGCAGAAGUGGCUCAGUCUUAACACUCCUAAACCGAGCGGGAGUGGAAAGCGAAAGGCUGGAGAGGAAUGUUCGCAAACAUCAAGCGCCACUAUUGGUGAGCAAGAGGUGCGUCCAGAGGGUAGCAAGGCUGCUAAAGCUAGAAAGAAUAACACUCAAGGACUAAAAUCCAUUGAUGAGAUUAAAACCGUAAUGGAGUUGAAGAAGGAUGAUCUCAUGAGGAAGGAGAAUUUGUCGAAGCUUGCCAUUCUAGACACACUCCUAACUAAGCCAGGAACACUAAGUGAGGCUGAGGAAGUUGUGAAGAACAAGCUGCUCGCUCAGCUUUUCUGAAAAUGUCUUUUAAAAUUAUUAAGUAUCUCUGUUUCCUGAAAGUGUUCUGUGUUUUAACUUGUGUUUCUGUUGUUUCUGCGUCCUACUUUGAUGUCAAAUGUAUUCGAGUUUCGUAGUAAUGAAAAACAUGUUUCUGCUUGCAUUAUUGUUUUUCUGUUUCCUUGAAUGUUUCCUUAAAUAAAUUAGAGGACUAAUGUAUUUAAAUGAAUAUUCUUGGCAGGUUUAUUUAAAAAUGGGGAGAUAUAGUUACAGCCAGCCUUCGUGUUCCUCAGGGUAUGGUGGGGAGUACUCUAGUAAUAAUGCUUCUGAGUUCAGCGAGACUGAAGACCUCAUUCGCCUUGACCAAGAAGAGUUGAGCUUGAGAUAUGGUGACACGGCACCGUGCCCUCAGCCGUACCCUCCACAACCGGAGGUGGAGUUUGGAUUCCCCCAAGUUUGCUACUGUGGUGGUGCACCGCAGAUGGCUACAUCAUACACAAGGCUUGAUCCAGGGAGGAGAUACUAUACCUGCGCGCAUGUGGAUGAUGGAGAAUGCCAUGUGCAUAAGUGGUGGGACGUCGCAGUGAUGGAGGAGAUGAGGGCGAGGGAUAAACACGUACUACAAUUGGAGGAAAAGGUAGACUGUCUGAAACUUAUGAGUGACUAUGAUUCAGAUGAGAGGGUGUGUAGGCUAGAGCAGUUAGUUUGUGACUUGGCUAAGAAGAAAUCUAGUUUUAUAAAUGGCUUUGAGGUAUGCAUUGGAGUAAUGGUCGUCGUUUUAGUUCUACUGGGGGUGGUGAUCGCAUUUAAGUGAUUCUCGGUGCUUGGCGAAGAAGUAAUCUAGUUGUUUGUGGUUUUAUUGUUUUCGUUUGAAUGAUGUAUGCAAAAAUGACUUAUGUAGUGUAAUAACUUAUGUAUGGUAAAUGGCUUUGACUUAUGUGAUGUAAUAACUGGUGAUGAUCAUAUGUAUAACUUGAAAUGAUUCUCAAAAUGUACCAUAGUGUCUAAACGUAAUGUUUUUAUAAACAAAACAAAAUUCAAAAAACAAAACAAAAUUCCAAUGGGAUCCGUGAAGCUUGAAAACAAAACCAACUGCACUGGUUGGUCCGUGAAGCUGAAAACAAGACACAAGAUACACUUAUCAAUGCUCGUGAAUAACAUUCACAAGAUACACUUAUUUGAUCCUAUAAAUAUGAAAGAUCGUUGGAAAUUUCAAGACAUCCCUUCUCUUAUCAAAAUCUUCCCCUCUUUCAACAACAUUUCAUUUUUUUUUUUUUUAUGUAUGGAAUGUAAUAAAAUGUUUGUAAUUUUAAUUAAAUGAAAUUUUUUUCUCUUUUUAAUGUAUUGAAUAUAAAUGGAUAUAUCUUAAUUACUACUUAUUAAUAAAAAAAAUGAUUUUAUACCUAAGAACCUUCGAAAAGUUCCAUUGAUAAUGUUGUAUUUUACUUAAGUAUCUUAGAAAACUUCUUACACUAAAAAUACUAAUUAAAUAUUCUAAGAUGUUUGUGUUAAAUUUGUAUGGAAUGUUUGUGUUAUACAGUUACACUAAAAAUACUAAUUUUUUUUUUUUUAUGUAUGGAAUGUAAUAAAAUGUUUGUAAUUUUAAUUAAAUGAAUUUUUUUUCUAUUUUUAAUGUAUUGAAUAUAAAUGGAUAUAUCUUAAUUACUACUUAUUAAUAAAAAAAAUAAUUUUAUACCUAAGAACCUUCGAAAAGUUCCAUUGAUAAUGUUGUAUUUUACUUAAGUGUCUUAGAAAACUUCUUACACUAAAAAUACUAACUAAAUAUUCUAAGUAUUUGUGUUACAUAAGUUAAAUUUGUGUUAAUAACUAUUACCAUAAUUUUAUAGUAAUAAAAAACCUUAAUUUGUAAAACACUUGAACUAUAACUAAAUAACAAUACAUCGCAAUUCAGACAUCUUAUUUUCUAAGUCUUUUUUGAUCUUUUUGAUUUAGAAUGGUAGUUAUAUUUUACUAACCGAAAUACCGAAAACCGAAAAAACCCGAACCGAAACCGAACCGAUAUCCGGAUUGAACACCCCUAGUUCUAACAGAUCCGGAGGAAUUAUUAUUUAUAUUUUAUAGUGACUAUUCUAAAUAUAUUUUCUAUAUAUAUCUCACCUUCUCAUUCAUUUCAGAUAACGGUAGUAUCUAUACUUCCACAUCAAUUUUGACACGUGGCGAUCAAACAUCCAUAUACUCCUGAAGCAAUCCAAUAAAUAUUUUAAACUUAUCCAACCUUAUCUUAGCCAAAAGAACUCGCUCUCCUCCAAUAAUUACUUCUCAGCUUCGCCUCAUCAUCACUCCGAUAAACACACAUACAUCUAAAGACUUGUCGUAAUGGCAACUUCUCUCAAAGCCACCACCGCAACUUUUCUUCAGCCGGCGAAGAUCGCCACUUCUUCUCCUUCUCGCAACGUUCAUCUCCGAUCUAACCAAACCGUGGGCAAGUCCUUUGGCCUAGAAUCUUCACCUGCUAGACUCACUUGCUCUAUCCACUCUGACUUCAAAGACUUCGUUGGAAAGUGCUCUGAUGCAGCCAAAAUUGCUGGUUUCGCUCUUGCCACCUCUGCUCUCGUUGUCUCGGUAUAUGUUCACAUUCUCAUCAAGAACAUAAACUUAACAAAAUCUAUAGGCCUUUUGUAUUAUGAACAAAUAAACAUUCAUAAUGGAUUUUAAAUGUUUAUAUCAUAGACAUGGAUAAACCCAUUUAUUACUGAUUAUUUUUGAAGUUUCUAUAAUAUACGAUCAUUGCAAUAGAUGUAGGUUUAGUUGAAUAUUCUAUGGAAAUUAAUAAACCUAGGGUUUUUAAUAUAUUUUGUUAAAUGAAGGGGGCAAGUGCGGAGGGAGCACCAAAGAGGUUAACGUACGACGAGAUACAGAGCAAGACCUACAUGGAGGUUAAGGGGACUGGUACCGCGAAUCAGUGUCCCACUAUCGACGGUGGCUCUGAAACAUUCUCAUUCAAACCUGGUAAGUACACCGGCAAGAAAUUCUGCUUCGAGCCUACUUCCUUCACCGUCAAGGCAGAUAGCGUCAGCAAGAACGCACCUCCGGAUUUCCAAAACACCAAGCUCAUGACCCGUCUCACUUACACACUCGACGAGAUCGAAGGACCCUUUGAGGUUCGUCUUCACUCACUUAUUUCGAGGUGUUGCUUCUUACGCUAGAAACAGGAAAGUUAACUUGUAAAAAAUGAUUUUAUACCUAAGAACCUUCGAAAAGUUCCAUUGAUAAUGUUGUAUUUUACUUAAGUAUCUUAGAAAACUUCUUACACUAAAAAUACUAAUUAAAUAUUCUAAGAUGUUUGUGUUAAAUUUGUAUGGAAUGUUUGUGUUAUACAGUUACACUAAAAAUACUAACGAGGCUUCAGGCAAACCCGACAAUUUCAGUGGCAAAUUCUUAGUUCCUUCGUACCGUGGCUCGUCUUUCUUGGACCCUAAGGGACGUGGUGGAUCCACUGGCUACGAUAAUGCAGUGGCUUUGCCUGCGGGAGGUAGAGGUGACGAGAAUGUAAUAAAAUGUUUGUAAUUUUAAUUAAAUGAAUUUUUUUUCUACUUUUUAAUGUAUUGAAUAUAAAUAGAUACAUCUUAAUUACUACUUAUUAAUAAAAAAAAAUAUUUUAUACCUAAGAAAACGGUAGUAUCUAUACUUCCACAUCAAUUUUGACACGUGGCGAUCAAACAUCCAUAUACUCCUGAAGCAAUCCAAUAAAUUUUUUAAACUUAUCCAACCUUAUCUUAGCCAAAAGAACUCGCUCUCCUCCAAUAAUUACUUCUCAGCUUCGCAUCAUCAUCACUCCGAUAACACACAUACAUCUAAAGACUUGGCGUAAUGGCAACUUCUCUCAAAGCCACCACCGCAACUUUUCUUCAGCCGGCGAAGAUCGCCACUUCUUCUCCUUCUCGCAACGUUCAUCUCCGAUCUAACCAAACCGUGGGCAAGUCCUCUGGCCUAGAAUCUUCACCUGCUAGACUCACUUGCUCCAUCCACUCUGACUUCAAAGACUUCGUUGGAAAGUGCUCUGAUGCAGCCAAAAUUGCUGGUUUCGCUCUUGCCACCUCUGCUCUCGUUGUCUCGGUAUAUGUUCACAUUCUCAUCAAGAACAUAAACUUAACAAAAUCUAUAGGCCUUUUGUAUAUAUGAACAAAUAAACAUUCAUAAUGGAUUUUAAAUGUUUAUAUCAUAGACAUGGAUAAACCCAUUUAUUACUGAUUAUUUUGGAAGUUUCUAUAAUAUACGACCAUUGCAAUAGUUGUAGGUUUAGUUGAAUAUUCUAUGGAAAUUAAUAAACCUAGGGUUUUUAAUAUAUUUUGUUAAAUGAAGGGGG
rnacentral:lncRNA from 1 species